UUUUUAAACAUUUUUUUGUUUUUGUUAUUCGUUUCUUAUUGGUGUCUACCGCUAAAAGAACGCACCGGGAGAAAAAACCGGAUAACUCACCGGGCGCCACUUCGAGGUAGGUGUACGAGCGCGGCUAAAAAUGAUUUAUCACUAAACGUUCCUCAUUAUUGGGUACAAUAGUAAUAGGCACAACAAGAGAGUAUGUUCCUCUCACGGAAAAAAAAACGGAUUGUUCGCAAUAGUUGCAAUAAUAAUAUUAUACGAGAAAUACAAUUUUUUUUUUUUUUUUUUUUUUGACGUAAUUUAGGCAAAAAAUGCCUAAAUAUUAUUAUAUCAAAAGGAAAAAUAAAAUAAAUUCGUAGAAUUGAUUUCUAGAUAUUAUUUCUAAUAUUCACUGAGAACACUGCGGAAGAAUUUUUACGGACGCGGAUGGUUUUUUCCGAUGCUUCGCGAACGUUAUCGUUGUUAAAUUCGUGUCCAGAAUUAUAAAUAUGGCAAACACAUCACAUGUGUAUGUGUGUGUAAGAUUUUCAAAAAAAUAAUUUUCUACUUAAACGUUACGCGAAAAAUCCCGAUAGUUAAUGACGUGUGUGCCUACAUAUAAUAUGUUUACCAGUCAACAUUUUUACUAUACUUUAUUUAAACUAAUAUCGUCCAAAAAGUCAUCUGUAUAGUUUUAUGAUCACCCACGUUUUAUUCGUUAGGUAUACCUAGCUAGUGAAGUUCGGUAGGUACGUAGGUUAGGUACCUAUACUUUCAUUAUAACAUAUGACGUUUUUAUUAAUAGUAUAAAAAAAUAUGUUUCCGAGUAAAAUAUAUAAAUGGGGUUAGGGUUUUUUUUUGCUUUCCUCUAAUGAAUUUAUUUUACGCGUUCUUCUAAAACCCUUAUACCUGCCCGUCUACCGUAAACCGGCUUUACAAUAUAAAUGUUUAAACUACCACGGUGGUUUUUUGCCAGCAAUAAUAGUAAAAUUUUAAAAUUUCCGCUAAACAAUAUAUUAUUGAGUACGGGUUGAGGCGGACAAAACAAAAAACAAGCCUUUAUGCUACUAUGCAAGAUUUUUUAGAUAUAAUUACAGUCAGUAAAACUUUAACGAUACGUACUAGCUGAUAAUUAGUAUCGUUUUCACAAUACACAAACCGUUUUAGUAUCAUUGAAUAAUUGAAAUUGAAAACUAUAGGUACGAUAUAACUAUAGUGCCGGAUCGAGAGGUAAAACAGAAUCGAGUUAAUUUGAAGUUACCUAACUCAUUCGAGUGUUUCUUCCUUAAAACAUUUGGACGGCGCAUUUUUCUGCUGAAUUUACAAAUAUUAUAUUUCACUAUAUGAAAAAAAAAAAAAAAAAAAAAAAAAAAAAAAAAAGAAAUACCCAAAUUGAAUAAUACAACACUUAGAUUAUAUUAUUAACGAUCACUUUUAUUAUGAAUAGUAUACUAUCAUUUAACGAUAUUAUUGAUAAUAUAUUUUAUUUUUAUUCCGAUUGCAUUAUUUUAUUGAAUAGUUUUCCGUGUUUUGUGGUAUGUCACAGUAGCUAUUUUUGUGUGAGCUACAAUAUAGUUUUUGCACUACAAAAAAUAACAAUGUGCAACUGCUUCCUGAGUUUUUAUUAUAGGCGAUUAACUGCCUCACAAUUAUUAGAAAAUCAAAUUCAAAUACACAUAUACAUAUACAAGUGUGCACUGCGGAAUUGCAGAAAAAUAUUCAUUGGCAUAUUGUAUAUAUUAUGAUAAUCCGAAUCUUCAUAAGUCUGAAAAUAUAAAAUGUACCGUGUCCUACGAAGUUUUGCUCGGUAAAUAGCUAUCGAUGUACUUUGGGUACAUAGAUAUCCAAAAAUAAUAUAAAUUCAAGAUUUAAAAGAUCUGUAUGAUAGAUUUGAAUUGCGUGUAAUCUCGCGGAGUUCUGAAAAUUCGUGAAAUUCUGUCAGAAUAAUAUUAGAGCUCAACGAAUUUCAGUUUUGUAAAAUUAGUACAUAUUAUGGGUCAGAUUGUUAGAGAUAUUUUGAAAACACCAUCUUCACAUAGGCGUAGUAUAUUUACUAUUAAUUUAUAGCGAUAUAAAGAUAACUGUUUUCCCUUCGGCUAUUAAGUUAUUAGUUAUUACUAUAACCUCUUUAGUCUUUAUUUGUUUUAUUUGUUGAAGUAUUAAUAAAAAUUAAAAUAUUAUAUAAUAUUGCUCAGAGUAUAAAAAUAUACAAUUUAGAUUUUAUAUUGUUUUAUAUUUCAUGGGACUCAUCAAAAAGACACCCCUCACAGCGUUUCUUUUAUAUUCUAAGCGUAGCAAAGAAUGUAUUCAUUUUAAAAUGAUAUAUAUAAUUUUUUUAUUCUGCGAAUAACUUUUUUACCAGAAAUUUUGGUUCGAUGUAUUAAGUGUAGUACUUUUUCUGAAAGGUAAUUUUAUUCUGAGUAAUUCAUUAAGCGUGCUCACCCCAUUUUGUGGCUAAAUUUUGCAUGUAUUCAAAUUAUGAUUUUUGGAAGUUUUAAGUGUAGUUGAAGGCGAUAUUUUCGAAUACUUCGAUUUUUCACAACAUUUAAGGAGUAUUCUGUGGUGAUACUAGCAUUGGUUUUGUAAAUGAGAACCUAUAAUAAACAUUUCAUAAAUAUAUACAGUAUUACUAUAAACAAAUUUUGGUGUUAAAAUGUUUGAUUUCCGUCAACCCACUGACGGGAUAUUUCACUUUUAAGUUUAGUUAAGGGGAGAGUAGGGAAGCAUUAAUAAAACGCCACGCGCCGUGCUACCACACAAAUGGUACUCUACUACUCUCCUUCUAUCUAAACUUAAAAGCGCAAUAUCUGGUUAACUGGUUGACAGAAAUCACAAAUGUUGACACCAACAUUUAUUUAAAGUAAUACUUUAUUUAUAGAAUUUCUAUUAUAGGUUCGUAUUUGAUCAAUUUUUGAUUUUCUAAGUCGUUUUCAUAAUAAUUAUGAAAAUUCGGAAGAACAUACAUUUAUUAUUUUUAAUUUUGUUUGUUUAUUUUAACUCAAUUAAAAAUAAUCGUAGAAACUAGACAAUUUGAAAAACCUUUAUAUUUGUUUUUUAUAGUUUUAAGCUAUUAGACAUUUCAUAAUUUAACGAAAUGUGGUAAAGAAUUUUUGGAUGUAAUACGUACGAUUGUAAAUUUAAAUUAUACAGGUAAAAGAGGAAAAAAAAAAUAUAAUAUGUUUUAUUUUCGAUUUUAAUACUAUUGAAAAAAUAUAAAAUUAACAGAAACAUCUGUAUAUAAUGUAUAAAUAUUAUAUCACUCAAAAUUAUAUUAUUAUACGAAAAUAAAUGAUUAAAAUAUAUGAAUUUUUUCCCUCUCAAAUUGACACGAAAUACGCAUCAUGUGCAUUUCAUUACACAUUUUCUUUCGAUUAUUGAACUCGUCAUUGUAUGAUAAUAAUACGUACAAUUAUUGUAUAUAGGACGGAUUUCCAGCUUGGUCUGCUAUAUGUAAACGAGUGCACAUAGAAAAAAUGUAACUCCUACAACUUCCCGACCAUACUCAUCGCAGUCAUAAACGGUAUAAUGUAUAAUACAAACAGUGUUGUUUUCUAUAUCUGAGAUUUUAACUAUAUUAUGUAUACCGUGCGAUAACCUUCUAAUAUAAUAAAAGGACUCGAGUGUUUGAUGAAUGUUUUUUUUUUUUUUGUUUCUUUUGUUUUUUGGUUAGGUUAGCAAAACUAUACAUUGUUGAGUAUGACGAUUCGAUUUUUUGUCAUUGCGCGGUGCGUUUGUUGAAAAAAAAAAUAAAUGAAAGAGCUGAUACUACUGAUGGGCACGCCACUGUUGUAGGUGGGAAGUUGGGAAGGUAGGAAAUAUAAAGUUAUUUUAUAUAUAUCCGUAAGACACUAUAAAUAAUUGCUAACAAAAUGUUAUUCUGAGCGAAGCUUUAAAAACUUAAAAGGCCGUUAUAUCUACAAUUUUCAUCAAAAUUUGAUCUUCAAAUAGCUAUGAAAAAAACUACUACAUAUUAUGCUUAACUAUUUUUUCCUUACUAAGGUCAACUUAUAAGUAACCUCGAGUUAAAUUUUCAAGUAUUUUUAUAUGGUCCACAUAAUGACUACCAAAUAUAAACUUGCAAACAUAAAUGCGUGUAAAAAUUCGUCAAAAUGUUUUGAAAAUUUUACCACGUUUAGAAAAAGUUUUCUGUUAAAAUUUCAAGUCUCUACAAAAAUGUUUAAUUGAGUUACAAUAAUCAAUCAAAAUUGAAAAUAAUAAAAGUAUUAUUUUCUUAAAUGUUCCCGUUCUUUCUACGUUUUUUUCCGGUUUUUCCUAAUUAUUAUGAAGACUAUUGGUAAAUCAAAUAACGACUUUCUUACUCACCAAUUAAAUAUUAAAAAUCCAAAAAAAUAAAUAAACUUAUAUUGUUUUUCGAUUGAAGCAAUAUGUCUAGUUGAAAACAUAAAAUUAAAAAUAAUAAAAACGGUAAUGCACUGGCGUGCCGUAAAUAUUUGUCCGUUUUUUUUCCGAUUUGUCCCAACUAAUUUGAAAACACCUUCGAUAAUCAAUAGAAAAUGACCACUAUAUUGAACCAAAAAGAUCAAAAAUAUAACCAUUUUACGAUUUAUUUCGUAUACAAAAACACGUAUUUACAUACUUAUAAACGUGUGUUAUACACAUAGAACACAAAUAAUAAUACACUGUUUGGAAAAUUUAGAUAUUGCCAUAUAAAUGAAAAAAUCAAAAAAUGAUGGAUACCGUUAACGGUUGUGCCACUGUCAUGUGUGUUGGAAGUUAGUAUAGUUAUAGUUAUUUAAUUUAUUUAAUUUACAUCCUAAUUCCUUACGCCAUUGCUAACGACAAACGAUUUUGAGCGAAGUUAGAUUAAAAAUGGUUGUUUCGAAAUUCUAUAAUCAUUUUUACGAUUCUCAUUCAGAUUAGAAUUUAAAACGAUCAUAAAAAACAACUAAACCAUGUUCAAUUUUUUACCACUUGAUCUUCACUACAUUUUUUAUGAACCUAAUAUUAAGUUUGCAAGUACUUCUGCUCGGUAAAAAUAAUAUUAUUCAGGCAAAACCAAAUAGAAAUUCAAAAAACACGAACAUGUCGAAUACAUUACUAAAAAUAGUUAAAAAAUCGUCAGGAUAUUUUUAUAAUUUGACCACGUCUAGAAAAAGAUCAAUAUAAUUAUGAUUUUCUACAAAUAUAAGAUCUCACGAUUAUUUUUAACCAAACUAUAAAAUAAAUAAUUGUUCCCAAUUAUUCAGAAAACUUCAAAGAAAAUAAACAAGCAAACACAAUAUUAAACUUGAAGAUCGAAGCAAUACUUCUGGUAGAAAACUUGUUUAUGAAGAGAAAAAACGUACGUUUUUAGAUACGCUGGAAAUUCAAAAAACAGGUAGUGAUGGCUAAUGUUAGUCUUAUUAAAAAUAAUUGUUAUAUCUCAAUCGAUUGAAAUUUGAUUGACUUGUAAUUUACCAUUCAAUGGAUACAGCGGUUUUGAAUCGAUCAAUUUUUUGGGUAAUAAUUUGUUUAGCCUGUAAGAUAUUUUUGAUAGGAUUAAUCGAUUAUUGUUUCAUUCACGCAACUUAAAAACUCAAGAGAGCAGAAAUUUUCACAUGACACAUUGUGUGGUCAAAAGUUUAUAAAGUAGUCCUCACACUUUCUUUUUGAAUAAAAAAAAAAAAACACUGAAUAUUGCAUUGAAAUGUGCGAAGAAUAUAAUUGAAAACUUUUAAUCUAAGUAUUUUACCAACAAUGCGAUUAAAAAAAAUAAAAAAAAACCCGCGGCAAUAUUUUUUAUAAUUUUAUUCAUUGGACGAGUUGAAAAAUGUCUUUAACAUCUUUUGAACUAUUGUGAAUUUUUUUUCUUUCUAUAUUUUACGUUUUAUAAGUUUACAAGCCUAUAUUAUAUUAUUAAAGGUACUUUUACAGAACAAUUGCACGUGGUUGUUUCCAUGAUAUAAGUUCUACUACAAUAACAAAAAUACAUAAAUAUUUUAAUAGUUAAUUUAUAUCAAUGCCCUUAUUAUUUGGUUAAAGUCGUUUUUCCGCAGCAAUAUAGCUAAUAUAACUAUGAUAAUAAAUCUCUGACCAAGUCCACGUCAGUAGCACAGUGACACUUUCGGUAACAGUAGUGAUUUACCUUACUCCGUGAGUAAAGCGAAGAAGCUAUUAGUUUUACAAUGAUAUGUUUUAUCCCCUCUCCCCCUUCAUUGAGCUUCAUCCAGCACAAUAAACUUUUUUGAUAGAUUUAACGCUCGACAGUUCGAUCGAAGUACAUCUAAAUAAUAAGUUUUUUUCAUUUUACUGAUGAAAAAAAUAAGUUGUUGACAUUUCAACAAAUCUCGUAAAAAUCGAAAUAAAAUUGCUAAUACAAUAAUAAUAUCGUAUAGUUGAAAAUUUGAACUCAGCGAACUUUGACUUCUAAUUCAUUUGCAGCUUUAUAUUUUGUGGUUGCGUUCAGAAUUUAAAAUAAAUAUUACCUUUUUAUUUGAUACUGCACUAAUGAUAUAUAUAUAUAUAUGCUAGGCGGUUGAUAACGAAUCGUUUUUCAUACAUUUUGAAUAAAAUAUACAUACUUCCAGCAGUCGAAUUUCUGUUUUGCAAAACUAUUUAAUUUCGUAUACCUAUCUAUUUUAUUUAUUUUUCAAAGGUUUCCUUUAUUAUUUUUUUUGGGGGGGGGGAGGCACUAAAGUAUAGGCGCAAGUUAUUUUAACAAUAACGUAUGCGUAGCGUGUACUUUAACUACUAAAAAAAUAAAAAUCGAAUAAAUGUUUCGUAUAAAACACAAAGACAAGAAAUCAAAGAAUUCAAAUAUGUUUUAAAAAUCAAGACUGGUUGAGUUAUAGUGGGUAAAUUUUACUCCUGCUUUUAAUGGUUCAAAACGUCAUAUUCGUCCGUAAAAACGGCAGGACCACUUCCCAUUGAAUGGGUAUCAGGCAGUAAACUAGUGAAAAAGUCGUAUCAUUUAGAUGGCCAUUAAAAGGUUAAAAUCAUUUUUAAAAUUGGUGAAAAUUUGGCAAACCGGCACGGGGCUCCUUAACGACAAUCAAAUAACGAACCUAUCGUUUACCCGUUAACUUAUUUUGUGUCUGUACAACAUUGUUAUCGAUUUUUAUGACGACGCGCGUCAUUUGCUUUACCGUUUAUAAUUUUAUUCAUAUUAUAAUACAUUAUACUAAUAUUUGAUGUUUAAUAACUAAUUAACGCGACGACAUAAUAUUAUGUGAAUUCCAUUACCGACUGUGUAUAAAAUAAUAAUAGUUUACAAAUCCUUGUAAAUAAAUAUUUUAUAUAGAGUUUGGACGUUGUAGAGUUCGUAACAAAAAUUAAUAAAAUAAAGUAUUGUAGCAUUAUAAACUUUAUAAAAAAAAAAAAAUCACUAAUGAUUAAUAUUUCAAGUAAAUAAUUAUUAUUUAACAUGCUACAUUAUAUAUAUAUAUAUAUAUAUAAUAUUUCGUUUUUAGUUAACAAUGAUUUUUGUGUAGGUAUCUUAAUACUAUAAGUCUACAAAAGUUAAUAUUUGAUACGUUCUUGUACUGAGAUGAUGAUGAUAUAAAAACGAAUGUUUUAUAACAUUUCAAAUAUUUAAAAUACGAUAAAUAAUAAGAAAAAUAAAACUACAAAAAAAAGCAAUUUAAAAGUAAAAAAGAGCCGAUACAGAGGAUGGGUGUUGCCACUAUAUUAGGUGGAUAGUUGAAAAGAAGGGAUACAUAAAGUUAUUUAAUGUACACCAGUAACCAGUGAAAAACCAUUUCUAACGAAAAACGAUUCGGAACGAAGUUUGGUUAUACAUGUUUUGAUAGGCGUCAAAAUUUAAUAUUAAAACUCUUAUAAAAAAAAAAAAAAUUGUACAUAACACUCAAAUUUUUAAUUUUAAUUUUUUUUUUUUAGCACAAAGUACAACUUAAAUUGAAUUUCUUGUCAAAUUUUCAAGAAUUUCUGUUUAGUCUAACAAUUUUAUCCAUAGAAUACUUACCAAAUAAAAUUACAUAAAAAACUAGCAAGAUGAAACUGUCUAUAAAUAGCUCAAACAUUUUACCACGCAUGGAAAAAGCAAAUAUUAGUUUUCUGUAAAAAUUUGAAGUUUUUAUGAAUAUUUUUAAUUGAGUUAUAUUUUAAAAAAAAUAUUUAAACAAUAAAUUUUUUUUUCAAAAAAGAUACUAUAAUUUAAAAAUCUUAGCAAGAUUUCCGGUUGAAAAGUAAUUCACAGAUUAAAGAAUAAAAAAAAAAUAAUCAAAAUUUAAACAGCGUUGUAAAACCAAUAUAUUUCUGAGCGUAAUUCGAAAAUCGUAAAAAUUACGGUAUUUAAAAACAUUUAUAAUCGAAUUUCAAUUUGAUUUUUAUUUCGUCAGCAAUAAUUUAUCAUUGCGGAAAGAUAAAAAUUAUAUACAAACAUUAUAAACUUACUAAUUUUGUUCAAAUUAUAUAUGGUAGUAAUAUGACAGCUUCAAAGUUUGUUUUAAACUUUUAAGUUAUAGUUUUACAAUAAUCAGUAACAAAAUCGUGUUGCUCUAGUAAUAUUGAGCUUGCCAAUUUUAGAUUCUGAGUGAAGCGAAGUUUUAAAAUGAUGUUUAUUUUUUAAAUUUUUUUUUCUGUGGACAAAUUUUCUACUAGAGGACUUGCUCCGAUUUUUACGUGUAGCUUCUUUUUUGAAAGGAAAUUGGUGUGAGGAAGUAAUUUAAACAUGUUAUUUUUCGAUUUUCUUAAGAGUUUUCUUAUAAAAUACAAAAAACCGAAGAAAACGGGAAAAUGUACAAAAUAUAUUUGUAUAAUAUUACGAUUUUUUUUUCUGCGGAAAACUUUUCUACCUGCAGUUCUUAUUAAAAUUUUAAUGAUAGCAAUUUUUUUAAAAGGAAAUUUCACGAGAUUGUUUAUCGAUUUUCUCCAGAGUUUUUUUAGCUUAUGUGAAAAACUUAGGAAAACCGGGAAAAACGUAGGGAAAUCGGGAAAAUCGGUACAACAUUACACAAAUAUUAUUAACAAUAAUAUAUAGGGCCUAUUUUAUUAUUUUAUCAUAGUUGCUUACAGGUAUACAUUGAAUUACCUAUGACAGUGGUUGCACCCGUCCCCAUUAUCCUAGGACGUCUUUUUUUUAUUAGUUCUUUUUAAAAUUUUCGCUUUCUAGAAUUUCUAUAUAUCAGUGAUGCUUACUUUUAUUAUUCAGCGAGCCACUUUGGUAAACAAUUAUCUUUGAGCGGGCCACCAAAUAUAAAAGUACGACUAAUCUCAAUUAGGUUAUUGUAUUUAAUAUAUCACUACAAUACAAUUUAUUUAAAAAAUUUUGCUAUACAUAGUUGGUACACAUCGGAUUUGUUUCCUUACCAUUUAUUGUCUAUUGGAAAGAUAACCGAUUGAUACAGAGUACACAGUAGUUUGAUCAAUAUGAUUUUUUUAAGUGCACAGGUGAUAUCGAUAUUAAAAUCAUAAAAUUUCCAUUUGAAAUUGUUCGGCAGAAAAAAGUGCAAAUAUUUUUUAAUAAUUUUACUUUUUUUUUGAAAAUCUUGUUUUAUUUUAAAAAAUUUUAACGAGUCACAUAGAAUACCUUCGUGUGGCCACGUGUGGCCCACUACCGUGGCUUGGACUCUACUGUUAUGCAUUAUAAGGUUUUGGUUUUUUUUUUUUAUUCUUAUCGACUUUAUCGUUUUAGAAAGAAUAAUUUAAAAUUACUUAUGUAUCGUUGUUUAAUUAUUCUUUCGAUGUUUUUAACGAAAAUUUCGCUAUUUUUCAAUUUUUAAUUUACGAUUAAAUAUACUUAUUAUUAUUAUUAUUAUUAUUACUCGUUUAAGUACGGGCACUACUGUACGUCAUCCAUUUUUAAAAAUUUUAGGGCUGGAAGAGCCUUAUUUCGGCUGCGAGUACUGUUUAUCUGUUUUAUUAAAGACGCAGUGUAGUUACCUAUAUAUCCCAAAAGAAAAUUAUAUCUACACAUCCGUCAACAUCAUAAUAUUAUGUAAUUUGUAUGCGAUAUGAUGAUUCAUGAUCCAUGGAAAUUAAGUAAUGAAAAAUGAGUUUAUAACGAAUUAGAUAAAUAUAUAAAAUGAAAAACUAAUGGGUUUUUGUGUAUUUAAAUCUAUUGCAUUUAUCAUGUGACUACGUACAGUUAUAAUGUGAGUAUACCAAAUGUUUUUUUGAAAAAUAUACUUCAGUUAUAAUUUAUAUUCUGAGACAAUGUAUAAUAUUAUAAUAUGGGUAUACGCAGUAUAUUAUUGUAUACAUAUUUAAUAGUAAGAAGGGAUGACGUAUAGACUGUAGAGCAGUUUCUUUUAGAAUAAAAGUUUAUUUUGGGCAGUCCGUAUUAAAUUAUAUAUUUGUCAUGUAUGAUUAUGUAAAUCACACAAUGGGAAAAACUAUCGGAACGUAAGUAUGUAUAAGUAAAAUACUUUUUAGAAUCGAUUUAUAUUUAUUUAUUCGACUUUACUCCACGGAUACUCGUUCUCCGAAAAGUAAAACAAAAAUAAUAAUAAUAAAAACAAUAAAACUUAAAUACAUUUUUUUUUCUCUCGCCGUUUAUGUUUCCUAACUGGUCUGAGCAUCUGAAUAAGAAGGAAAUCGGUAUUACUCACAAAUUGUUGCAUUUAAGACACAUUUUGAUGCAUUCCGUUUUUCACAGAUACUGUGCAACGAAACGUUGAUUAGGUUUAAGGUUAUUACGCGUGGAAAAAUGUCGAGAAAAAAAAAAUCCUAUUUCGAACCGAAUACGCCGGACUUCAGCGAUGGUAAAUCCUAUUUUAGUGAUUGUUUUCUACACAAACCAUGCAUAAUAGAAGGAAAAAUAAACAUUUUAUUAAAAUUCAAAAAGUUAUUCACGUGGCAGCUCGAAUUUAUAAUAUAGAAUUUAAAGAAUAAAAUAUUCUCGAUGUUACACAAGCCUAUAUUAUAUUCGGGGAAAAAAAACGAUUUUAAAAAACUGCACGAUUUAUUUUCUGUUUGUAAUGAUAUAAAAUAUUUAGUAUUACUCAAUUAAAAUUAAUAAAAUAUAUAUAAUUAAUAUCACUUGUCGCUAUUUAAAAGGUCGUAUCUUCAAGCUCGUGUCUUUUUUCAGUAUCGCAAAUGAAAAAUUUCGUUUUUUACUCGUCCAGAGAGAUUGGAUUAGGACUUGGAAAAAUUGAGCUACGACUUUUUUUUUGCUGUGUCAGGCAAUAUGACAAGAGAUUAGAAGUUGGAAAAUGUAGCUAUGGCUAUUAUCGUUGCGGCAUAUUAAAAUAUGUAAUAUAAAUUAUUAUUGAGAAAAUCGAUAUUUUGUUCCCAAACUAUAAUAUAACAACACUAAACAUAAGUCGUAUAAAUCGUUAUAUAGGUCGAGAUUAUUGAACAGAAUAAUAAUAAUUUAAUUAUCUAAAAUAUUAUUCAAAUCAAAAGCCUUCAAGUUUUCUAAAAAUAAAACAGAAACAAUAAGAAUAAAUAUAAAUAAAUAAAAUAAGUAUCUUUUAGAUUCGGAGUGUAGCGAGAGAUCUAUCGAUUUCAUUAUGUUUUUUACUUUAUUUUUUGUCUGUAAAUAACUUGUCGAAAAGAAAUCAUCCAAUAUGUAUAAAAUGUAGCACCUUUCCUGAAAGAAAAUUUUCUCUAGUUCGAUUUUUUUUUUUUUUUUUAUUUUGUCUUACCAGCCAUGAAGGUGUUUUAGCUUAUAGACAUGAUUGUAUGUUUAGUCUAUUGAAAAUGCUUUCGAUGUCUUCAUUUUUUGUACUCUAAAUCAUCAUGGAGAUAAAAUUUCCUUUCAGAAAAUAAGCUAUACUUGAUAUAUCGGAGCAAGAUUUCUGGUGAAAAAGUUUGCACAACAAAUCGAGGGACAUUUUGAGAUUAAAAUAGUCCGAGGAAGCGAUGGCUUGGGUUUCCAGGUACAUCCGAAAUUUAUGUUUUACUUGUAUAGGUAAAAGAGAGGAAAAAUGCAUAGAAUUAUUUUUUGUCAAACUGGUUUGAAUUCGGAAUCUCAAGGAUCAUAAUCGGUAAAAAUAAUCAUUAGAUUAUGACAAAUUUACUACAAAGUAGACCAUAUAGAGUUAUUUAACAUAAUAUAUAAUACUCGCAUAAUAUCAGAACUUUAAAAAGCUAUAAUUUCGAAACUUAGUCAGUCCGCUUAAUUCUGAUUUCACCAUCAUUCUUAAAUAGGCAAUAUACAUAUGUUCAAAAAAAAAAAAAAAAAAAUAUCUAAAAAUAAGAUUCAUUUCACAUAAUUUUUUCGUCAAAAUUUGAUAUUAAAGUUACCUCAUAAAAAAAAAAAAAAAAAACACUACAUUAAACUCAAUUUCUUUUUUUACCAUAAAAUACGAUUUUAAAUAAACUUCCUGUUAAAUUUUGAAACAUUUCUGUUAAGUCUAAACAUUUUACCACAAAGUAUAGGUAUUUUUUUUUACUUAAUUAGUAUUAUGUAUAAAACUUUCAAAUCUAAAAUGUAUAAACAUCUCAAAAAUGGCUUACAGUUUUUGAAAAUUUUAUCACAUUUAGAAAAGAUAAAUAUGUUUUUUCCAAAUUUUAAAUCCAUCGAGUUGAUACAAAUAUUUUUAACUAAAUUUCAACAAAAAUAUCAAAAUGGUUAUAAAAAGCCUAAAGAUGGCUUAAAUGUUUUGCAAAUUGUACCACGUCUAGAAAAGAUAAAUAUGCGUUUUCUGUCCAAAUUUCAAGUCUCUACAAAUAUUUUUAACUGAAUUACAACAAAUAACAAAACUGAAAAAUAUUAAUAGCAUUAUUUUCGUAAAUUUCCCGUUUAUCUUACGUUUUAUCCCUGGUUUUUCCCAUGUAUUAUGCAAUGAGUUUGGAUAAUCGAAAAAUGACCACCAAAAGGACCAUCUGCAUAACAGAAUAUAUAGAAAUAGUGCCGCACGUAUAUAUCUGAGCAAGAAUAAUGGUAGAACUUUCGUACAUAAUAUAUAUAUAAAAAAAAAAAAAAAAAUAAACAUCUUAGUAAAACCAAUACAUUCUUCGUUACACUCAGAAUCUAUAAAUAAAUGGAAUAACUUUGACAAGUUGGCUGAGAGAAAAUUUGACUUUAGUGUAGAAGCUUUUGCUACACAUUGAUGUUUUUUAUUUUAAAUGUAUCAUUUUAAUAUAUCUAUUUAAGAAAAGAUAAUGCAAUUUUUAUUUUUAAAUUAUAACUGAUAUUUACAUCGAUGACACUAAAAAUUCUUAAUUAUAAUAAUAAUAAUAAUAAUAAUAAAAAUAUUGAUGGUUAAAUUCACGUUCAUAGAUUUUGGAUUUUCAAGUGUAAUGAGCAAGUGAAAAUCCAAAAUUACAUUUUCUAUAGCAAGUGUAAUAUUUAUUCCCAAAUUUAAUUUUAGUGAACAAUAAUAUUAUAAUAUCAUUAAUUAUAUUAAUACAUAAAUAGCUCAAUCAAUUAAAAUAUGUGAAACGCAAGUUUUAGUUAAAAAUAUUUUCCAUAGAUGGCGAUAAGAUUAUGACAACGGGAAUAAAUCGGUUGAACGACAUCAUUGUUAUUGUUAUGGUAAUGAUUUUAAAGUGAAUAUUUAAAUGUUUGGUAUAUUCAAGUUAUGUGAUUACUAUGUACUUUGUACGAUAUUCGAAGGGGAGAUUCGAGGGUUUUUGCUUAAUUGACGUUGCAACUUGCGAUUUUAAUUGUUAACAUUAAAAAUGCAUUUUUAUAUGAGAUUAUUCACACACGCGAAUGAUACUUCGCUAAAAUUAAAAAUGUUUGUUCUCAAUGUACCUAUUUUGAAUGCAUUUCUCUUAUAACUCGAUUCAUAUGCCUCUGAAAACCUCGCUGAAACUGAACAUUUCCCGGUUUUUAAAUUUAUCGGAUUAUUUUUUUUUUUUUCAAGCGUUUUUUGUAUAAUACGAAAAUGACAUAUGUGUCGUCUAACUCUUCGAGUUUUUACUUAACAAAAAUACUAAACCGACUGAAAAUGUCAAUACUACACAACAAUCAUAUCCAUGACGAUUGACGGUUACAACUGUAGUACUAAUUUUAUUUUUCAUAGUAUUAUAAUUUAUAAGUAUAACAUAGCACAACACAUUGUAUGUUUCAUAUAAAAUUUGGCGUGUUUUUUAUGUUUGGGAAACGUGAAAAUGGGCUGUUAUCGUGAUUGUAAUCUAGCUUCAUAAUUGUCUGUGCAUAUUCGAAACUAUGACCUCCAAAUGAUUUGUUUAUAAAAAAUUACUUCAGCAUCAUAAACUAUGGCUUCUCUGUUAUUUAUAAUUUAGUUUAUAAUAAUGAUGAUAUUUUUGUGUAUUAGUUAUAAAUUUAUAAUAAAAUAUAAAUUUCAUUUAAUUACCUGAUAUAGCUCUGUGGAUCCUUCACUAUUAUUAUUUACAAACGUUAUUACGAUAUUAUUCGUACUGUAUAUAGGUUGUCUAUAUAUGCCCAUUGCUAUAUUUAUGAAAGUAUUAAUUAAUCUUGUUUUGAAUUUAAAUUUUUUUCACAAUUAAGAAACAAUCAGCUUUAAAAAUAUCACAAAACCAUUAUUUUUUGACAACUUUAUUUUCGGAGAUGAAAAGACUACCUACUUUUGAUUGUCAAAUGGCAAUCUAUAAAUUACAAAAUCCAUAAGUAUAUAGUUAUAAGGAGUAUUAGUUUAAAUACAUUUUGGUGUUGACAUUUUUAAUUUCCGCUAACCUGUCGGUGAGAUAUUCCAUUUUUAAGUUUAGGCAGUGGAGCAUCAUUUAUGUGGUGAAACAUAACGUGGCAUUUGAAUAGUGUUCCACUAAAACUAUCCAUUACCCAAAUUUAAAAAGUAAAUUUAUCUCAUCAACGGGUUGACGGAAAUUAAAAACGUAAAUACUAAAAUAGAUAUAAACUUAUUAUAAAGGUGAUUUGAUAUUUUAGAGCUGCUUUUUUUUUAAAUUAUCAAAAAAUAAAUAAAUAAAUAAAAAGAUGAAAAUAAUUCGUACGAUAGUGGACCACUGAUGUAGAUGAAAAGUUAUGAAGGUAGAAUAAUGAGAGAAAUACAAUUUAUAUUUGUACACAACGAUAGACUAUUGCUAAUAAAAAACGAUUUAGAGCAAAGUUUCUUUUAUACAUGAACGUAAAUUUUCUCGUUUUUCCUACAUUUUUCCCGGUUCCCAAUUAUUACGAAAAUCGGUUGGAAAAUUAAAAAAGAAUCACUCAGUUAAAAUUUACUUUUAUAAAAGGUAAUAAAAAACUUGAAAACUGGAGCAAGAUUUCUGAUGGAAGAGUUGUUUACAGAUUAAAAAAAUAAAUAAAGUAAUCAUCAUAAUAAAACAAAUACCCAACCUAGCUAAACUUAAACCUCGUUACGCUCCGAAUUUAAAAUCCGAAAUAAGUUAAUAUUUUCUGAGAUAUCUCAGCUGAUAUAACUUUAUGGGACACUCAAUAUAUGCGUUUGAAUCUUAAUUUUAGAUUUUGUGAGCAUAUGGAUAAUAGUUUUACGUAUGGUUUUUUUUUUCACACAGAGAACACUUUAACGCAAUAUAAAAGUUCCGUAAGACUGCAUCAACCUGCUUGUUAGAUGCAUGAUGAAAUAUCACGCAGGUAGCACGGAUGACGGUACUAUUAAUGAAAAGAGACAAUAUUCCGAAAUUAUCAGUCUGAUACUAUCAACUCGAUAUUGAUGAAAAUGGAAAAAAUAAAGAAAAGAAAUUUAAAAGAACAUCGGUAUUUGAAUUCUAACCACUACUGAGCUUUCAUAUACAAGUAAGUGAGAAUUUUUCUUUUCAAAAAAUCAUCCCUAAGUAUAUCCCUAUAUUAUUUACGUUUUUGUUGUAUUAAUUUUACCCCUUCGUUUAACGAAUCAAUGUAUAUUGUAUAAAAUCAAAGUUUGACUAUUAUAGUAUACUCUCCUUCAAAAUGCAGUGUAAAAUCGAAAUUUAAAAGUGGUCGUUUUAUUGGAGUCGAAGUGCAAUAGUGUAGUUUUUAAACGCCUUGCACAUUCUCAAACAGCCAUAAACAGUAUACGACUAAAUCUGACAAUACUAAAAUCAAAUCCUGCAAUCAUAGAUUAUAUGGUAAAAAAACGAAAGGUAUAUUCUGUCAUGCACGUUUCAACGAAUCACCGACGAUUUUGUGAUUCAGUUCCUCACGAAAUACAAAAUAUAACCGAAACACAAUGGGGUUGUUACCUACUUGUCGUGAGUUUCCAUUAAUAUUAUUUUACUCAAAAGGUUGCGAGCGUACAUUUUUUCACGAUUGUGUAUAAUAAUAAUAAUAAUGAUAAUAAUAAUAAUAAUAAUAAUAAUAAUAAUAAUAAUAAUAAUAAUAAUAAUAUAAUAACGCGUCGUUGCUAAAGUAUAAUAGGCAUCUAUAGAUUACUAUUAUACAUAAGAACAAUUUCAUACGGUGAACUUUAUACACAAUUUUUGACCAUUUUCAAACAAUGUUUAUUAAAAAAAAAAAAACUAAUAUACUUCAACCAUAUUUUCGAAUACUAGUUAUAAUAUUAACUCGAAAAAGAGCCAACGUAUCAAUACAGCACUCAAGAUACAUUUUAAGAUACAUUUAAGAAAAAAGAUAAUUUUUUUCAUAAAUAUUUAAUUCAUUAAACAUAUAGAAUUGCAAAAUUAUUAGAAAAUAAGUAAUGGGUACAUAAUAUAUAAUACAAUAAUUUUUAUUUACAUUUUUAUACCAGUUUUCAAAUAUGAUUUUAUUCUUAUGAAGUUAUAAGUUAUAAGUUAUCAUUAUCAAUUAUAAUACAUAAUAUAUAAAAAUAUAAAAUAAAUAAUGGGUAUUAUCCACUUGUCAAUAUACAAUAGUUAUACACUCAUACAUAAUAAUUUAUAAUAAUAAAGAAAUUAUAAAAUAACAUAUAUCACAAUAAAUUGCUGAUAUUUUUAUUAAAAUAAAAUAAGAUUUUAGAACUUUAGGUUUUUCUUUUGUAGUUUGUUGAACCAAAAAAUAAUAAUUGUGUCUUAAAAAAUAUCUUAGGUACCUUCGUUGAGCUAUACAAAGUUUUAUAUAUAAAAUACAGAUAGAUGCAUAUUUUUAGAAAAUACCUAGAUACAGAUACAAGAUAUAAACAAGUUUCUAGAUACUGUAUCGUAAAUACUGUAUCUAGAUAUAUUACAGCACUGGACCCAAGACCCUUUAGAUCAACUCGGAUUUCGUACAUAUUGAGAUAAGAGCUGCAAGCUGAUACUCGGAUAUUUGUCCCACCUGCUGAACACUUACCAUGUAGCGGAAACUUACCAUGGGGCAUAAGAUACAUCGAUAUGGAAGAUAAUACCAAGUACCUAGGAAUUAUUUUUGAUCAUUAUUUAAGAUGGGAUAUUCAGAUUGAAUACAGUUAGAUAUUUUUUUUUAGAAAUUCUUCAUAAUAAUUAAUUAUGAUUGGUAUAUAUAUUCGUAGCUUUAGUUCAAUCUAUAUCUAGUUAUGUUCUUGUAGUAUAGGGUAAAUCUGUAGACAUAUACAUAUAUAAACUUAAUGCUACAAUAAAUUCAUUAUUAAGAUUUAUGUUGAGAAAACCCUUAUAGUUACCAAAAUAAUAAAAUAAAAACAAAAUUAUUAAAACGGUUAAUAUUUGUAAAUAAAUACAUAAAUAAAAAAUGUAUAUAUAGAAAUAAAAAAUUAACUUAUUAAUGAAUUCGACGCCUGAAGUAUUAUGAUAGGUGUUUAAUUAAGAUGCAUUCAGGAGUCCAUGACACCUCCAGAACGAGGCGCAGGCACAUAGCCAAAAAAUUCCACUUAGGGGGCCAAUAAUAUCUUAUUUUAAAAUUUCUAUUUGUCUUAUCUAUAUAAAAUGUAUAACAGUUACAUUGAAGUUUAUAUAUACUAGCAUUAUCAAAAAAAGGGAGAUUUUUUAUGAAGAUUUUAGUUUUAUUGUUUAUAUGUUUGAUUAAAUUAUUAUUAGUCUUAAAAAGGAUUCUUACAUUAUUUGUAUUAUUGAUCAGAAUUUUAGCGAAUUCGUUAAGACAUAUUAUUUUGAUAUUUCCUAUUACAAUAGUCAACAUUAUUUGGUGAGUUGUGUAUUAUUUUUUCUUUAAUACUUUUAUGCAUUUUUUUAAUAAUAUUUAAAUUGAAAUUAUUUGUAUGGGCAUAUUGUAGAUAAUAUUGAGCUCGUGUUGAUAAUUAUGUUCAUUCAAUGGAAUACGUUCAAGCCUAUAGAAUAUUGAAUUAAAAAUGAUAACCUAACCAAACACGAGUUCGCUUUUUGGGACAGCUUACAUCAAAAUAUUUAUGAAUUGAUAAUGCAUUUUUAAUUUUCAAUUUAUAUAUUUCAUACAUAUUAAUAUUGUGAUUGAUGAUAUAUCAAUAAAAUAAAUAAUAAGUAAGCUAAGAACAGGAAUAACCAUAACAAAAAUAAUCGUGGUGAAAUGGAGAUAUCAAGACGGAUCGGAUACAUGUUAGUGCGGUGAUAGCCAAUCAAAGACUAUAACAGAAAGUACAUUUGACGACUUGGCAUUAGCCAAUGAAAAUGGCUAUUAUCAAUAGCUAUUGACGCUUAUAAGAUAUAUAAAAUACUUUAAUGUAGGUAAAAAGUAUCAUAUACGUCUAACACCGGACACGAUAAUAAUAAAAAGAACUUGAUUUUAUGUAUCUACAUAAGAUAAAAGAUAAGUAAAUAGUUAUCUAGAUAAAUCCAAUCACUGAUUAACUACAACUUUCUCAACCCAUCAAAAAUUAAACAAGAAAGUUGAUUUUCAGUCGGAGCAAGUGUUCCGGGCUGGAACGAUCAUUCGGUUAAAAUUUAAAAUAAAAUCAAGAUAUUUUAGGUACAUAUGAACGGACAUUUUCCAGAAAAAAAACACACACAUCAUUAUAACAAUUUAUAGCCAUGAAUGAGUUUCAUUCUUGCAGGACGUCUAUUUAAUCGAUUAAUAAUAAUAAUAAUAAUAAUAGUAGAAUAUUAUAUUGUAAUAUACUGUAUGCACAAUAUAAAGAGAAACACCCACUACCGUCACCGCGGGAGGAUCUGUGUCAAAAACACAAUUAAUUGUUUCGAUAAAUUUGAUCCUGCUAUAAUAAUAUACUCGUUCGCUGAUUACGACGUGCGUAUAUAGAACAAUGUCGCCUUUGAAAUGAUCUCUAGUGUAGAUGUGCCGCGGUCGAACUUCUACUAAAAGAUAAUGGUUUAUGUGUAGUGGUAGUAGUUCUGCUUUUGAAAUACAUAAUUAAUUUGUGUGACUAUCGCCUGAUGCAUAUUAUUAUGAUACGAAUACGCGUAUAGUUUCGGAUGUUUUUAAGGAUGUUGCUGUAAUAAUUAUUCAACACAAAGUAUGGGUAUUUAAACGAACAUGAUAUUAAUAUUAUUAAAAAUAUUGUCAUUCGGUUUUGUUAGGGCCGGAUUAAACCCGAAAUAGCCUUAGGCACUUAUUUUUAUCAAUCCACUGUAAGGACAUUUAAAUGAUAUAUUAUAAUAACCAACACCUGAACCUGAUAUAGUUUUAGGUAACAGAACGCCCGGGGUGAAAACCGUGUUGUUCAUCGAUAAGGAUACUAUUAUUAGGUCUGUGAAUAGACUUCAAAAAAAAUGAUUCAAGAAGUUUGCCUAGGUGGACUGAUAAUACUGAUUAGCCUGUAUAGACAUUAUGGCCCGUAACAUUCGUAAUGUUACACGACUUUCAAGUCGUGUAGAAGAUCGUAGUUACCGAGGUAAUUUUCUAAUUAUCAGGAAAGUCACAAAAGUGACUUAAGAUUAAAAAUAAAAUAACCUUAAAGGCCAUCUAGUCCGACCGAUUUAGUAAGACGUAGCUUGGCUAGACUAGAUUUAAAAUCACUUCGACUAAUAUUUCAAGAAGAAGGAAGCUCGUUUGGAAAAUCACCAGAACUACUGAAAUCAAUAUUGAUGUCUUCGGGCGAAAAAACGGAGCUAAAAUGUUUUGAGAAUAGCUCGCACGUAUAAGUUUUAUCAAUACUGGAGAUACCAUACAGUUUAACAACAGAUAAAAUGUUGGUAACUUUUUUAUUUUUCCAAACAAAAUCCCAAAAAGAUUUGGGAUUGGUACAAAAGGACGUUUCAACUCAUUUAAUGUAUAGCUUUCAUAACAUUUCUUUGAUAAGAACUUAUACCGUGCGCGACGCAAAGAAAAAACGGAGUAGUCAAGUGGGCACAAUGAAGCCUUAUAGGUGGAAUGUGCUUUUCUUUUUUUGAAUGGUUAUACAUUUAAGGUCACUAGAAAACCAUGGAUAAAUUUAUAUUGUUCAAAAAGCAACACUAUUAACAGAACUCCGUUUAGAAUCGGUUUUCAUUAGCAAUGGUUAAUCGUUGUGUACAGAUACACUUGCCUACAUUAGUACGUAUUCUAAUAAGCCGAUAUUUAAAGAAAUUAUACUAUAAUAUUAUAUAUUUAAAUUUAAUCGAAUUUUAAAAUAACACGUUUAAUUAUCCAUCUAUCCAAUCAUUUUAAUAUGAGAAACGGGGAUUUAAUUUUGUAGAAUAUUAUACUGGUUAUUAUGAUAUUACUCGUAUAAUUAAUUAGGUAAUACUGCUACCUAUAAACUUGGUUAAUCAUUGUUUAACGUACUUAGUCAGCGAUUACGCACGAUUAUUAUUUCACAGUAAGGUACCGUUAAUUUAAUGAAUACGUUUUAAAUAAUAUCAAGGACCUAAUCGAAUAAAAAUAGAUACCUGAUCUAAGAAAAUAUUAUUAUCACUAAAUACUUUUUAGAAUUGUUUACAAAAUAUUGUAGGCAGAUAGCUAUUUUUAGACCAUUAAAUACAUUUUAUAUUGUACCUUGUAUUAAAUUUUCAAGCAUUUCUCUUAAGUCAUAUAAUGUUAUUAUCAGAUACCUACCAAAUAAAAUAAAAUUAGAAAUACUCGAACAAAGUAAACGGGGUUCAUCGUAAGUUGUACGUAGUGGUAAAAAAGUCAUUUUGCGUCAUUUAUAUUUGAUAUUUAUUUAUUUAUUUAUAUUUAUAUUUGAAUAUAAUUUUUAGUUGACACAAGAUUGAUCAUAAGUGUUGUAUUUGAUGUAAAAAAAAAGUUCAAUACAAUAUAGUCAUUUUUUUUUAUGAGCAUUUUAAGUUGAAAAUGUUUAAUUAUUUAAAAUCACGGUAUUUUAAAACACAUUUAACCGAACCUCAUUCAGAAUUGUAUUUCAUUAGAUAUUAUUUAUUGUUGCGUAUAGAUUUAAAUAAAAUAAUUUGAUGUAUUCAACUGGCUACUUUCCUAACAUCCCACCUACAAAAGUGACACGCCCUUCAGCAAUAUCAAUUAUUAUUUUUUCUUCAGAAUCGUAUAAGCUUUAUUUUAACACUAUUUCCAAUUUCUUUUCCUAUUGUAUUUUCAUAUUGUUUAUGAAUUAAAAAAGUUUAAAGUUUAGAUCGGAGGAAUAGGUAAGGCUAUUCUUCCGGUUCAACAAUAAAUCUUAUAAACGCUACAUCCGAUUUAUUAUAGUUUUAUGCAUAAUGUAAAAAUAUUUUAAAUUUGUAUCAGGGGGGGGGGAGAAGAGUUGGCAUUCACCAAACAAAUUCAAAGUUUUUACUCAUUUAAGGUAUGUUUUGUAAGUGUAGAAUAUUUGAAAACAAAUGGACUGAUGAAUAAUGGUUGAAAAAACAAAAAGCAAAUUUUCGAAACAAAUCGUUAAAUUAUGAAAAAAAAUCACUCUGUAUACUAUUUACCUAUGUACCAUGUACCUGUUUCAGAAUAACAACGCGUUUUAUUUGUUUUUAAAUUAUUUAUACAAUUAUAUGUACUCUUGGACCGCUCGGAAUACAAAAUUCUAUCUCAUUUUUCAAACAUUCGUGGGGAACAACUUUAAAAUUGAAAUUUAAUAAAAGGUAUGCAUUUUUUUUCUUUUUACCGUAAAAAAGUAUAUAAAUGUAGUCGUAGUUAAUAUAUUAUUUACUCAAUUCGUUAAAUGUUUACGAAAAAUCAAACUAUAACAAUAUCAAAUAAUAACGAAUGAAAUACAAUAAAUAGAUUUUUUAGAUAGUACGUUUAAAAAAAAAUCUGACUGAAAUGACAGGAAAUUUUCCGAAUAAAAUUUGUCAAGCAUUUAAAAAAAAAAAACAUGAAUUCACGCGUUUUUUUUUUUUUUUAAAAUAAUGAGCCAUACCUAUUCAAAACGAUUCGGCCGUUUAUACAACAGUAUAAAGGCUAGAAAAUAAUAUUAUAAUAUUGUAUAAUGAAAUUAAAUGUUCUCGAGACUAUGUAGAUAAUGUAACGGAAAAACUAAAUACAAUUAAUAGAUAUAUUUUACCGGGAAAUACGAUAUUUCUUUGUUGUAAUAUUAUACACGUAUAUAUAAAUAUAAGUGGAUAACUUUCUAAAAAAUUGUACGUGUCUGAGGCAAUUAUUUCUCAUCGAAUUAAAAUUUAAACAAAAGUUUUGGAGGUAACAGUUUGUAACGUUUUAUAGGUGGAUCGAUAUAAUAAAACUUGGGUUGAAUUUCAAUACGAAUUUGUUGCAGGUGGAGAGUGUUUUUUAAGUUUCAUACUUCCCUACAGACUUCUUAAAUGAAACCAGGGGAUUCAAUUUUGUAUACGAAUGCUAUUAGUAUCAUGGAUGUUUAACUUCCAAUCCCCUUCCCUCUUAUCAUUUUUAUGAUCAAAUUUCAGUAAUUUCAGUAACUAUUUUUUUAAAAGUGGUUCAAUAUUGUAGUGUAUACAGUAUAUAAUAUUGUAUUAUUAUGGUAUUUAUUGUUUUGCAAAGAAUAUUUCUAAAAUUAAAACAUGCUUUUUUUUUAAAAAAAUCGUACUUAAAAGUAAAAAAUGUUUCAAAAACAAAAUUUAUGAUAAACCAAAAGAAAAGCUUGAUGUAUACAUUCAUAAACAAUCACACCUAACUAAUAUACCUAACACAUAAAAUGUUCUACACGUAUAGCCACGUUUUGAAACCCGCUAUGGUAUCUUCGAUUCUGAAACGGAACAUUUGAUUAUGAGUUAUUAUACUGUAAUUAUAAAUUUGAAUUUAUGCAAAAUUUAAAACUAAUUGGACCACGGAAAGUGGGUUGUAAGAUUCCGUAACUCGAAUCGAGGAAAGUUAAAGAAAAGUAUCUAAAACAUAAAUCUCUCUGCUCUUCUGCUCAAGGAUUUUUUUUCUCUGUGUGAAAUGGUUUUUUUUUCACUUUAGCCUUUACAGCCCAUUAUAUUAAAUUAUAUUAAUAAGUGGUGAGAACGUCGUCGUGAUAAAAACCACGUUCGUCAAAUUGACGGUGGCGGCUAUGUAAAAAUUCAGAAGUACCGUCGUCAUAAAGUACUCAGUUACAUAUUUUUAAAAAUUUGUUUACAUUUUUCGACAUUGGAACAUGGUCGGGGAUUUAAAUACGGUCAUUAUUGUUCAAACAUAAUAAUUAUUAUUUCAAAUAAAUAUUAGAUUGUUUCGGUGCGAUUUUUUUUGUUUUAAAUAAAGUUCCUUUUAGUUUUUUUUUUUUUAAUAAACGUUUUCCCUCGCAUGUUUAAAGACUUUUUAGUUGUUAGUAAUUAACACGGGGAUAUUAAAAAGUGCUUUCAUUUUUUUUCCAUUUAAAUUAAAAUUAUGUUGCCCCUUUUUUUUUUAAUAAGAAAUUACAAUUAUUAUCAAAAUUGUUAUUUUUUUUGAAUUUCACUAAACUUUUAUUUAUUAUCUACUUUCUAAUAUUGGUCUUCUGAAACUUUAAUUUUCUUUAAUUGGAAAUAUAUUCGUCUCAACAAAUUAUUAUGUUUAAUUAUGUUUAUAAUUCUGAAUUUCAUUUUUCUUCAGUUACGACAAAGUAAUAUUUUGCCACACAAACAUUGUAUAAACAUUAAUUUAUACCCACCUAUUUUCUACACGAUAUUAAACCUAAGUCAUGAAGGGGGCAUAGCCCCCACACCAACUAUCAAUUUCUUAAACUAUAAAAUACUUGUUUACAAAUUAUAUUAUUUACUGAAUAAUACUUAAAUGUUUGCUUCAUUUAAUAUUUUAAUGCGUAAAUAGGUACUUUAAUUUUUAUCGAGUUUCAAAAUCAUUUAUAUGAAUAUUAAAAACAUUUGACAUAGACAGGAAUAUAUUGCUUUUUCAAUGUUUAUUUUAAAUUCUGACCACAGCGAAGGAUCUAUUGGUUUCGCUAUGAUGUGUGGUUUUGUAUUAUUAUAAUUUUUUUUUUUGUUGUGUCUUUGAACAACUUUUUUACUAUAAAUCUUGCUCCGAUUUAUAGAGUGUAACACUUUUUCUAAAAUGUUAUUUUGUCUAGUUAUAUGGCGACUUUGAUUUUCUUGGGGGGUUUUAAAAAUAAUUGGGAAAAUUAUAGGUAAAACGACAAAUAGUUCCACGGCCGCGGCGUUACCGAUUUCAUUAUUUUAUAUUUGUAUACCUACACAAUAUUUUUUACCAGAAAUAUUCCUCCAAUCAAAAUAUGACAAGAAGUCGAUUUUUUUUUUUACAUAUAACUGUUAUCAUAGAAAAUCGUUUUAAGAUAUCUAAAGUAUUUUUCAUAAUAGUUUAGAAAAAUCAAAAAAAACGAAAAAUACGAUUUUUUUCAAAUAACUGUGCAACGAUUUCAUUGUUUAAAAUUUUUACGGCUAUGUUUUCUACCAUAAACAUUCCUCCAAUAAAAAAACGACAAAAGACUUUUUAUUCAAUUCUUAAUUAGAUUGAUUGGUGAAUAAGAUAGCUGUUUUUGGAUUUUCGUGUAGUUCUUUUAAUAAUUGAGUAAAACUGAAAAACAAAAAACGGGAAAAUUUACGAAAAUAUUGCAUUUAUUAUUUUCAAUUUAGUUUUUUUGUAAUUCAGUUGAACAUAUUCGUAGAGACUUGAAAUUUAUAUAGAUAAAUCUACUUUUUCUAGAAACAGAAAAAUUUUCAAAACAUUUGAGCCAUUUUUGAGCUAUUUAUAAACAUUAUAAUUUUGGGAGUUUUUUUACGUAAUUUUCAUUUGCUAUCCUUUUGAUAAAAUUGUUAGAUCAAAUAGAAUUGAUUGAAAAUUUAACAGAAAGUCAACUUUAAGCCAUAAUUAAUGGUUAAAAAAAAUUAAAUGUAAUUUAGUUUUUUUUUUUUUUAUAAGAGUUAAAAUCAUAUUUGACGAAAAUUGUAAAUAUUUCGGCCUUUCAAAUCAUGUAUAAUCACAUUUCUCGUUAUUAAUGGUUUAUCGUUGGCUAUAUGUAUAAAUUAAAUAUAUUUAUAUAUUCUACUUUCCCAACUACCCACCUACAACAGUGGUCACACCCAUCCUUAAUAUCAGCUCUUUUAUUCAUAUUUAUUUAUUAUGUGUUUUUGGUUGUAGCCACUGCUGUAGAUUCAUACAUUUAUUAGGUUCUUUAUAUUAUUUAUCGUAGAAAUGUAAUCAAUUGAAUAGUUAUGUAUAUAGUUAUAGUUAAAUAGUAACUAUAAUUAGUUCUCUGCUUUCACUAAUGCAAUCACACAUUACACGCUUCUGCAGUUUAGGAAUAGACUAGUUCGCGUUAUUUAGAAUAUUAUGUUUACUACUCUUCUUAUUUAUUGUAAAAUGUACAAUGUUUUAUACUAAUCUACUAAUUCUAUAUAAUAUACCCACCCCUUAAAUAAGACGUGGCGGCCGCCAUAACUAAUGUAUAGGAUCGGCACCACUGUUUUACUUACUUCCAUAGAAGAUAAAUUUAUUACUGCAGCAAAGUUCUCUAAAUUGGUUUUUUUUUAUAGCCACCCGAAAUAUCUGCUGGUAUAAUUAUACCCAAAGUAUCAUUUAACCUAACCUAACCUAAUCUAUUAAUUUUUCAUCGAAACGUUUUAGAUUUGUCUAUGGUUAAAUCAUUAAUACGUCGUCUUUAAAGAUAUUUUUCUCACUAGUUGUCAUUGAGUUUCCUCGAUUUCCACGGACGAACCACGUAUUAAAAUCAUAUAAGGUAUUUCCGUAACUCUAUAUAUUCCAGUUCCUGACUUAACUUAUAUUUCUUUUCUUAAUUUUAAAAUAAGUAUGGUUGUGAAGUUCGUUUUUUUCAUGAUAUUUUUAUAUUUUAUUGGGUGAGUUUUUAUGUUGCAUUUUUUUCUUUUAAUAUUUCCAGUAUUCUAGUAUUCUUAAAUUUAAUGUGAUUUUUCGGUACUAGUCUUUCCGAUGAUGCGAACACAAUAAGUAAUUACAUAUUAUCUAAUAAAUUGAAUGUACACCUUUUUUUAAAUUUAUAGUAGGCAAUAAUAUCCUAAGUAAAUAUUUUUAACAUUAUCAGCGUCAUAUUUAGCUUUUUGAUGUCUCUAGACUUCCAGUUAUUUUUAUCUCUUUCUAAGAACAGUCGUGUCCCGUCUAAUACAGUAAUCUAGAUUACAAUAACUUUUAUAUUAACUAUUUGUUAUUAUUUUCACCGCUAACAAAAUCAACUUUAAAACAAAUUACAUAAAAUACAAUUUUCAUGUGCAUUAAAAUUUCGCUUUGGCUUUGGCUUAAUUAGGCCUGCUGUUAAAUUCGUCACUGCAGAAAUAGUUAUAAGUAAGAAGUUGAAAAGGUAGGAUACAUAAAUUAAUUUAAUAUAUACAUAUCUAUAUACAAAUGAUACAUCAUUGCUAACGAAGUACGAAUCUGAGUGAAGUUCAGUGUUUGAAGUUUUAUGAUGUUUAAGAUUUUUAUCGAAAUUUGGACUUAAUAUCUGCUAAAAAAAUUUACUAUAAACGUUAUAUUUUUGUUUGCUAACCAAUAAUAUAACCUUAUAAUAAACGUUGUGUAAAAUAUUUAAAUAUUUCGGAUUGGCUAAUAUGCAUGUAAAUAAAUCGAAUAAAUAUUAAAAACCAUGAAAAUUUCAAGUGCCUAUGAAUAGCUCAUAAACCGCCAGAAUGUUUCGAAAAUAUUACCACAUCUAAAAAACCAAUUUAAGUAUAAUUACUAUGAAAGCUACUAGAAAAAUAAAAAAAAAUACUUCCCCAAUGCACCAACUAGAUCUAAAAUGUUACAAAAAAUAUUUUUUAUCAAUUUUUGAUUGGAACAUAAGUUCUAGAUAAACAACAAAAUUCAUCAUUGCAAUAUCGUAUAUUAUAAUAAUUUAUAAUAUUAACUCCGAUCACGUAGUGUAAGCUAAUUACCUACUAAAUUUUGUUUUUCCAUGUAAAAACUAAAGAACAUUUCGUGAAUUACAACACAGUAAUCACUUUAUUUUAAUUACAAUUUUAAUUGACAGCGUAUAGUAUACAUAAUAUAAUAUUAAAAACUUUGGUACGGUAUGUAAUAUAAAUACUCAUAUAUAUUAUUAACAAUGUUACUAUUGUUUAAAUCUUACAAUUUACUGCACUCUUGCUGUAAAUUGUAAUUAUUUUAUAAUUAUAUUGUAUGAGAAAGAACACCCCGUGAUGUGAUGUGAGGGACGUCGUCGUUAUACACAAUGAAAAUCAAUUUAUCAACUAAUAUUUAAUUUAUUUUAAUAAUAUUCUUCUUGUCCAAACGUCAAAACUAAUAAUAUUCGGAUAUCUACUUAAAAUUUGAUCAAUAUUGCAAUGUAAUAAUAUUUUACGUAAUAAUUAGGGCAGAUAUUCAUAUAUAAAAUUGCAUUUUGUAUAUUUUGGCGUUAGGAGAUUUUUAGAGCAUAUUUUAAGGGUUCGAUACAUUUUCUGAACAUAUUAUAUAAGAUUUCGUACUUUUUUGAGACAUUUUUAACAUAAAAAAACGAGAAUCACAAAAUAACUUUUCAAGAUUUGUAAAUAGAGUAGAUAUUUAUAGACUUAUGCAUAAUUAUAUUGGUUGGUCAAAAAAUAGUUAGCACAAAACUUCACUAAAUUCAGAGAGUUUUUGGGUGGGAAUCAUCUUUUCAACGACGAGGUCAAAUAGAUGAUGGAGAAGUGGUUGGAAUAGCGGUCGGAGAGUAUACUCGUAUACGGGCAUACAAAAGGCCCGUACUGUAAAAACGCAUUGGACUUGACGACGAUUAUAUAGAAAAGUAUUUUACUGUAUUUGAUUCAUAUCUUGUGAAUUGAAUUAAGAUAUACGCAUUUUUCUAAUUAUAUUAAAACUGUAACCUUACUUUUUGGAUGACCUUCGUACCAAAAUGUGUCUCACGAUUCUAAAUACUAAAUGUCAUUUUGAGUAUCAUUGGAUUUUUAGAAUUUAAGGGUAUAUUAGGAUAUUUUAGGAUUUUGUACAUUUUUAACAUGAUUUGUACCAUAAUAUUUUUUUUUUCGAGCAUAUUUUAGUAUUUUUAGUGCAUAUCGGCUGUCUCACGAAAAUAUACCCUUUGAUUAUCCCCGGACAUAAUAAAGAUAAACAAAUUCUGUUGUUUGUACAUUACUCACAAGGAAGAGUACUAUAAAUAUUUAUAUUUAAAUAGUUUUUUUUUUUAUUAAACAAAUUUACAAAAAAAUACUUUAUUUUAUUAUUUUCGGAAAAUUUUAAGAUGGACAUUCGGCAAAAAUUUAUUUUUCUGAAAAUUUUAAUGGAUUACCCAUUUAUAUCCGAUGAACAGUUUCUAAGUAAUAGCCAUUUUAAAUUCUACUAAUCCGUGUGAAAACCGAUAUUAUCGCGUAACACGGUUAGGUUAUUCCCUAGAUAACAAUGAUUUUUACACGGAUUAGUACAAUUUAAAAUGGCUGUUAUGUAGAAACUAUAAAAUAAAUUUUACCGAAUGGCUAUCAUACAAUUUUCUGAAAAUAAUAAAAUAAAGUUAUUUUUUUAAUUUUUUCAAUAAAAAAAAUUCAUAUUUAAAGGGUAUAUCUUCGUGGACAUACUGUAUAUAUGUAUAUUUUAAGAAAUUUAAGGGUAUAUAAAUAUCAGCCCUACUAACAAUAAUAAGAAUAUUUGUCGGUGAGACGUUUCAUCGUGACUGUGAUAAUGUGCAAUCGACAUAACCCGACCGGUGAAAACCUGUUCAAAACUUGUAAGUAUUGCCCGAUGCGUUUUCUUUCUCAUCAUUCUCGACUUCUCGUUCCAGUUCAGUCAGUCAGUGUCCGUAUGCGGGUACACUGUAUUAUUACAGAAAAUAAAUGCUCGAAAUGUAUUUCCCCAAAAUACAAAAACUUUAAAUCGUAUUUGUCCGAAAAGUACAAAUCUAUUAUCCAAAAAUAUGAAAAUCUGAUUGUUCAAGGCCCAAGGUAGAAUAGGGCAAGUAAGGCUUAUAUCCAGGACUUCGAUCCGGAAUGAUACAUUUCGGAAUUAUAAUAUUAUGGUCUGGCCACAUAUUAACUUCAUUCAGUUUUGGGCCUACUGCUCAUUAUACUCCACCCGAUAUGCACGAAUUGCAUUAUCAAUUCGUAAUAUAGUAUUUGGCCAUUUUUUGGCCACUUUUUGGCUCUCAAUAUUUUAAAAAAACCAUGUUUAAGGUAGAAGCCGAUCAAACUAAAGUAAAAGGAAAUAACUAUCAAAACGUCCGAAACUUACCAAAUAUAUCAGUGAACUUCUUUUAAUGAAACAUAUAUUUGAUUACAUGUUGUAGAAGUGAUAAGCUAAUAUUUUUAUUUUUAUUACAUAAAACAAGAAAAGUACUUGAACAGAAAAACAAAUAAAAAAAAAAAACACUUUUCUCUUGAGUUAAGUCUAGCUAGAUUAUGAGACUAAGAAUAAAGCUCAUAGAUAUAUGUAUAACAAAUAUACAUGUACCAACAUAAGCAGCAGAGAAGUAGGUUAAGACAAAUUCUAUGAACAAUUAACCAGGUAACGAUAAAUUACCGAAAGUACAAUGAAAAUCAUGUUAGGCGACGCAAACGCAAAAAUAGUAAAGGAACGUAUGUAUUAAAAAUCGGACUAGAAAGUAUAUAGAAAGCAACAAUAACGGUCAGAGAUUAAUCGCUUUUGCAACAUCUAGAAGUAAAGUAAUAAGUAGCAUAAGUUUCCCCCAUACGAGUAGACACAAAUAUACCCGAAAGUCCCCUGAUGGACGGACUAUGAUCCAAAUUGAUUUUUAAAAGAUUAUAGAUCCACUAUAAAAGGUGUGAGGAGCUACCGGGGUGAAAACUGUGAUACGGAUCAUUCGGUGAUAUACAAUUGUAUACACAAUUGUCGUACAAUUUGUACGACUGCUUACGAUUUCUGUACCUGACUCUUAAAAAUAUUACGAUUGCAUACAAAACCGAGUGUAACGUUGCCAACAUGCAAUACUCAGUUUAUUUACUAUGUAUAUAAUGAUUGUUAUGUGAACAUAUAACAUACGAAUAUCCAGUAGCUAGUAAAAUGUAUAGUAAAUUAACUGUUAAGAAAAAAUUGUGCGUGAAUUGAUAAAAAAAUGAUUUUAAGUAAUUAUUAAGUACUAUUGAAAUAAUACAGUAGUGUAUAGUCAGUUAAAAUAAUAUAUAAUUUAUAAUACAAUGUUAUUACAAAUAAUAAAUUAUAUUUUUGUAAUCUGUAUAUAAUAUAUUAAGUUACAAAUAAUUUAAAAUAAUUAUAACUAUAACAUAAUUUUGAAUUAAAACUAUUGACACAAACUGAUAGUAUAAAAAAUUAAAAACUAUUAUAAAUUAAUAAACAAAUAAAUUAUAAUCUAAAACCUUGGUAUCGGUAACUAGUCUCUGUAGAUAAAAAAUGUAAUACAUUACCAUCUAUUUUAAAUUGAGUUUAUAUUACAUGCGAUUAUUUUUUUUGAAUAAUUUUAGUCGUAGAAAUAAUAGUCACAGUUACGUUUAUUAAACCAAGUACCUUAAAGGUUAGUUAAUCAAAGUUUUUUCCUAAAAUAAGUUAUAUUACAUAUUUUUCAAAAAUUUCACGCUUUUGAAUAUGCAACGGCAACGUUGCACUAAAUUUUGGUAGGUAGAACGUAUGCCAAUCAUAUUAGUGAAAAAGAUUAAUACGCAAUCGUAACGCACCCGGGGUCAUUUACUAGUUAUUUCCAAAUUCUGUCUCAAACUACAAAGAGCGAGUUGGCACAAAAAGAAGUGAAAAUUGUCAAAGAUAAUUAUAACUUAAUCCCCCUCCCCUCCUAAGUGAAGAAAGUUAUAAGAUGAAACGAUGGGUGGUAUUAAACGGGUAAGGCCCUGUUAUUAAAAUAAGAAUAAUAAUACAAAAAUUGAAGAUAAAAAUGAUAAUGAAAUACAGUCAGUAUUGGGAAAACAAAAUCAGAAAUCAUUACAAUGACAAUCGAAAAUGUUUUUAUUUUAUUUUGAGCAUUAAUAAAGUGCAUAAUAAUACUGUAGGUAAAAAAAUGUAUUAUUUUACUAGAUCGAUAUUAAAGAGCAUUAAAGACUCUUUUUUAUUUUUUAUUUUUACAUAAUUCAACAAUUUUAAAUACAAUUAUUUUUGUAUAAUAUAUAGCAGUGCAAAUAAAAUCGAAUGCACUUUACCGUGAAAAGUAUCCACGUGUGUAGUAGUUGUUUUAUACCUGCAGACGAUUUGUCUUUGUCGUUUUCAUUCCUUAAAAAAAAAUAUUUGUACUCGUAUGUUUAUGUAUGUGUGCAACAACACACCGAUGUUUUGUAGGAGUCCUAUUAAAUUGACAUAUUAUCGGAACCUAUGUGUCAAAGCGAUAAUAAUAAUAGUUGUAAAAAGAAAACGAGUUUUCUGGCAGAAAAUACAAAUAAAAAUCAUUGUAAAUACUGCAAAUGCCACAAGUACUGUAUAUAGCUGCAUAGGUAUUAGAAUAUGACGGGGAGAAGGACAAAACAAAUUAUUAUCAUUAUUAUUCUAAAUUUUUUUUUUAUAGUUAAAAACUGUAUUUGAUAUUAUUAUUAUUUGUUGAUCUUUCUUUGUUUUCCCUUGUUGCCAAGAAACUGAUUUUGAGAUCUCAGGAUGGAGUUUACGUCUUAUUUAGUUUUCUGUAGUGUAUACUUGUUUUUUUUUUUUUAUUCAUACAUUAAGUAUCGUUCGAUUUAUUGACUUACUAACUAUUUAAAUUCCUAGAAGGUGAUACAGGGGAAUUUCUUAGGCAUUUUAAAUUGUUUAAAUUCUUUAAUAAGUCUUAUAUUUUUUUGAUUUUUUUUUUUUAAAAACGAUACCAAAUUUUUCUACACAUUUGAAUACACCUAUUUUAUUUUAUCUUAAAUUCCACAUUUGUUCGGUUUGGUAUCUUUUAACAUUUUAUUAAAUUUAAAUUUUUCAUUUUUUCGCAGGGAAAGUUUUUUUCGUUUUUACUAAAUUAAUUUAUUUUUUUAAUCAAUUUAUGUGUAUAAUAAUAAUUUUUUCCGUUUAUUAUAAAAUACAAAUUUUUAUAUUUUUGAUGAAAUUAAACAUUACUAGAGUCAUAAAAGAUCCUAUUAUUUAAUAUUUCAAAAAAUCAAUGGUAUAAAAUAAGAUAUAUAGGUACUUAAACAGAUAAUUAUUCAACACAGUUUAUACUGCUCUUCUAAGCCAGGUUCUGGUCUAAGCCCUUUUAAGGGUAGAAAGCAACGCAAUUUGAAAAUUGAAUUUUUUUAUAUUAAAUUAUUAGGUUUUUAAGGUGCAUAUAUUUUAUCAUUACCAAAAAUACCGUAAAUGCAAUUGAUUGAUUUCAUAAUACCAUAAUAUGUACACGUAUUUUAAAAAUAAUAUAUGGAUUAUAGGUACUAAGUAAAAAACAGUAACUGAUAACAUAUACAUACAAUUUUUGUUUAGUAUUGUUAUGAAUUAAGAAACCAAGGCUAUUCAAAAAAAAUUAUUUUUCUCAAAACUAUUGCUUACAAUGUCAUUUACUGUUUUUUGGCUCCAGUUAAGCUUCAGCAUUCAUAUUAUCAUAUUAUAACGCACGUCUCCUAUCUAUUAUUAUAUAUAUAUAUAUUUUAAAUUAACUACAGUUAUUUUUUUUUAUUUCUACAAAGAACUCUUCCCCUGCCCCUCGUUUGUUAGUUUUUAAAACUUAUAAAAACUCGUAAUAUACAUUUCAGUAUGUAUAUAUUUGUAUACUUAUAUAAUGUAAAAAAUAUAUAUGUAUAUAUAUGUAUAUUGUAUAUAAUUGUAAAUAUACAGAUACUGUAGAAUUUAUGUAUUUUUCACAUAAAUAUACUCGUUAUAAUUGAUGAAAGAGAUUUUUUUUUUUAUAUCCUCAGGAAAGUUUUUUAAUAUCCGCACUACUAAAUUCGAAAUAAAACAAAGGGAUGCGUAUCAACGGAAAUUUAAUUUGCACGUAAGAGCUACUGAAUUAGAAUACUAUUAUAAAACAUCACUUGUAUUUGUUUGUAAACAAAUCAUAAAAUACAUAUUUAGAAAUAAUUCAAUGAACGUAUUUGUUACAAAUAAUAUUUGUUAGAUAAGCAAAAGAAAAAUUCAAUUUAAAAUUUAAACCAUAUAGUCGCAACUACGGAGACGGGCUAAGAAUACUUAGUACUCCAAAAUGAUCAAUUUCAUCCAAAUUUUUUUUAAUAUUUUAGUUUUGUUAAAAGUUACAAUUUUUAAAAUUUUUUUUUUAUUAUUAUCUCUGUAAAUAAGUAAAAUGUGUUAUAACUCUUUGAUUAGUAGCCAAAAAAAUAAAAAUAAAAAUGAUUCAAUAUUUUCUAUUUACUAAAUAUUCACUUCACUAAUAUGAAUAUUAAACAUAUAUUAUUAUAUUAACAAUAUUAUUAUUUUUUUCUACAUACUGGACGAAUACUAAGUCCAGCGUUCGUGUAUUUUUCCAAAAUACGCUAAGUUCGACAUGAAAAAUGAACCUGUAAUACCAAGAUCUAUUUUAAACUAGUUCAAUAAUAAUUCUCAGACUUAUUAAAUUCUAGUGACCGAGCACUACUGUCGUCCAUGGGUGAUUUUGUAUUAUUAAACAACCACGAGGGGGGGGGCGGACAAUUGAUACGCCACUGUAUAUAUUUAUUGUCUUUGCCUAUAUACCUAUAUGUAAAUACAUGAUAAUACUAAUAAUAUGCAAAGAGGUCUCUGUGUAAUUUAUAUGGCAAUGCAUAUGUUACUAGCGAUGUUGGCAAUUGGAAAACUAUAACUAUUCUUAAUACAAUAAGGAAAUGGCAUAAUUGCAUAGUAAAUGUUAUCAUGAUGUUAAAAUUAUAGAAGAAAAUGAUGACUAUGAUUAUACUAGAAGAGUGGGUAGAUAUUUUAAUAUAUUGUAAAUUAUAUUUGUAUUUAUUUAUUAAUUAAGUAGAAUACUUUAAUGCUAUUAAUUUUUAUUUGCACAGGGUAAACUUCCAUAGCAUUUGGAAUUACAAGUAUUUGCAGAAUGAAAACACAUCUGUUUGUUUUGUGUUUUAUUUUGUAAUGGCGCCAGGUUAGGUUAGGAGGUCCCUAAUAUGCUAUUUGUAGCCGCUGCCGAAUGAAACAUUUAGUAUCUAACAUGUUCUACUAAGCAUAAAUAAACCUUUAUAGGUAUGGCAAUAAAUAUCAAUACAGUGUUUCCACAGAUAAGUUAAAUACUUAGUUAAAUUAGAUUAAAAAUCUUGACAUUUAUUUUCAGUGUAUUAUGGCUCUAAUAGCCCUAAACGAAAAAUUAUUUUAAGCCGAUAAUAUUUACCUAAUAUGUCUUCACUUAUGGACUUUUUUUGUAUUUCCAGUAUACAAUUUUAUAUUGAUAGAGUAAUAUAAUGAUGUGUGAUAUAACUAUACUGUGUAAUGCUAUUAAUCUUAACCGUAUUAGGAAUUAUCAAUAUAUCAGAUAGCACAUAUUAUUUAUGUACUUUAUGUAAAUCAUAGACAUAUUAUUUAUAUAUCAUUUAUAUUGAGAUAAAAAGGGAAGUUCGAAUGGGCAGGCCACGCGUGUUAGAAACAAAAUAUCAUAACAAAUAAACUGCGCCAAAAAAAAACUCAACAAGCAAAAGGCCUCUAAACACGCUAAAGCUGCACUGGAAAGACUGCAUUGGGAAUGUUUUUUUAAGUGUCAUAUUAUAGGGAUAUUAUAUGGGGAAGAUCACUGAAAUCUGGAUUGGAAUGAGGUAGCAGAAAACAGAGAAAAAUGGAAGAUGAUUUUUUUUUUGUAUAACAAGAUUAACUUAAAGGCCUCUUAGCCUCUUAAAAAAAAAAAAACUAUUUAUGCGAUGGCUAACGACACCGCGUGAUAAUAAUAUGGAUUUCGGUUGUUUCUCUGCCUCGGAUAACUAUACAAUAAAUAUUAAAUAUUAUUACUAUCUUUCACUGUCAAGAGUGGUACUCCAAAAGAAAACCACUAUCACCACUACAAUCGCCAUGAUACUCUAUUAUAAUAUAUAUUCUAUCUCUGAUAUUAUAAUAUUUUGUUUCCUAAAACCGCGUGUAUGGACAAUUGAGAUUAGGACGCCGCACGAUUAGGAGUACUCGUAUGUAGUCAAUAUCAGUAUUUAUUAUUUAUAAUAUCAUCGGGGACCACAAAUUGUCGAAACUUCGAUAAUUAUUUUGGUCUGUGGUAUAUUCAUAUCGUUACAGGGUGAUUUUUUUUUUUAAGAACGCUCGUCACGUUUUUAUAAUAUGCUUAAAUAAUGGAUUUAAUCAAAUGUAAAGGUUUUAACAUUGAAUUUCAAGAGUGGAAUAAAUUCUGCUGUAGGCAAUAUUCGUAUAACAUCUUUAAAACAUAGAUUUUUUAAAAGAUUUUUUUUUACGUAGAAAUUAAUUGUGGGAUAUUCUUGAAACUUGGUACGCAAAAUUUGAGUAUUUGCAUAGCACAUUUAAAAUUCACGCUAUAGAUACACUAUGUUGUAUCACUACACACACACAUACACACACUAUAUAAUAUAACUGUACUAAACAAGACGUAAUACUAAACAACUUUUUUUUGGAGAGGGAAGGGAGGAUAACAUUUUGAAAAAAGAAACAAAAUCCUAUAGUUGGUGAAGUUAAUAAACAUAUAUUAGGUUUUAAGGUAAUAAAACCUAUGGUUUUGUUGGCAGGGAUUAAUCUAAAACUCUCCAAAAUACGCCCUCGGUACUUUGAACGGUGACUUUUGAACGAAAAAGUUGAACGAUUCUCCGAAGAAAUGUCUAUCGAGCUCAUAUUAGAUCUUUACGGUACACCUUAUUUUUUUUUUUAAAUUUUACUUAUAGUUUCGCGCGUUUCGUGUAUUUUUCAUUCCGUAAAUUGAAAUCGGUAAAAAAAAAAAAAACAUUAUAACUCGUUCUGUACAAAAUAUAAUAGUAUUACACAGAUGUUUAUAGUUCCAUCUACUCUACUCACACAUGUAUUUUGUAUUUAUUUAAAACAAAAUACAACCAUUUCAUAAUAAUAUCAAAAUAACAAAUAUAAUUUCUUCGAUAUUAAAUGUAUAUAUACAUAAAAAAAAACAGUUUUUCAAGAUAUUCACUUCGUUUGAUAUUACUUCAUAAAUAUUUGUCGUCUUCUUUAAUAUUAUCGAGUUCACAUUACAAUCGUUUUUCAUUAUUUUGUACGUUUGUUCCGCUCACAUGAACAAUUCUCUCUCGUUUUCGGUGUAUUAUAGUAGAAUAUUAUAUUAUUUUAUAAAGUAUAAACUUCAAUAGGGUAUUAUGCACUUUUAUAAUAAUCUGCUCAUCUAUCUCUCCCUUUAUAAUACGUACACAUUGGUUUUAUAACAUAUCGAUAAAUUGGAAUACAGGUAUUUCACAAAAGUUUUAUUUUUUAUUUUUUUCAAGUUUCGAAACACAGAUAUUUUUGUUGACUUUGAUAACAAGCUUCCGGCAAUGACGCUUUUUUAAAUAUUAUAACAGAUGUUUAGUUUUUCAAUAUUUCAUUAAUUUCCUGUAAGUACCUAUAUAGAUUAUAAGUAUAGCAUACCCACCUGUAUAUUAUAUUAAUUAUUUCAUCACGGUAAGGGAAACAUUUUAACUUUCAUUUUUAUAAUGAAAAUAAAGACGGGGGGAUUAUUAUUUUUUUUUGCUUUGACUUAACGAUGAAAUGCUAUACAAUAAUUUAGUUGGUAAAUUUUACCGUUCUGGUAGGUAUACCUACUUAAUAAUAUAUUUUAUGAUGACUUUUGUAGAGUAGGUACAUUUGUUUCACUGCAGCCCUCGGUCACAAUAAUAGGUAGUCACUUUAUAAUUUAAACUAUUCCAUUUAUCACACUGGGUACACUUGUUAGGUAUCUACAGGAUGAUCCACUUAUCACAAUUCAUCAAUUCUUUCCUCUAAGAUACGCAAUAAAAUAAAAUUAAAGAUUAGAAGAUUUCAUAUUUUCAUAUCUAAUCGGUUGCGUUGUUUUUUUCUUAUAUUUUUUCGCGUGGGGUAAACAUUUUCCAAAACUUAUAUGCCAGCUGUUUUUUGGUCUUAAAUUAGUAAGUGAUCUUCAAUCAUAAUUUUCAUUCCAGAAUUUUAAAAACUUUUCAAUACGCCUACGUCGACCUUGAAAUGAAUCGAUGCUUCAAAACGAAAAAUAAUUACUUAUUCAAUAUAUGUGGUUAUGCCAGGUAAAUAUUUUCCCAGCAUGAUAUGGUUGACUUUGAAGGAGCAGUUCAGGGUUAUACUGAUUCCAUACAACAAGUUCUGAUUCGUUGAUAAAGUUAGACAAACAUGUAAGUAAUAGAUAAAAAAAAUAUCAUACUGAUAUUUGUAUGAUCUUUGGCAAUUUAUAACCACGUUUAUGUUUGAACUGAAAGAUAAUCUAUACCACACAAUACCAUAAUCGAUUGAACGUUAAUAAAUUGGGAAACCUAAAAUAAAAAAUUAUUUUACUUAAAACCGGAUACCUACUAAUUUUAUCAUAUCGCCUGCUAAUAUUUAAAUAUUAUGAACCAUUAUUUUGUGAUUCUGUUGAUAUUCAUUGUUUUUAAAAUAUCUUCAAAAUGUAUCAAAUUCUUAAUUAUGUUCUAAAAGUGUAAGAAAAUCCCUAAUAUAUACUCUGAAAAUACAAAAGCCACAAUAUGCAAAACAUAAUUUAUUUCUCUAGUUUCCUUCAAUGUAAAUUUUAAACUGUUAAAAUUCUUUAAAAAUUCCAUAAUAAUAGAAAAACAGAAAUAAAGUCCACUUAAAAUCCUCCGAGAAUAUGCUGGUUCAUGAUAAGUGGACUAUUCUGUCGGUACUUAUAUACUCGUAUCAUAAUUUUGCACAUUCAUACUUUCUAAAAGCGUUGUAGACUUUUAUUUAAAUCAUUCGACAAUUAUUGUAGGUUGUAAGCUAAUUAUUUAAUUUAUUAUUUUUAAGCCAAUAUUUUGCAUAAUAGUUUUAUUACUAAAACGUUUCUUGACAUUUUCUUGUUGUUUUCGAAGCCAAAAAAAUUCAAUAAAAAAUGUAUAAAAAACACAUAUAAUAUUCAACGUCAUAAACCUCACGUAGAUGAAUUUACAUUUUACUUAUAUUUGAACGCUUAUAUGAUCAUUUCUCACUUACCUAUAAUAACACCUCUCAUUCAUUACAUUUUUUUUUACUUUUAAUUAUUUUCUAUAAUAUAAACUUAUUGAUCUUAAUCUUGAUUAAAUCUUAAUUGAUCUUGCGUAUAGGUUAUGUUUAUAAUUUGAUAAUACUUAUAAUAUUAUAAGUGGAAUUAGAAUGUUUUUGCAUAUAAAACCAAAAAAAAGCACUUAAAAUAUUUAAAAAAGUAAAAGUGGUAGAGGAAUUUUAAAGCCUUUCCUCUAUCAAUUCGUACUCUAUCAAAACAAAUUUUCGAUUAAUGACAAAAGAUAAACAUAAAGUAUUUUUUUUUAAUAACACGUAUAAAUUUAUUUGAAAAAUAUUUCUUUGUAAUAAUUAUUUUUGUAGCGUAAAAAACUAUUUUAAAUAAAUUAGAACCAUUAUAGGGGAGUAGGGACUUUUAAACUGCUCUACCAUUAUUGGUCUAUUAAAUAUUUUUUAAAUGAUUUUCUAAGAAUUUUUUGAUGUUAUCAAGCUCUUUUUGUGGAUUUAAAGUGCAUAUAAGUCCGUUCCCUAAUUAUAAGUAUUCCUAUAACUAAUUGGUAGUCCAAUUUUAUAUGUUGUCUACGGUCUAUGUUUUUUUUAAACAUUUUUCUUUUUAUUUAUUAAGUUUUAGUUAUUUUUUAGAAAAUAAUUUAUUAUAAUGUUACGUCUGUAAAACUAAUUAAUUAAACUCGACGUUUACCUGAGCAUGUGCAAAAAAUAAACUGUGAAAAAAUACGUCUUAUCAAUUUACAAGACCCGUAUUUUUAUUGCCGAUAGAUAAUUGUGAAAAAUAGAUUUAAACAUAGUUCCCCAGAGACUCAUUCUGAUAUUUUAAAUUACCUAUUCUGAUUGCGUAAUAACUAAUCUUUGGCUAUGUUACUUCAAAGAUGUCGAUCAAAGAGUGGAUAUCGAUUCCUAUGAACAAAUAAAACGGAUGGCAUUUAACAGAGAGACAUGCCUGUCUCAACGAGGCGUUGCCUUUAGGAAUUGAUGAUUAAUUUAAACUAAAAGUGCUUACACGCUGAAAGAAUUUAAAGAAUAAAAACGGUUUAUUAGUGUAUACAUAUAUUCUUUGUUAGUGAUUUGAUAUCUAAUGUUAAGUAGAGUGUGGACCGUGGUUGAUAAUAAUGAUAUUAUAAUAUAAUAUUGAUAUUCGUGUAAUUGCUAUGGCAAGCUUAAAUAAAACAUUUAGUUCAGUUUUAGAUAAAUUUGUCUUAAAAAGUAUUUACAUAUGCUAUGUUUAUAUGGUGGUGUUAAAACGGUUUCAAAUUAAAUAGUUUUUAAAAUUAUUAAAACCGUUUAUCUGAAUAUCUAUUAAUAGGUUAUAUAUUACGUCCAAUAUCCAUAGUCCAUGUCCAUGUAAACCGAUUUAAUAUAUAUAAUUUUGUUAUUUUGUUAUGAUCGAAUCACAAUAUACACUUUAUCAUUUAAUUUUAAAGUUAAUAUUUGAUGGGACAUAAAAUAAUGAAACCGAGACUUUUUAAAACAAUGCGUAAUAAUUGUAAUUAUUUUAUCAUAAUAUGACAUAUAUAUAUAUUGUUGGAAAAGCGACACUAUCGACCGAACUCUGUUCAGAAUCGUUUUUUCAUUAGCAAUGGUUAAUCGUUGAAUACAGAUAUACAUUACAUUUUCACUACCUUGCAAACUACUUACCUACAACAGUGGCCCACCUCCGUAUGAAGUAUGUCUGCCAUUUUUAGAUUUUCUUUAUGAUAUUUUCAGUGGUUUAUCCCGAAUAUAAUGUUAGGGCAGGAUUUUAUGUAACACAUCAUAUCAAAUAAAAAAUUCGUAAACCUACUAAAUUCACUUAUUUUCAUAUUAUUUUUAAAAUCUAUUAAACAAAUACUUCAAAGAUUUAUAAGGAUUUCGUAGAUUUUUGUUGUUAGUUUAGUAAUAAUUUCGUUAAUACUCGUAUUAGACGUUUUUUAACCUUUAAUCACAUGUAUAUUUAAAAAAAAAAUUAAUUAUUAAGGACCAAAAAAAAACUUUCUAUGAAUUUUGUACACGUUUGUUGGGGAGGAGAAGAUAAUAAUUAUGGUAAAAAAAUAAAAGAGCGACUCUCGGUGGUCGUUGGUGCAUAAAUAAAUUAUAUAUAUAUAUAAAAAUAAAAAUGUUAAAUUCGUUAAACUUUAAAUUGUUUUACUUAAUUAAAAAAUAACCGAAGAAAAAUAGAGUAUCCGGUAAACUAUAUUAUAUUUUGUAUACUUGCAGUUUUCCUCUAAAGUUUAAGGAAUCUGUUUAAUUAAUACCAAUACUACUGGUUUUCUUACUUUUUAGUUUUCAAAUAAAAUAAAUAUCAUAUUUCGUAGAAAAUAAAUUAUUCCAAUUUUUUGUUUACAUAAUGGUAUAAAAAAUUUAUAAAAGCAUUCAAAAAUCAGUUAUAGGUAGUAAAUUUUCUGCGUAACUAAGGUACUUAUAUUUAUUUUAUGUAAUUAUAAUAUUAUAUAGCCAAGAAUGACUCGAUUCAAAAAAAAAAAGUUAUACUAUUGGUUUUAACGUAACAUAAAAAAAAAAUUUGGCUUAUACUGCUAGUAGGUGUGUCAGUGUUUUAGGUUUGAAGUUGGAAUAGAGCAGAAUGUGUAGAGAAAUUUAAAUUACAUAAUAUGUACGCAACGAUAAGCUAUUAAAAACGAAAAAUGAUCCUGAGUAGAGUAUUAUUAAUCGUAUAUUUUUCUUAGUUGAUAAGAUUACACAGAAAUUAACAAGUAUUUUCUAUUUUUCCAAUUAAUUAAAUUAAAAACAAGGAAAUAAAUAUGUUCAUUGAACUAACUAGAUAAAAAAUUACACCAGAAAAUGUCUAAAAAGUUUUUGAUUGCAGCAAGAUUACUGGUUCAGUAGUUGUUUACAAACACAUAUACAAAAAAAUAAGAACUGAUACUGGAAAAAAGUGUGAGAACCGUUGCAAAAAUUAAAAUAAUUAAACCAAGACACAACGUUACUGUAAAUAUUAAUCAAUUUAAAUUUUUUGGCUUUUCCCGAUUGUUAUUAUGAAAACUAUUUUGGGUAUCAAAAUACCGAUUUUUUUUCUUCAGUAGCUAUAUAUUAAAAAGAACCAACUCAAUAUCUUGUAAAUUUCAAUUGGGGAAGUAUUAACAGACAAAAAAAAAACAAAACAAAUCAUUGUAAAAUAGGAAUCUACGGUCCAAAUCUAAACUAAGAAACUGACAUACUUCGCACGAAGAAUGGGCUACUGUUAUCACACCUUGUUAAUGAGAAUUUAGAAAGAGAGAAGGGAAAUUUAAUGUUUAUCUGUAUGCAAAUAUUAAUCAUUGCUAAUGAAAAACGAUUCUGAACGAAGUUCGGUUGCACAUGUUUUAAAAGACCAUAAUAUUUACGAUUUAAAAACAAUAUAUUUCGUAAAUUUUUCAGUUUUUCCCGUUUAAAUGGUUUUUAAAAUCAGUUAUGUACAUACAAAUUUAACGUUUAUCAGUAUGAAGCCCAUCAGUAUUAACAAAAUAUAAUCCUAAUAUAUAAUAAUUAAGAAAUCAAACCUAAACCAUUAUACGUCAUUUACACGCCAAGACCCUCUUCCCUAUUCUUUACGAUACAAUGAACGAAUUGAUUAUACGAUUUGGAAAGUAUAGUAAUGAUAUAUAUUUUUUUUUAGGAAAAUAUAAUAGCCAGUUAAAAAAAAAAUAUAUUUUUCCGACAACAGAUUAAUAAUAAUGGGUUGGAACAUAACUGGAUAUAUUAAAAACCAUACUGCUGUUGUGUAAAUUAUAUACAUACAUAGAGAGAAAGAGCAGCGUAUACUGUGCUGCUAUUCGGCGACCACGUAGAAAAGACAAAAGUGGGACAAUACGUCUAGACUAUGUCAAACGAGUGAUUUUGUUAUUAAAACGCAAUUUAGAAGAAAAAAACCACCAUUGACAGGUCUGUGAGUUUGUUCAGCGGUUUAUUCUGCAUUCAUGCAGUGUUUUUUUAACAUUAAAGUUGUUGUAUAUAAAAUGGAAAAUAUCACUGAUGUAUUCUACAAAAAUAUCGGAUGAUUAUUGUUUUAUCACGGAAAAAAGUGGCUAUGAUUAUCAGUUAUACGAGGAUUUUGGGUUUAUUUUGGACGUAAUAUCAUGUUCACCGAUUACGAUCAAUGCAUAUUAUACUAGAAUAAACAAUUUUUACAUUAUAUAAAAUCGUGUACAAUAAUUUUAAUAUUUGCAAUAUUAUUAAAAUUUUACCACAUUACCGUAUACCGUAAAUCUAGUAUGAAUACAAUAUUAAUAAUGAUUUUCAAAUAUCAACAUUUCAACAUUUUGUAGAAAAAAAAAUUAUUCUCUAGAAUCUCAUUUUAAAUAUGCAGAUUGAUAUUUUGGAUUUCAUCAUUCCUUUUGAGGGAAGGGGGCGAUGGGGGCGAACGCCAACGAAAUGGAUUUACUUUGGCAUUUGACAUAGUCAUUGGUCCAGAAGUAGAUAUAAUAAAUAUAUAAUUUGUCAUAAUUUUUUUUUUUAUCGAUCAUUAAUAUUAAAUUUAACUAUUUCGCCCUUCUCCCACAGUCAAGGUCUGGAGAUUCUCCUGUAAGUUAUUAUUAUGUGUUUAUGGAACACGCGGUAUUAGAGUUUUUUUUUUUUAUUUAUGUACAUAAUUACAAUCUCUACACAUGUAUAAAAUAAGAAUUUUUGAUUACAUAUUUACAUAUUUAAAUUUAUUAACAAACAAAUUAAUUUGAGAAGAAUCAACUUCUUGGAGGCACUCUUACUGACAUUUAAAAUUAAAUUAAUUUUUAACUAUAUUUUUAUGUAGGGUAACUGGGGAGUGGGAGUGUGAGUUUCUUAAUUAGGGUGUUUGGAUUGUUUGCAGACGGUUGUGAACAUUUGUAUGGAAGCUAUGAAAGUUAUUUUUUACAGUGGGAAUGUUUAAGUUCUUAUUAUAUAGUUUCAUUGAAAAUGUACGAGUAUAUGGAAGGGUGUUAAAUGUGCAACGAUGGAUUUUAGAUGAUUGAACAGUUUGGAUUUCAUUUAUGUAUAUUUUAAAUGAUUGUGGCAUCCCAAUGUUUAACUCAGUUUAUGUGCACAUUUGUGUAUUGUGAUACAAUAAUGUACACCAUUUUUUUUUAUUUCAAAUUAUUUACCCUCCCCCCCUCCUCCUAAAAAAUUAAGGUCUAAAGCCACUGGUUUUAUUAGGGAUUUAUUAAUUAAUAUUUGUGCGUAAACAUCGUUUUUUGUAUGGUUAUCAGUAAGUUUUUGAAGUGUUCAUCAAGAAUUGAUCCAAGCUUUUUUAUUAGUUGGAACAGGAAUACUAUUGUUGUACGAUACUAUUUAUCUUUUGUUUAGCCUUACGCUAAUUUUAGUUAUGCACAUCGUUGCGGUGUGACUGUGUAAAAAAAAAAAAAAACAUUUUUUUUGAAAAUAUAUUGUGUUUUAACUAAUAUAAUAAUGCCUUAAAUCAAUAAUUUUGAAAAUACAUAUAAAUAUAUGAUAUAGUCGUAUACCCUUAUGCAAUUAAGGGGAAAAAAUUACAUUAGAAAAUAUAGUUAAAAAAAAACACCAAUGAUUAAUUCUGAAAACAAAAUGAAAUCAGUAUUUGAGACCAAUAAAGAUAUAAUGAUUGAUGAAAAAACAAACUAAAUUUACUCAAAAUCUUCAUAGAUAAUAAUAUAAUCCCUGGUACGCAAUAAUACAAUAAUCACUGUGUAAUAUAUCGAUUUAAUCGAUAAAUGGAUAAAUUUCUUGGCUAUAAAGGACAUUAUAUAAACAUAUACAUAAAAAACUGUUGAUUGUAUAAACUACUGAAGUAUAGUAUAGUAUAAUAGACAUCAAUUAAUAUACAAAUUAUAUCUGUAAAUCGAACAUAGGUACAGUUCCUACACAAUUCCUAUUGCUGUCUAACUAAAAACUAUAUGGAUAAUCCAUCGAACCGAAGCUUUAUUUCCUAUAUAUUUUGAUUCUGAAUAUAUCAAUCACGAACUGAUAAAAAAAUGUGUUUCAAAAUUUUGGUCGACGUGAAUUAUUGACAGUUUUGUUGUUUUUAAUAAAAGUUUUAUUUUUUAUAAUGUUUGUCAGCAAAUAAUACAUUUCAUUAAUAUUUACAAAUUAGGUUUCAUUUAUCAAAAUUGUUUUAUUAACCCAGAACAAUUGAAAAUUAUUACUUUUAUUUUUGAUGUCACGAACCAGACGAUGAGUUAUUAUACACAAAUCAUUAAAAUUGAGUUAUGAAAAAAAAAAAAUAAUAAUAAUAAUAUCCGUUUAUAUAAAGAUAGCUGUAUACCGAAAUGACUGGAGGAAAUUUUGGUCAAAUAAAAAAAUAAUUGCCAGAGAAAAAUAACCAAAUAAUAAUCGGACAAAAAUUUGAUAUUUUUUUCGUGGUCAUUUUAGAUUGGCUAUAAUUAUAUCUACGAAUAUUUAAAUUUAUUAUCAAAAUCAUAAACUAAGUCUAAAAAAAAUAAAAAAUUAUUCUUCUACACCUUCUUCCGACUUCUAUUAAUUUCAAAUAGUUUUUGCCGCCAUCACUGAAUUAUCCCAUUUGUCACGAUCCUGUGUUAUCUUCCUAAAAUUUCGUACUCCUAGGUUUUCCAAAUUAAUAUCAAUCAACAAUAGGCAAUUAUCAAAAGUAUAAUUUCAAAUAAUCAAAUACUCAUUUAACGAAGGAAAAUAUGGCCACGGAAAAAUGUGGUAGUUUUUCCGAUAUUAUCUGUUAGCCACAUUAUCUUCUGGUUAUUUUGGUAUACGUCUAUUUCUAUUUGGCUAUUUUAGUACAUGCCAAUUUUUAUAUGGUCAUAUUGUUGGUACCACUAGACUCGAGACAAUUAUUUUUAUUAAUAUAUUAUAAAGAAGGAGUUAUGUUUGUUCUAUAAUAUAAGUAUUAUUUUAUGUAAAACGCAUAUUUUUAUCAUGUGGGCGGAUAUAAGGGGGUGAACGAUUGAUAGAUCAUCUUCCUUUUAAGAUUUUCGUCACCACUGUAUACUAUUAUUACCUAUAACAUAAUACUUAAGAUUUAUACUCGAAUUACCCCUGUAAAUUAGAAAUUCACCCGCUCCCUCAAAAUUAGGGACUGAUUUUCACAUUCUCACGUAUUUUAUCUUAUAUGAAUACAUUUUUUUUUUUUCGUUCGAUACGAUUUUUUUUCGCAAUAUAGAAAUAAUAAUGAUACAAAAUUGCGGCGCGGUUUACAAAAGUAUACGUAAUUCACAAUAUUGUGACAAAUCGUUUCGCCUUAAUAAUAAUCUGUCAUCGUAUAUAAUAAGGAUACACAAUAAUAAUAUAAUAUAUUAUAUAAUGUUAUAUCGACGAUGAAAAACGAUGACACGCAUAUUAUUGUAAAAUAAAUAUAGUAUAUAUUAACGGUAUUUCGGUGACCAUUGAUGAAUGCUCGCGUUCAGUUAGCCAUAAAGUUACUUUAUGAUAAUAUAUUAUAUGACUACCAAAGAUCGUGAUCAUAUUAACUUCAUUGAGUGCUGUGAAUUUUCACUAUACAAUGGCAGAUAUUUAAAUAUUAUUUAUUAUUUAUAGACUUUAUGACAAAUAUUAUGAAAUCGCUUAAAGUUCUUCCAAUACGUGCAGUUUCCGAAUGCGAAAGUGGUUAUAACAAAUGGAAUGGGAAAAAAAGAAUAAAACAAAGAGCGGAGUUGGGGAUAAGUGUGCCACUGUUAAAAGCGGGAAGUUGGAAAGUCAAGAUACAUGUUUUUAUGUUUUUAUGCGCUCUGAUAUAUACUGUUUUAAUUUCGAGAAUUCAUUAAUUUUUUUAGCAGUGAUUAAAUUGAGAAUAACUUUGAAGAGGGACAUAUAUUUACAUUAAACAUGACAAAAAUUCAGGAAACCUUUCAUGGGAGACAUGACUUUCAAAAUAUUUUUGUCCUUUACACAUUUGUUCAUAAAAAAGUUAUGAUAAUAAGGCUUAAUAAUUACGGCAACCCUUCCCUCCUGAAAUAUAAUAUUAUCUUAAACUAUGCCUGCUUAGCAAAAAUAAUGUAAAACGGAUUAUAAUUAUGUAUAAAUAAUCCAAUAGUUUAUUUUAAAUAGAAAUAAGUCGAGUUUAUAGAAUUCGAUUAAAAAUACCUCAGCAAUAAUACACGAGUAACUAUACUGUGUCACACGAGUGAAGGUACACGUUUUUCGUCAGUAGCAGCACAGUUUCCAUUACUUUGCUGUUUGAUUACGAUUUUACGCGGUAAGGGGUGGGGGAAAUUCGGCCUCCGUGCUUUUGCCGAUGCCUUCUCUCGUGAGAAGGAGUCUAAAACGUCCUCAUGGACUACCACGACUUUAACCAAAGAGAACGGAUAAGUUUGUGUUAAAUAAGAAGGGUAUCCUCCACUUCUUCCACAAUGCAUGGUGUUUUAUUUUAAAUAUAUUAAAAUCGGUUUUCAUGGAAUUUUUUUCACAUUGUUGACCCUUUUGUUUCCAGAAUAUUAUUUUUUUUUUGAUAAAUAAUAUCAUAACUAAGUAACAAGUGAUACGCAUUUAAUUAUUCACAGCAUUUAGAAUUACAUGUCCCCGUAGAAGGACAGUGGGAGUGACAGAAUUUAUCGCUUUGUAUAAUUAUAGGAAUAUGCAAUAACCUAAUUUUAUAAAAUUGUAAUGUUCACUGCAUAGCUUAUAAUAUAAUAAAUAAUUUAUUAUUAUUGAUUAUCAUAUACGUAUUAUUUUCUAUACUACAGCACACGUUCUUUCGUUUAACGCGCGUUGCACUGUACGUAAUUUAUCUUCGCCACAGGGUUGUAUUAUAGUUAAAGUUAAUCAAGUUUUUUAAUUUACAUAUUUAUAACUUAAUAAUAAUAUUACAUUUCGGUCGGUCAUGUGUGUUCAGCAUCGAGAAAACGAGGAUUUAAAUUAUAUAAUAUUAUCUCGGCGGCGGCGGCGGAGGCGGUGUUUUAUAAUAUAAUUUAGAGAAACGUCGGCAAUGUAAAUCCAAUAUUAUGCAGUUAUACGAAAGUUUAUAAAUAAUAACGUAUAGUUUACACAUAUGUGGUAGUCAAAUUUUGUUUCUAAAUUUGUGCUGACAUUUACGAUGGUUAUUGAGUUUGAUGUACUUACCUACACUGCGCGCGAUGGAAUUAUAAUUAUAAAAUAUAAAUUUAUAAUAUUCAUAAAUUAUAAUAUUCUUGCGUGAUUAUUUUACUUGCUUUUUCCGUUGUUAUUUAAAAAAUAAAAAAUAAUUAAACAAAAAAAUGAUUCUGAGCGGAAUUUGGUGAAUUGGUAAUGUUAUAGUAUUAGUCGUGUUGGUUUUGCAUGUAACCAAGGUAACCCAUGAAUAACACAAAUAAAACUUUUAUAUCCGUGUAUUGUUAGUCUUUUUAAUUUUUAAGAAAAUUUGUCAGAAAUUUCGUACAUAUCCAAAAUAAUGUACCUACUAUCAGGAAAAAAAUUCAUAUCUAUGUAUCUAUGACAUGAAAAAAUUGGAGAAUUUUUAAUAAUCUAUAAAGUGUUUUCCGGGGAAAAAAAAAAAACAUUUAUCUAAGUAAAACAAUAAAUGUUUUUUAACUAUUGUAUCUAAGUAAAACAAUACAAUAGUUUCUUCGAUAAACACAGAAUUCAAAAUAAACACAAAAUAAUUACAACAUUGAUAAAUAAAUUUGAAAAUGUUAAACAAUCUAAUCUGGAAUAUUAUUGAGUAUUAUCAUUGUCGACUAUGUUUGUAUACAUUUUACUACCAGUUUUAAUUUUAAAAACCGUCAACAGAAACAUCAAUUAUUGUUACAAUAGUUUAUUACUAGCUGAAAAACAAAAAAAUAUUAAGACUUAUGAUGUUAUUAUCUUCAAUUCUUACUUACGACGCUUUCUACCAGAAAUAUUGAUGCAGUAGAAAAACAACAAGAGAACUGUUUUUUAAAUUUUUAAUCUAGUUGGUGAAUAUGAGUCAAUUUUUGAUUUUCAAUGUAUUUUUUUUUUAAAGUAUUGAGCAAAAGAGAAAAAAAAAUGCAAAAAUAACGGAAAAAUUUAUGAAAAUAAUGUUUUUAUUAUUCUCAAUUUCAACUAAAUUUUAUUGUUGUAAUUCGGUUAAAAAUAUUCGUAAGCCUAAAAAUUAUAUUUACUUUUUCUAGACAUAAUAAAAUUGUUUAAAAUGUUUGUAUUUUUUUUAUGCUAUAUAUCGAAAUUUUAAUUUUGCGAGGUAUUCACGUAAUUUUCUUUUGGUAGGUACUCUGUGGAUAAAAUGAUAACAUUGUUCGAUAAACAUAAGUGCUUGAAAACGUGUCAGAUAGCAUACUUGUCUUACUUAGUGGUAAAAAAAAAUUUAGUAUAAUGUAUUAUUUAUUAUUUUUUUAAAGAGUUUUAAAAUCGAAUUUUGAUGGAAAUCAUAAAUAUUACGGCCUUUUAAAACAUAUAUAACCGAACAUCGCUCCGAAUCGUUUUUUCGGUUUAUCAUUGGUUACAGAUAAAAAUUAAAUAACUUUAUGUAUCUUACCUUCCCAACUGCUCAUCUACAACAGUGGUACACCCGUCCCCAGUAUCAGUUCUUUAUUUUCCUCUUUACUUUACAUUAAUUAGGUAUUUUACAUUCAGAACUUAGAUUUUUGAGUACUUUUGAACACCUGUAGUUUUAUUUAAUAGCUUUUUUUUUUCAAGUUUCAUUAUAAUAUUUUUAAAAUAGAAUUUAUUGAAAGCGUUUAAUCGUUUUGAAUCUUGGUUUUUUUAAAUAGUAUAUUAGCAUUAGUAGGUACUGAAAGUUCUUAAUUAUUCCGGUAGGUACCAUAAAAGUAAGAAAUAAAAACAAAACAAAUAAUAACGUUAUGAUACUUAUUAUGAUUUAAAAUGAAAAAAUUUGCAUUAUUCAAACUUGAUUGAGCGUGAACGACGAGAUUAUAUUUGUCAAAAUCGUUAAUUUUAACGAGUUGUUGUGGAACGUGUCAAUAUAGCUAAUAAUUUAAAAACACUGAAAUAUAAGCGUACACGGUAAUACAUUUUUUGAUAAAAUAAGCAGGUCAAUUUAAUCCUAUUAUUAUUGUAGUUCUGUCAAAGUUAGCGAUGAUUCAAAAAUUAAUUAUUUUUGGAACAACGAGUUUAAUGGUAUUUUCGAUAGAUACCUAUCUGAUUGUUGGAUAAAAAUACUUACUAUAAAAUACAAAUGAAACAACCGUGGUCCAUAUUCAAGGUUUACUUAUUAUUGUGUACAUAUAAAUCUUAUACGAUAUCGUCUAUAUCCGAGUACAUGGUCUCUGUUUUUAUCGUCUUCAACUGUCAAAUAUUACAUCAACCUUUUUUUUUUUUUUUUAAUACAUUUUUUAUACUUUAUGCAUUUCAUGCAAUUAUCGUCUUUGUUAUCAUGUUUGAUGAUAAUAUCCUGUGAUAAAAUUCGUAAAUGUGAACAUAUUUUACAAAAUGAUAUACUAUGUAUGUUUUGUAUUAUUUUAGAUUGUAUUGGUUUUACAAAGAUGUUUAUUUAUUAUUUUAUUUUAUUUUUUAUGUGAAUACAAUUUAUUUAAUAUAUAUUUAUUUAAUAAAACUUAUUUCGAUGUACGCGAUGUAGAUUCUUUUCUGAAAGAAAAUUUUCUUGGAGUGGCCUUUUAACUCUGAUCUUCUUCCUGCCUUCCUUCCGUGACUUAAUUAUACCUUUAAAUUCUCUAAUUUCGCAUUCCCUUACUCAUUACCUCCCAUUCCCUUUUCAAAACCGCAAUACCUUUAUAAUAAGUAUAAUAAUAUUAUUAUUUUUUUUAUCCUUUAAUUAUGAGAAAAUAUUAUGUUUGUAAAGUCACGAAAAACCCAAAUGAAUAAAUACAGGUUUGUAUUUCAUAUUUGAAAAUUAUACGAUAUUAUUGUUUGAAUAUAUUGUAUUUAUUAAAAGGUAUGCUGUAUUAUAAUUUUGAUAUGAAACUUUAUUGCCAUUUCUAUAAAUAUCUCUAUCCGUAUUAUAUUAAAAUGAAAUAUAGAAUUGUUUUUGAAAUAUUUUCCUUUGUGUUGUAAACACAAAAUAAUAUUCAAACAGUGAACACGAUAAGUACUAAACAACUUUUUUUAAUUACAUUUUCAAAAUAUAAAAAUUAGUUUAUAUACGCGCGAUUAAUUUUUAUUAUUAUUUGUGAACAAUAGUAAUUACAAUUUUAUAAUAUAAAUGAAAAUCCACUCGAUGACAAAUAAUAAUUUAUUCUUAAUAUCGUAUUUUUAAAAAAAAUCGCAUUUCAAUUUCAUAGAUAACACUAUUUUAGAUUUAGAAUCUAUAUUGGUUUUACUAUGUGUGUUUUUUUUCGGUCUGUAAACAACUUGUAGAAAACUUGCCCCAAUUGAAAAAUAUAUUAGAGAGGAAAUUAUAUUAUUUUCAAAGUAGUUUUCAAAAUAAUUGAGAAAAACCGUAAACAAAAUUAUAGGAAGAACAGUAAAUGUUUACGGUGUUACCGAUUGUAUUGUUUUUAAUUUUUGCGCCCUAUAUUUUCUGCCAGAAAUAAUUUUUUUAAUUAAAAAAUAUGCCAUGUGAAAUUUUUUGUUGCAGUUUUAAUUUAAUUGGUGAGUAAGUAAUACGUUUUUGAUUUUUCAAGUAGUUGUCUUCAUAAUUGAGCAAAACCGAAAAAGACAAAAAAUAAAAACUGAUCAAUUUAUGGCAUUAGGAGUCUUUUAUUUUAAAUUUGUGCCGUUUAUAUUUUCUAUCAAAAUAUUUCUGCAAUUGGAGAACGAAAAAGGUUUUUCUCGGGUUUUACAAAUUAUUAAUAAGACAAAUACAAAUCAUAUAAAAAAUGAUCGCCUUAAUGCGUUAAAUAGGUACGAUUUUUCUUUUAGAAAUGAUACUACACUUGAAUAUCGGAGUAAUAUUUUUGGUAGAACGUUCAGAAUCCAACAACAAAUUUCUUUUGAACAUUAAUUUAGUAGGUUCUGAAAAAAAUGUUUACUAACGGUUUUUAUUCAAUUAAAUUUCCCAUGAAAGGUGAGAGAUUUUUUUUUUUAGAAGAACCUGACUACCAAUGUAGUUCUAUUAUAAUAUAGAACAUCUCCUCGCCUAUUAAAUCUACCCUCUUUGCUUAGCAACCGUCCAAACUCAUCUUCAACAAGCUAUUAACAAUUUUCUUGAAUGAAUCCAAACAUCUGGUUUCACCCGAACAAUUCCAAUGUAUAAUGUUUAAACGAAAACUUAAAAUAAACAUAAAAAUGGGUAAACAUCAAUUAACUAAUAAUAAUACCAUUAAGGUACUCGAUAUAACAUUCGACAAAAGAUGUUCCUGGGCCAACCAUAUUAACUCCUUGCAAAAUCUUAACGUUAUCAUCACCAAUCUCUCUAUUUUUUAAAAAAAACGACACAUCCACCACUAUUUACAAACAAUAAUACUUUCCUUUAAUACAAAAAGAUGCCAUAAGCGAAAAAAUGUAUACCGACGCUUCCAAAAGCCAAGAAGGGAUUGGAGCCGCAGUAAACUGGAAUAACACGAAAUUAAUGUAUAAACUCCUCCAGCUUCUGCUCAGUUUUCACAGCUGAGUUAAUGGACAUAAUAAAAGCCAUUAAUAUUUCAAUCAUAAACCUCCUCCAAGACACCAUCAUCUUCACAGACUCCUUCAGCGCCAUCAAUAAUUUUAAAAAUACAUAUAAUACUUCAGAUAUCGGCUUACAUAUUCAAAACAACAUUCACAUGUCACAAAACACCAAUUAUUACAAAAUCAAGCUAUUUUGGAUUCUUGGAUAAUCUAAUAUAAUAGAAAAUGAGCUUGCUUACAUCACAGCUAAAACCCUAAUCACCUCUCCGCUAUCUUCGUUCACACAAAUCAUUUCGUUCAGGGACAUAUUAAGACUGAUAAUAAAAAAUGCCAACUAAGAUGGCACCAGAAAUGAACAUCUUACUCCUCAACGCUUAAUCACAUCAAAAAUAACACUGACAAUUUGACUUUCCCUAUCGAAAUGCCCAGAAAGUUCGAAGUUAUCAUAACGAGACUCAGAAUCUGACACCCACAGUUUUUUAAUGGUCAAGGAAGAUCUCCCAAUAUGCUCAGCUUGCGGUGUCCAAGUUACCAACAAAACUCAUCUUUACUAAAUGUCGAAUAUUCAUCAACAUCAGAACAAGCUUCAACCUGCCUGAAUUAUUAGCUGAAACACUCAAAAGUCAUUCCCAAUCAAUACUCAAAUUCAUCAAAGAUGCCAAACUUCAAACCAAGAUCUAAAAACCUACUGUACAAUUAGAAUAUGUAAACAUACAUGUUAUGUUAGAUAAUUAUUGUGUAAUAUACACAGUUAAAUCAUUUGUAAACCCAAUGGCCACGUUUCUGAGGGUCUUUCUUUCCAAAAAAAAAAAAAAAAAUUGUCUUCAAAUUAUAAAUCAUUUAAAUAAAAUAAUAAUAAUUAUCGAUGUUAUUAUAAUACGGAAAAUCGAUAAAAUACGAUUUGACUUGUAUGUAACUAAAUUUAUUUGUAAAGAUGCAUUAAACUUCUGAUCCGCUCCAUCAUCGUGUUUUAUUACAAUCACGCGUGUUGUUUGAUUUUAAUCAAAAUUAUAUAGAUUACACGAUCUAAGUUUAGAUAAUAUAUUAUAAUAUAACGCCGUGUAUAAUAAUAAUAAUAGUAUAAGCCGACGGGCGACGAUAGUUACAACACUUGUAUCGCGAUAUAAUAAUAAUAAUUGAUGAAGUUUCUGCACCGGGCGAAUUGACUGGUUAAUGGCGUGUGAAACCGUUGAUGUAUUUGAUCAUCACACACACUCAUGCAUUCGUGUUUACAUUUAAUGAUCUGAAAAAAAAAAAUAAACUGUUUUGCCUUUUUGAAACUUUAUAGUUUCGUAUUUUUUUAAAAAAAAACUUUAAAAUACGUAAUAUAAUAGGCAUUGAAACAAAUGUUAUUAAAAUACUGCGGAUGACCUGCUCCCACUUUGUUAAGAAUUGUGCAAAUAAUGUUGUCAUCUAUCGUCAUAUAAUGAAAAAGCGUAACAAUAAAAAAAAAAAAAAAAAAAAAACGGACAUACUUCGCACGAUGGAUGGGCCACUAUUAUUGGUGAGAAAAUUGGAAGGUAGGAUAUAGAGCUAGGGAAUUUUAUGUAUAUGCAAAGAUUAAUCAUUGUUAACGAAAUACAAUUUUAAGAGGAGUUCGGUUAUACACGUUUUAAUAGAGCAUAUAAUAUUUAACGGUUUUCGUCAAAAUAUGAUAUUAAAGUUCCUAUAAACAAAAACUACAGUAUACUCAACAUCAUAUUGUAUUGGUCACACUACUACGAUGAAUGUAAUUUUUUGUAGACAAACUUUUUUGUCAAUAAGCGUCUUUUUUACCAGAAAUCUUGAUUGAAUAAAAAAAUUACAAGAAUUUUUGGCAAAUUUUUAAAAUUAACAUCUUUUCUGAAAGAAUAUUUUAUCUAGUUUAUGUGUAAAGAAGCCGUUUUAUAUUCUGAGUGUAGUGAAGAAUGUAUUGGUGCUACUAAGAUGUUUCUUUUUUCUUUUUUUUUAUCCAGUGUAAUCAAAUUUGACCAUAAAUCUUGCUCAGAUAUAUAAGUGUGGCAUCAUUUCUGAAAGGGAAUGUUGUUCAGAUGGUACUUUUGGAAGAUAAUUUUUUGAUUUUUUUAAUGAUUUUCAUAAUAUCUGAAAAAACCAGGUUAAAACAUAAAAAAAAAUCGGGAAAUUUACGAAAAUAACGUUUUUCAAAUUUUUCAAUUUUGUUAUUUGUUGUAAUUCAGUUUAAAAUAUUCGAAGACUUGAAAUUUGGAUAGAAAAUGUAUAUUAACCUUUUCUAACCGUGAUAAAUUUUUUAAAUCAUUCGAGCCAUUUUUAAGCUUUUAAUAUUUUUUUUGUUCUAAAAAGAAAUCAAACUGGGGAGGUACUUAAAAAAAGCCAUUUUCAAUUUUCCUAGGAGUAUUUUUAAUAAAUGUGAAAAACUGAAAAAAAUAAUGGGAAAAUGUACGAAAUGUAGAUAUUAGUUGAAAAAUAUCUGAAAUAUAAAAGAAAAUCUGACUGGGAAGGUACUUUUGGGAAGUAAUUUUUUUAUUUUCCUAAGAGUUUUCCCGGGAAAUGUGAAAAACCGGUAAAAACAUGGGAAAAUCGGUAUAAUGUUUAAAAAAAUAUUAUUAAAGAAAUAUAUAAUGCCUAUUUAAUUAUUUUACCAUAAUAUGACAAUAUAUAUAUAUAUAUAUAUAUAUAUAUAUAUGGUUGACAAUGCAUAACUAUCAACUGAACUGUGCUCAGAAUCGUUUUUUCGUUAGUAAUGGCUUACAGAUGUAAAUAUACCUCUAACAGUGUCUGCACUCGUCUCCAUUUUCCUAGGACGCCUUUUUUACCAUAUAUUUGUAUUAAUAAUUGGCAAAGAUGUGGUCACAUUUUUAAAAUAUGCUGAUAUUUUUUUUAACUAUUUGUAAGCAUUUGAAAUUUAAUAAUUUAGUUGAGAUUUUAUUUGGUAAGUAUUAUGUGGAUAAAUUGUUUGACAGAAAUACCUUAAAGGUUACCUACACAAGGUUCAAUAUAAGUUCUACUUGUUAGUAAAUAUAGAAAAAGGAGUUGGGCGUCAUCUAUUAAGUUUUUUUUUUAUAAACGUCUUAAGAUCAAAUUUUAACGAAAAGAGUACAAUCGAAAAACAUCUAUAAAUGUUAUCUAUCUAUGUAAUAUCUAUCAAUGGCUUAUCGUUGCUUACUGAUAUAAAUUAAAUAACUUUAUGCAUUUUUAUUCUACUUUCUUAAUUUCCACAUGUAGCUCUUUUUCUUUAAUUUUGAUAAACACUGAAAUGUAUUUUAAAGAGAAAUCACAUUUCAAGUUUUAUGCGAAUAGCUAAAUGUAAAAAGGACACACGUGUAAAUUUUAAACUUUUCAAGAAAAACUAAAAACUCCUUAUAAGGACGUUUUACUCGCAUCUACUGUCUCAGUUCAACUAUUAAGUAAUAUGCAAAAAUAAUGCUUAUGCAGAAUAAGUAAAACUAGCCUUAUUUUGAUUUAAGAGUAAAAGUAUUACUCUAAAAUCAAAAUUAAGCUAGUUUUACUUUUUAUCCGUAAGCAUUGUUUUUGCGUGUUACCGGUAAUUGGACUAGGACUGUGGAUGUGGGUCUUAUGUCCUCGCGUCUAGUUUUAUAAUAUUCCAUAGAAGAUCUAUAUAUAAUUAUAAAUGAUAACUACCGCUAUAGAAUAUUAUACAUUAACAUACAUUUAUUUUUCAAUUUUUUCAGAGGAAUUAAGUAUUUUUCUUUCUUGAAAAAACAAAAACCACAGUUGAUAAAACUUAGUAGGCGAGUAUUUAAAAUGUAGAGUACCUACAUUAUAGCUAUACUUUUAACGAAAUCACGAUUGCUUUCGUAUUUUGAAACAAGCCGCUGCGAGGCCCACACUCAUGUAAUUGUAUUGUUGAGAACGUUUUCGGACGUAAUGCUUUCAACUUAAAAAUUCUAAAAAAAAAAAAUAAAUAAAUAACAGAAUUGUGCCACGAGGAGACGAGUGUUUAGCACUCAGUCAUUGUUUACUGCGUACACAUUGUCUACUUCUAUUACCCAAGGUGUAAAGAAUAUUUAUUUUUGUUUUGCCCAUUUGAGAGAGUGAUAUUAUUGUAUACGUUUUUUUAUUUAUUUUACGCUAAAAAAUUAGCUGUUUUUAGCCGUGCGUGUUGAUGCAGCGUUUUAACAAAGAACCGUACAGUUUUUAAGUAGGCACAUUAAUUUCGUUUUAUUAAUUGACAAAAAUUAUACAGAAAAAGCACACUAAAAAAAAAAAUCAAGCGUGUUAGACGAUGGACACACCUGCAAACGUUUCAUAAUUGCAACUACGGAAAAACAAACAAAAAAAUAUCGUUCUAAAAAAAAAAUAAACAAAAUUACCUCCAAUAUUUAUGAAGGGUUCCGUAAAAUGUAUCAUUAUCAGAAGUAUUUAUUAGGUAAUCGUAAAAUAAUUAGCACAAUUGUUUAUGAAAAAUCUUUUCGUGAGGGUAAAAAUCACGGAGGCUAUAGUUUAGAGACCUUUCUAAGACAAGAUAUUGUUAGAAUAAAACAAAAAGAACUUACACAAUGCAACGUAAAUUUUAGUUGAUCGAUAUCAUUAUUACAGAACAGUUUUCGGUGUUCGAAAACCUCAAAAUUAUCAGAAGUUUUAAUAGCAAUAAUUUUUUAGAUUUUAAGUGUAGUGGAUGAUAUACUGGUUUUACUAUGAAGAGUGCUAAUUUUUUUCUUAUAUUUGUUAAAAACUAUUCUACCAAAAAUCUUACUUCAUUAUCAAAAAAUGCCAACAGACCUUUUUUGUUGUAUUUUGGAUCUAAUUGGUGUAUUGAGGAGAUCAAUUUUUAAUUUUCUAAGCGUUUUUCUUAAUAAUGGACCAAAUCCAGGAAAACUUAAAAGAAUAAUUGACAAAUUUACAACGUUAACAAUUUCAUUAUUUAAAGUUUUUUUGAUAUUUGUUUUCUACAAGUAAUUUUAUUCUAAAUUUCAAGAGUAACAUUUUUAGCAUUUUUGCUGGAAGAAAAUGUUGUCUUGUUGAUAUAUAAAAAAGAAAGACGUAAUUUUUUUCGAUUUUCCUAGUAGUUUUCUUGUUAAUGAGAUAAAAACGGGAAAGCACUCGCAUGGUAUUUUUAUUUUAAUUCGAUUGAAAAUAACUUUAGAGACUUGAUGUUUUCACAGAAUAAUUAAAUUAGUCUUCUAUAGCCAUGGUCAAAAUAUUCUAGAUAUUUUUUUAAAUAUUCAUAGGCAUUUGACAUCUUCUAGGUUUUUUUAAAUUUGUAUCUGUUAUCAUUUAGAUAAAAUUGUUUGACCAAAACAAAAAUAUUUGAAAAUUUAACUCGAGGUUGUACUUAGUAGUAAAAAAAAAAGUCUUGUUAUGUAGUUGUUUUUUAUUUUUUAUAUAAGGUAUUUAAGAUCAAAUUUUUACGAAAUUCGUAGAAAAUUAUGACAUUCAAAAUAUGACGUAUAACAGAAAGUAACUCAAAAUCGUUUUUCGCCGGCAAUGGUUUAUCGUUAAGUACGAGUAUUUAUAUUUUUAUUAUAAUUAUAUCGAAAAAAUAAAACCAAUGCUGCACAGUGUGAGUUGGCCUUUUUAGAUGGUGGAAAUAUGUUUUCUUAAUUAAUCUUGAGUAAUUUUUUUCCCACAAAAAAUAUGUAGUUUUCACUGUCAAAUUACGGGCGAUAAUAUUUAGGUUGUAUACUAAAUCUAUUUCCGGAAAAUCAUUUCUUUCGGAGAAAAACAUCUGUUACCGUUUACUAACCUGUAAAAAAAAAUAAUUACUUGUAAGUACCUAACCUAACCUAACCUAACCUAUCUAUUUAAUAUCGUAUACAAAUAAUUGAUGCAUUACUCAUAAUAUCUAUUUAUGUAAAUGUUUAUUUUAAUUUAUACUUAAUAGAUAUUUUAUAUAGCAAUACAUAUUUUUAGAUUUUUAAUAUAGACAUUUUUGAGUUCAGAUGAUUUUCAGAGAAUAUACUGUUUUAUCUAUAAUAAUAUGUAUCAUUGUUUCCUUUCCUUCAUUGCUUAUAAUACAUUUUUAAGAGCAGUAAUUGUGGUAUACAAAUUUCACUCACAAACUUUUGUACAUAUUAGGUCAGCAAUUGAUCUUAUUUUUUGUACCUGCUUUAUAUACUUUAUAGGAGUUGUUUAUAGAAUUUUUCGAAUAAAAGUUUGACAAAAACAAAACUCAAUUAAUUGUCUAUCUUUGGAGUAUAUUCACCGUAACCAUAUAAAAAAAAACCUAAUUUGGAAUUUUGGAAUUUGAGACUUUCUGUUAAAUCAACUGUGCCACUUGAUUUCAAUGAGUAUGACGAUCAUUUUAAUUCAUUAUCACAUAAUUUGUUUUCAGAAUCAAUUAUAUAAUAUAAGCUAUGAUAACCUUUUAAUAAAUAAGGUACGUAAAUUAAAUCCUUUAAAAAAUGUGUGUACCAUUUAUUUCAAAAUAUCUAUAUAUAUAUAUAUAUAUAUGGAAAUUCAAAAGUCAACCACUAUAAAACGAUACAUACAAUCGUUAUUCAAUUUCUUAUUUAUAAAUAAAACUAAGUAGGUACAUAACAAAUGUGUUCCAUAUUUUAUUUUAUGGUUAGAACGUCUCAAAGUGUAUUUUCUCAGAGAGUGAGAAAAUAACCGAAUUGCUCCAUUGCAUCGUUCAAAGCAGUGUUGAAAAUCAAUCGUGUGACAAAAAAUGAAAUCGAAAAUCGAAGGCGUACCUAAUUUUUGUUUAUCUUCUAGAAAAGAAAAUAUAUAUAUAUAUGUAUAAUCACUGUCGCUAAUGUACUAAAGGCGUUUAUGAAAAAGAGACAUUUUUCGAAGCACUGUUUUUUUUACCCUUUUGUCCUCUAUAGCAGCGGUUCUCAACCUUUUUUCAUUCACGCAUCCCUUGACCACUCACUACUACUUUACGGACCCCCAAAUGCUAAUUUUUCAUAUAUUUUCACAUAAGAUAGAUAUGAAUUAACGAAAUAAGUUUUAAAUAAUGAAAAAUUUGAUUUAUUUUGAUCAACAUACACAAUACAUUGUAAAUAUAAAAAUAAUAUUGAGUUAAAAAUGUAAUUUUAAUGUGAUCCUUGAGAUUGUUUGCUAGCACUUAAAUUUUUGAAAUCUGGCAUCUGGUAAAAUACACUUAUACUAAAUCGUAUAAGUUACGAAAAACCUAUUUACAUCAUUUACAAUAUUUCACAACUAGUUUCACAAGUAAUUUCAAUUAAUUACAACAAAUUUCAAUUUUUCCGCCAUUACGCUUUUUUUUCCAGGGACCCCCUAAUACCUUCUCGGGGACCCCUAGGGGUCCGCGGACCCCCGGUUGAGAACCGCUGCUCUAUAGCUAUUUUUUACAUGUUGAUUUUAUAAAAAAACUAAGAUUCAUUAUUUUUUACUUUGAAUAUUAUAACGAGUUAAUUUGAAAAAUUUCAAUUCUGUUAAGUUAAUAAUAUUUUUCUAACUGUUUUUUAAACUGAUAUUAUUUAAAAUAAAAUUUAAAUGCGAUAAUAAACUGAAAUUAAAUGUAUAAAAUGUUUAAAUUCCGAAUGGAGCUAUUAGUUUUCCUAAUACAUGCUUCUAAUGCUAUGGAAUAACGCUUUUUUCUGUUAGUAAAAUAAUUAUAAAAAGAUACUCUUUCCUUUUGUGAAAAAUUGUGAUUUCCAAUAAUUUCCUAAAUAAUUAAAAACAGCGAAACAGGUGAUAUAACUGAUAUAUAUAUAUAUCGAUAAGCUGUAUAAAAACAUUAAAAAAAUCUUAUUGGAAAUCAGAAGAGAUUUUUUUUUUUGUUUGAGUAUUUAUAAUUAUCUUUUUAGUUUCUUUUCGAAAUGGUCUAUAAAUGUAUACAUUUAAUUGCUAAUAAUUGCUAACAAAAAACGAUUCGGAGCGAAGUUUCUUUUAAACAUGUACGUACGUUUUCUCGGUUUUCCUAAUUAUUAUGAAAACCAUUUGGAAAAUUAGAAAAGAAGCACCCAGAUAAAAUUUUCUCUCGGAAAAGGUACUACACUUGAAAAUUGGAACAAUCUGAUAAAAAUGUUGUUCACAGAUAAAUAAAACAAAAAAUAUACAUCAUUGUAAAACCAAUAAAUUAUUAUAUUAUUAUAUAAUAUUUUAAUUUCAGAAAAUGGCUAAUAGUCAUAUUAACAAAAGAUUACUAGAACUACAAGACCUUGUGACCUUAGAUCUAUUGAUCUAAUAUAAUAUGUAACGUACCAUUGAAAUUUAAAGCCAGUAUGUGACAUAUAUGUGUAUAUGUGCACUAUAGUACCUUCAAAAUUAUCGGUUUAAAGGUUUUGAAGGUAUUCGUCAAAUAUUGUAUUUUUAUUUAAAUGUGAGAAAUGUCAACAUUCGUCCUGGGACUAUAUACCUAGUGAGUAAAGUUAAAGAGUGAUAUAUCUUUUCCCUUAAAUGCGCCACAGCUAAAUUGCCUACCAUAAAAUAUAUUCUGGCUUUCCGUGUAAUAAUUUAACCUGAUUUCGUAUGAUCUAUACAGUGACGUAUCAAAGGGUAUUGAAACUCCUCCAAUCUCUCAAAAUUUCAAAAAUCUUAAAGUAUUGUUCUAAAUAUAGAUUUUUUUUUUUUUAUUAGUCAAUUUUCGUUGUAUUAAAAUGUGAUAAGUAUUUGAUCACAAAAUUGUAAGAUACUGGUUAUAUAAAUUACCUGCGAUAAAAAUUGUAUUUGUGAAAUAUUAUCUUGUAUCGCAAUCGUAUUCAAACUUUUUUUCGUAUACAUAAGUAGUUAAAUAAGAAGGAAUAAAAUAUGUGUAUCAACACUGGAUAACCCAACCUAUAUAUUAUCAAACGUUUUUUUUUUAUUUCUGACGAUUAUAUUAUAUACGUAUCGACGUCAUGUCAAACACACGCGAAUAUUAAUAUUACUACUACGUUAUUGAUGGUGUCACGAGGAGAAAACCAAGACGAUUAUAAGGAUCAUAAUAAUAAUAUUAUACUAAUGACAUUAUUAUCAUCAUCCCUCAAGAACGUCAUUUAAGUAAAUGCAGUUUUGACCUAUAGCAAUACAAUAUCCGUUUUAAUGGAUUCAAACAUCGAAUAAAACCGCAGGUGCCUUAAAGUUUUAUAUAAUAGUAUAAUCCAUAUUUUUUUCAGAUAAUUUUCAGAGCAGCGUGGAAUGUAUCAGUUAUACUAUGAUACUACGAUGUGUGAUUAUACUUUUUUAAAGUUAAGCGUAAUUCAUAUUGCAUACAUUUAUAGUAUAUAUAUAUAGUUUUUUAUAACCACAAAAAGUUCUAAUAUAAUUCCUUUUAUAAUCAAUUUUUUUUUUAUUUUUCGAUAGUAAAAUAAUGUGCAGGUAUUUACCUAUAUAUUUCACAAUGAACCACGAAAAAUGUAAACAAAAUAGGGUCCAACAUAUUUUUAGUGAAAGUUUGUUUUAAAAAAAUUUCAAAAAAUAGUAAAAAAAAGCCAAGAAACUUUUUUCGUUGCACUUUUGAUCUAGUUGCUGAGGAAAUAAGUCGUUUUUGAUUUUCUAAGCAGUUUUCAUAAUAAUUGAGAAAAAUCGAGAAAAGACGUUAAAUGAAAAUUGAUAAAUUUACACGCUAUGAUUUUAUUAUUGUAAAUUUUAAAUCCACCAGAAAUAUUGUUCCAACCAAGAGACCUUUUUUUCUGACAUUUUUAAUCUAGUUGGUCAGAAAUAAAGUCAUUUUUUGACAUCCUAAUUUUUUAGACUAAAAUAUGGUUUUUCAAAGAUAUUUAUUAUUUUUUUUUUUAGUUCUGUGGACAAAUUUUCAACCAGCAAUUUUGCUCCAAUUUAUAAUGAUAGAAAACAAGAAAAUUUGAUUGAGAAAGCACUUUAGAUAGGUCGUUUUUCGAUUUACUUAGAAGUUUUCCCAGCAAAUGUGAAAAACCGGGAAAAACAUUAGGAAAAACUUAGGAAAAUCGGUACAACAUAAAAAAAUAUUAUUAAAGAAAAUAUAUAAAGCCUAUUUAUUUAUUUUUUCAUUAAUAUGACAUAUAUAUGUUGAAAAAGCAUCACUGUCAACUGAAUUCCGCUCAAAAUCGUUUUUUCGUAAGCAAUUUAUCAUUGCUUACAAGUAUACAUUAAAUUAUCUAAACUAGUGGAUGCAACCGUCCCCAUUAUCCUAGGACGUCGAGUUACAGAUAUUAGUUUACGGAAAUAAUGCUUUGAUUUUUUUUUAUUUUAAUUUUUAAUGUAAUUUAGUUAAAGAUAUUCGUAGAGUCCCAACGCGUAGGCACCAGAAUCUGGGAGAGUAGAGUGUGCGUGACACAAAAGCAAAAGCAGCAAUAAUAAUAAUAAUAACCUAUAUUCAUACGACCCGAAUGAAUGAUGCUCACGUCAGUGUACCAGGUUAAGUGUGAACUGCCGGACGUCGUCGGAGGCGGUGCUGCUUGUCCGUAUCGACGGCCGUUCGAACCGGUUCCAGCCGUGAUACCGCAGACGUUUAGCCGACCGUGACAUACUCCCCCCUAAGUCUGCAAGGAAUUGUGUACCCAAUGAGGUUAUUCCGACGGGCCGUCGAGAUAGGCGUCUAGGAACGCCUCGAUGUCCGGCUCCUCCUCAAUGGCCUGAUCACCUGGUUGGUCUGUACUGGCUAGUGAAGUCUGCUCGGCCUCUACAGCUCCUUCCAUCGCAAUCGCUCUUCCUUAUAGUUUUUCGAUAGUUGUAUCUGAAUUGGUUCCCGUUUAAAUUUGUGAUGUAUCCAAUACUGAUCGAAUUGGUUCUCACUGUAGAACUUAAAAGUACUUAGAUUUCAUACUAGAAACAUUUUUGCAUUUUAUAUUUAGUAUAUAUAUAUAUAUAUAGCCGUAUAGAUGCAAAUAUUCAGAUGUAUUAACGUUAUCUUAAUCGAUUGCGGUAGUUUGGCAAUACGCCGAUAUAACAUUUAUUAUUAUCUUGAUAACUGUAAAAUAUUUACCGUAGUAUGAUAAAAGUUAAAUAAAAGUUUGAAAAUGCACUACAUUAUACUUGUAUUUAUUGUGUUUAUAAUUUAUUGUAUAAAUGCAAGUAUUAAACGGGAAUAAAUUCGGCACACCUUCAAAAAGUAUUCGUAUAAUUUUCAAACGGGAACCAAUUCGGUAUGUGGUGUAUGAACUUGAAAACCAAUUUGGAUAUACAUGUCCUGACGACACCGGUUUCCCUAUUAGCGGUGGAUCCGGGUCCCGGACCGCGUGCCACCUAACCGGUGGCACGCGUUAGGAGAGGAUUUGGACGUUUUACACCUCGUAUCGGUAGCCCAUUGUUGUGGCCUCGGGGAGAGGGAUGCACCGCUCUCGACACCGAUGUUCUUCCGUGAAUACCCGUUCGAAGAUGGGUAUUCACCGGGUAUUCGGCCGGAUGCGGCCGAACGCUGCCGUCACCGCACCAAUGUAGCCAAUAUUUAUUAUUGAGGGGGUUAGGUGGGUCUUGGGGGUAUUAUGGGUCUACGAACUUCUUAACCUUAGCUAUAAUCAAAAUAAAUUAAGCAAUAGUAGGGAGGGGGUACAACAUCCAAAUGCCUUUUGGCUACGCCAAGACAUACGAAGAAAUGAAUUAUUUAUCGGUGUAAAUUAUUAUAGUAGAGGAGGUAAGCAGAGUUUAAUAUGUAUAAAUUCAUAAAUACAUGUUUUGUAUAUCUGAUAAUAAUAUGUAAAAAUAUAAAUAUACAUAAAUAAAUUCAAAUAGAAAUGAAAAAAAAAUCGUAUGUUCUUCGUUCUUAUUUGGUUAUUUUUGUAUAAAGUAGAAUCAUCAUAUAAAUUACGCCAGUAUAAAGGUUUUUCGGACAGAGAAUUAAAGAAAAACAUAAAACAAAGUGAUUCAAAUCAAAUGCCAUACACGCGCGGUAAUCGACGACACAAUUCUGAUCAUAUUAUGUAAUUUGAUUGAAAUUAUGUAGUUGUUCCAAAGUUUCUAUUUAAAAUUUUAUUAAGUGCGAUCUUCAUUCACGGUAAUUUUCAAUUCUUCGGGCAUUCGAACGAAGAAUUUUCCAAAUCAGUUCAGAGAAAUGUUUAAUAAAAAUACGUAUACAGUACAUUAUCGAUUACUGAAUACCGUUAUAAUACAGUACUCGUUAAAUAUAAUAUUAUUGUGUUUUGAAAAAUAAAUAAUUUACCGAUGACCACUAUUCGGAUUUAUCCAUAGACCUUAUAUUAAUAGAUGGAACAGGGUUGUAGUUCCAGCGUUCAUGCGUGAUUGCGCUGAAUAAGAUAUUACAUAGUACAACAGAUAUGUGCACAAGAACUACAAAUUAUACAUUCAUUUUAAAUUGCACCGUAUUCGUUAUCAAUAUAUAUAUGUACCGCAUGCUAUCACCAUAAUCUUAGACAAUAAUAUUAAUGUUAUUAUCGUUCUGAUUAAUGAUUUCAAGUCUCACCAUUCAUAUCAUCUGAAAUACGAACAAUAGGAAAGUAGUUAACGAUUUUUUUUUAAAAUUGACUGAAGAAUGCCGAACGGAGAUCCUAUUUAAUACUCAAUAUUUACUAUUAGAUAUUUUACCAUUUCUAUUAAAUAAUAAUAGUGGAAUAAUACUAUUAUAAUAAUAUAAUAUUUAGCCACUUAUCAUCAUACAAUAUUAUACAGUAAUUCGUAGUUGUGUAGUAUAAUACCGUUUAUAAAAAUGUUUUUGGUCGCAAGGAAUGGCAUCACUGUUACAAUGAUUUACGGGUGACCGCACCAUCCACCUUCGCCUUACUAAGAAUUUCCAUCUGUUAGUGUAUUAGGUCUAUGCAUUUCUCUAGAUUAUUUAUCUUGAUAAACGAUUUCAAGUUAUCUUAAUGUUUAUUUUAAAUACAUCUUUCACUUACCUGAAUCAUUAUUUUCUUUUCGAAAGUUCAAUAAUAACCAGAAUAAUUGGCUAAACGAAAACAUUUUAAUUGCAAUUUCUGUUAUUUUAAAUCAUUUAAUAAACAAAUUAUGCAGUUAAAUUAGGUAUAUUUUAAGCAUUUUAACUUUUAAACUCAAUUAGUUAACACGGAAAAAAUUAAACGAACUUUGAAAAUCAACUUUUAAUUUUAAUUUGUUUUAAUUUAACGGGAGGUUCAUUAUAAGUCGUACUUUGUGUGGAAAAAAAUUAGUUUAAUGUACCUAGUAAUUUUUUAUUUUUUAGAAUUUGUAUAUCUAAUUUUGAUGGAAUUCGUAAAUAUUUUGGAUUUUCAAAACAUGUAAAACUGAACUUCACUUCGAAUAGUUUUUCGUUAGAAAUGGUUUAUCGUUAACUACAGUUUUUUAUAUUUGUGAUAUGUGUAUAUUGAAAAAAUAAUACAGGGAAAAUAAUUCUUGAGUAUAAUUAUUUAAAUUGGUAUGCAUUUUUUCAUAAAAUAUAAAUUCUUAAAAUAGAAUGUGGAAUACUAAAAACAAAAACUUUGCUAAUAGAUUUAAGAUAUUAUAAUGUUUGUUAUUGAUUGCAAGUAUAAAAAAAGGUUAAUAACUUUUGAAUUUAUUUGAUGACAGUGAGGUACUUCCGCACUAAUUUGUUUAAUUUAUCUCUUAUUACCUUUAAUUUAAUAUAAAUCUAUGGCAGUAGUAUUAUGCACAGUUAUUGUCUAUUGAAAUUUUUAAGCCUUAAAGAUUAAAAUUUAUUUAUAAAUAGGGCAUUUUUAAAAACGGGGCGAGCUUUUUUAAAAAAAAAAAGGAAACAAUAUUUAAAUAAAUGAUAAAUGAGUAAUAAAUCUACGUUGGAAUGGUGAAUGCAGGUAGCUGAUGUAUAAAACAACACAGUGUAAUAUAAAUAUUGCUUAACCAAAUUCGUAUUUUCGAGCAGCUAGCGUACGUAAAAUACUGAUGCUGAUAAAUUUACCCUCGCGUUUAAAAUCCAUAAAAAUGUAACUUUAAUAAUUUUUUUUCAUGUUUUUCCACUACCAACAUAUAUUGGUAAUUUUUGGCUUUGUCUUACCAUAGUAUGGUAAAUAAAUAAAUUGGUCGACUCACAGAUAAGCACGUGUACCGUAUUUUUUAUUGAUUCAUUAAGAAGAGGACGUGAUACCCGAUGAUAUUUUGUAGUAAAACACUUUCGUGUGUAAAUCAAAAAAGAAGUUUAAAAAAAGCUGUCCUAGAAUAAUGGGAAUAGGUGCAGCCAAUUUUUUUGUUGAGAAUUUUGGGAUAGUGUGAUAUAGAGGGGAAAUUGAUUUGUAUCUGUAAGCAACGAUAAACUAUUGCCUAUUAUAAACGAUUUAGAGUGGAGUUUAGUUGAUAGUGAUGCUUUUUCAACAAUACAUGUGUCAUAUUAUGGUAAAAUAAUUAAAUGGACAUUAUAAAUAUUCUUUAAUAAUAUUUGUUUAAUAUUGUACUAAUUUUCUCGUUUUUUCUACGUUUUACCAUAUAUUUUUCCCGGUUUUGCACAUUUGCUGCACAAACUCUUAGGAAAAUCGAAAAAUUACCUCCUUAAAGUACUUUACCAGUUAGAUUGCCUUUCGGAAAUCGAAAAAUUAAAUCGGAGUAAGCUUACUGGUAGAAAAAGUCUUCACAUAAAAAAAAAAAAAAAUAAUAAACAUCUCUGUAAAACCAAUAUAUUCUUCGUUCCACUUAGAAUCUAAAAAGGUUUAAGAAUUAUUAUUGUAUUAUUAAAACACUAGCGUUAUAUGAAAUCAAUAUUGAAAACUAUACAUUGUAUUUCUUAGACGAUUCCAUUAGUAAUUUUUUUUGGGAACGGGUAAGCCCCCGUCAUAGGUCGGUAGUUGGGUAAGUAGAUAGGAGAUACAGAAUAAUUUAGUUUAUAAUAGACUGUAUAUAAAAAUAAUUCAUUACAAACGAAAAAACGAUUCUGAGCUAGGGGUUAUACAAGUAUUUUGCCCAAUAGUCAAAGCAAACCAUAAGUCAAUAAAAAAGAAAACUUUAUUGAUAAAAUAUAUUAAAUAAUUGUUAGUUUUUUUAUUUAAAAGAAAAACUAAUAGGAAUCUAGAUAUUAUUUUCAAACAAAGAACUAAAAAUCCGCGUCUUUUGAGGUACUAUGGAAAAAAUUGAAACCGCAUCUUAAAGUAUAACUUGAAUUAAUCAAUAUAUUUCUACAAAAUGAUAAAGUGUUUUCCGAACAAGGCAAAAAACACACACAUUCGUUACACUUAGAAUUUAAAUUGUAAUAAUGCUUUUUGGCUUAGUUGAAAAAAUAUACGCGGUGUAAAAUAAAUUUAGGUUAUACUAUACGUAGUUAUUUAUUGUUUGUUUUGAUCGAAAAAGCUCCUGUAAUCUAUGCAACUCUUUGUACUUAUUUUUAUUUUGUAUACUUUUAAAAUCUGUAACAUACUUAAUGUAUAUUGACGAUAUAUUAAUAUAAAACCGAAUGACAUUUAAAUAAAUUCCGGUGCUUUAUAAAUUCGCAUUGUAAGUCUACAUAUAGCUUUUAUUGUUGAAUGGGUAUUAAGUAAUAUGACUCGUAUAAGUAUAUUAUUUGUGAGUCAAUAAAGAAAAAAAAACUCGAUGAUUCAUCCGUACUAGCUAGAUAUUUUUUAUGCUACGGUGGCCUAUGAAAUCGAGUAAGUACGACGUAUUGUACUACAGCGGAAAGUCGGAAACAUUUAUUUUUUUGUCCAUAUUUCCAUUUUGAACGAUGCUUUAGGAAAUAUGCAGUGGGCUAUAAUUUAUGAUAUUACGCGCGCGUUAUUGUGGUCAAAUAAAACGUACUACUCACAGCAAUGAUGAUAAUAAAAAGUACCUAUAAUAUUUUUGUCAUAUUCUUCUUUUAAUACAGGAUAUUCUAUGUAAUUUAGUUUUUGUUUUAUUGUAAACUAGAUGUCCCGCCCGACAUUACCCGUGCCAAACAAAUGUGAAAUAAAAACGUUUACCUCCUGGAUUCCCUGUUUCUAUCACUAACACAGCUGUUAAUCAUUGUUGCCCUUAAAGUUUUAGAAAUUUUUAUUUUGUAGCCAAAACUACUGAAGGCUAGGUUUACUAUUUCUACUGGUUAGGAUUUCAAAAUCUUUAAACCUUCUUUGAAUUAACAAUUUUACCAUAUACAUGUUCAUGUAACAGCUGUUGCAGUUGCUCAGUAAUCUCUCGCUUUACCGCAUAAAUAAUAACACAACGCUGAUUGAUUUCAUUAUCAGAAUUUCUAAGAAAAUAAAUCUAGAUACAUUUUUGAUCAGCGUUUACUAGUGCCAGGCAACAAUGAUUUUGUACGUUGGUAAAUUUGUUUAAGGUAAAAAAAAAAAUUAACUUGACAAAAGUUUAUUAUAUUUUGAAAUUUACUACAAAUUUUUAUAACUGUAAGUGUUAAAUUUAUUCAUAAAACUUUAAUACAAAACGUUGAAUUCAUUAAUUAAAGUGGUUUUUGUUUUUUCCGAUAUUUUAUUUUUUAUGUAUAGGCUUAGCGAAAUUUUCAUCCAUUUGUUUUAUUUGUAUUCAUAUAAUUUAUGGGUAUAUGAAAAUGACAAGCCGCUGCGGAAGUACCGAGUUGGCCGUAGGCCAGUGAAAAGCUGCGGCAAUCUUUACGUGGAGCUCGUAAUCUAUUUCGAAAUAAUGUUAUUCUUUAAAUUCUGGUGAAUGAAAAAAACUCGAUGAUAUUGAUAAAUUAAGUUAGUUACAGUAUUAAUUGUCUACAAUAAUAUCACAAAAUAUAUUAUGAGCGCCGUUUUGGUUUGCUACAAGCAAGUGACGUAGAUCUACACGUCGGAUAUAUUCUGAGGUAGUCGACCAUCAUUUUGCAGUUUAAAAUGUUUUUUCAUAACAAAUGAUGAACAAAAAUUAUAUUAAUAAAAUAAACAUCCCAACACUGAUUGAAUUUUCAUCGGAUAAAUUUUUCUGAUUGAUGUUUCUUAUCAGUUCUUAUAUGCGGUGGUUUAAAUGUAUGUUAAGGAUAAAAUGCCUAUCAUCAACACUAUACAAAUAUCGUAUUUAAUAACAAUACAGACAACUUUGUAAUCAUAAUAUUAUAAGUCAACGUUUUUCAAAAAUUAGUGUCAAAAAAUUAGCGAUAAUCAUAUCUAGCUUAUGACGAUAUUUUUAAAAUUACUUUGAGACGUACACAAAUUUCAAUUUACGUGAACAUGUUUUUAAAAAAAUUACUUGACAACAGUUUUAAUAUUAGUAUUUCGAUGUUCGUCAAUUACGCUGGUUUUGGAACACUACCUGUAUUUUAUACAUCUAUUGCGCUGGGUCAUUUUUAACAUUUGUUAAAAAAACAAAUUUAAUUUAAAAUUUAUUAAAAUAACAUAUUCAUUUUUAAAAAUUGUAUUAAACCUUUCUACUUGAAUUUUAUUUAUACAUCGUCGAAUGUUUUGAAUGUUGUUGGAACUCUUACAGUGUCAAAUUUUACUUUUCUAAAAAUUACGUUGAAAAAUUAUCAAUAUAAAAAUAAGAAAAGAUAUUAUAUAGAUUGUUAUUUAUAAUUAUUUAUGUUUUUAUAUUUUGGUUAUGUACCUUUUAUUUUUUGCUUCUCAACGAUGUUCAUUCUCAUGUAUGACUGAAUCAUUUUCAAAAUUUCAUAAAGAUCAAAGAUAUUUAGAUAGGGCGUAUAAAUAUAUUUUCCAAAUGCUAAGAGAAACGACAAACAGGAAUUUGUAUUUCUUUCAUCUGAUAUACGAUGAAAAAGUUGCAUGUUCACCAAUAUACCUAUAUAUCAAUGAGAUAAUAAUAAAAUAAAUACUGAUUCGCAUUUUUACGUAUUUAGAAAUCAAUCGGCACAAAUAACAUACAAAUAUAUACAGUGUACCUUCGAAUAUCGAUCAGCGCAGUUGAUGUAUAGUCGUGUAUUAAACCUUUUUUUAUCCCAUAAUUUUUCUUUUUUACCUGCGAUUUCCGGCACCAUUUAUAUAUUAUUAUCCCUUUAUGAUUAGAUUAGUUUUUUUCUUUUAAAUCACGAUUUUAUUGUUUUUAUAACGGGUCACUCUAAAUAAAUAUAAUAUUUUCACAGGGCAUUCAGUUUUUGUAAAUUUUUAAAUAAAAAAUCUAACUGUAGCUGGUUAUGAUGGCGUUUCGAUUUGAACAAAGUGGUAUUAUUACGGGGGCAAAUUUAAUACCUUUCAAAUAUUGUUUUUCGCAUACUGUCGUAUGAAAUAUAAUUAAAUAUUAUUAUAAAGUAAACACAAUCUAAAGCUUAUUAUAAUAAUUCGAAUAAUCUUUCCGCAAAUACAAUAACCACCUGUAAAUAUUUAUUUAACUGCGGAUUAUUCGAGAAUAAUAUAAUUAUAAUAAUAUAAAACGCAUUAUUCUGCGACCGGUUUUUGGAAUUGGCUUUUGGCAUCGGAAUAUUAUGCCACCGUAUAUAAUUAUAUGAUUAAGUUGAAUACUAUAAUAUUAUUAAUAUUAUUACUAUAAUUAAUGGAUAAACUUUUCAUCAUUCUACAAUCCCCACCCUCAUUGGAAAUUCCUGAGAAUUCCACUGAUUAAAAAUUAUGGGGGAGAAGAAAUAUCCUGGGUUUUGUAAAAAAUAACUGGUGAUCGGUGUGCCAUCCAUUACCCAGUGUGAGUGUGAAGUUUGAAACAUAAGAUACACGAAGUUGUGUUUUAAUAUGUUCCAUCUGUACGCAACAAUGAACCGUUGAUAACUAAAACCGAUUCUGAGCGAAGUUCAUUUAUACAUGUUUUGAAAUACCGUAAGUCGUUCGAUGUCGUCAAAAUUUGAUCCUAAACCAUACCUGUACAUAAAAAAAACUACUAUAUUUCUCUCAAAUUUUAAAUUUUAAGCUUUAAUUUAAACUUAUAAUAAACCUCAUAUAAAAUGUUCAAAAAUUUUUGGUUGGCAAACAAGUUUAUCUAUAUUAAAUCAAACACAAAUUAAAAAACUAGAAAAUAUCAAAUACCCAUAAGUAGCACAUUUUUGUAGCACAAGAAUCGAGAGAAGAAACCACGUUUGAUAGGUAUGUGUGUUAUUUGAAUAUUACAGGUCUCUACGAGUAUUUUUAUUCGAAUUAUGCAAAAAAAAAAAAAUAAAAAUUGAAAAUAACGAAAUCGUUAAAACUCUAAACUUUUCUGUUAUUUUUACAGUUUUUCUCGAUUAUUUAGGAAAAAUACACACAACAUUUAAAAACGGCUUCAUUAGGUGCCAACUUAAUGCAAUUUUUAUUCGAAUAAUGUAGUGCUUCAGUUGAAAUUUGGAAUUAGAAAGUUUUCUGGUAGACAAAUUGUACACAAAAAAAAAAAAAUUGCAUACAUCGUGGUAAAACUAAUACAAUCCUCGCUCGUAUAUAAAAAUGAGCAAAGCCGUAUGUCGCUGGUUAAUAUUAUAUCGUACACACGAUUUAUUUACCGUCAGACACGCGCAGUCAUUCUGUAGAAAAAGUUUUUAAACAAAUAAAAGUCGCUCGGUUAUCGCUGACAUGCAGUGUAUAAAUACGUAUACGUAAGUAUAUUUGCACGCGUUAUCGUGAUUACAUUUUAUGCUCUCUGGUCCACGUGUUUGCAAAUGGAAAAUAAAAUAAUGUUCCAAUGAAUUGUGUGCUAUUGAUCAGAAAUAAAAGUUUGAAGCGAAAAAAUAACACGCGUAAAUAGUAAUCGAAUAUUUGUGUAAGUAAUACCUAUUGUUUGUUGAAAAAGUAAAUUUUCAAACAAUUCGAUCGUAAAAUGUAAAUGCAGCAUUGUCGUAUAGUUAAUCAUAUUUCCAUGCACAUAACGAUAUUUAUAAGUUUUCGAGUAUAUCUACGAAAUUGUAACGAAUAAAAUAGACAUGGGUAUAAUAAUGUAAGUAAUAUACAAAAAAAAUUAGAAUCAACUUCGCAUGAUGGGUGAGCCACUAUUGUAGAUGAAAAAUUGGGAAGGUAGGAUAAAUAGGGAAAUUUAAUGUAUAUCUACACAAUGUACACAACAAUAAAUUUUUGUUUUCGAAAAACGAUUCUGAGCAGAGUUCGGUUAUAAAAUAUGUUUUGAAAUAUUAACGAUUUGAAAAUAAUACAUUUUGUACAUUUUCCCGGUUUUCCCUACGUUUUAUCCCGAGUUUUUCCAUUUAUUAUAAAAACAGCUUGGAAAAUCAAAAAAAUGAUAUCCUUAAAGUACUACCCCAGUUAGAUUUUCUUUCAGAAAAAGUGCUAUACUUGAAAAUCGGAGCCAAAUUUUUGAUUGAAAAAAUGUCCACAGAAAAAAAAAUAAACAUCAUUGUAAAAUUCUAUUAGUUUUAACUCGUUUCGUUUAGAAUAUAAAACUAUAAUAAUCUAUAAAAAUCUAGUGUACAAUUAGUGUGAAUUUGUGCGCGACAAAAGUUUACGUGGAAAAACGAUAGUGGGAGGCGGUGUUAGGAAUUUCCACCGGGUAGUCGAAAUAUUUUUCUAGAUUUUCAACGGGUUUUCUAAAAACAAAUUGAAAACCGAUAACAGUUGACAAUUCGCCAGGCUUAGGCGGAAUCAAUACAACGGCCCGACAACAAUUUUAUGGCCCGAUUUAUUAUUCUAUAGUUUUCACGAAAUAUUACAUUAAAAUAUACGAUACGGGGGUUGGAUGGGCAAAUACUAAUUUCGAAGUAGGUACUUCAGUAUUUGUGUAUGUAUAAAGAAAAACUUUAAAAACGUAAAUCAUAAUGUAUUGCGCAGCAGCGGUGGUGUACACAAUAUUAUUAUUAUAAUAUUCGAGAGGCGUAGCGCGUAUAAUUUAAUCGUAUAUACUUACUUUAAAAUAAACGUUACAAAUACUUACGUUUUGUAUAAUAUCGCACAUUAAUUUUGCAGUUUUAAAAAAUAGUAUUGUUGUCAUAUAUAAUAUAUAAUAUAUACACGUCGACGGUCGAGCUCGACGAAUCAUCCAACUCCGGGGAUUGUAUUUCGAAUGCGCGAUAUGAUUUAUCGUUCGUUUUUGCGGUGGGUACCUAGGUAUAUUUAAAUAAUAAAAAAAAAAAAUAUAUAUAUAUAUAUAAUUCCUCCGGUGUUCUGUGUAGCUGCAGCGGUAAUUCCGCCCCAAAAAAAAAAAAAAAAAUAAUAAAAUAAAACAAAAACCGUGACGAUUAUCGCGUUCAAGAGUAUAAUGAUAAUAGUAACAAUAAUAUUAUUAUUCCAUAACAAUAAUAAUUUUAUGAUAAUACCUACAGGUCCAUCCUACCCUGGCCAAUGUAAAUCGUGAACCGUCCGAAACAGUCAUCGUGAUAUUGUGACCUGCAGUAGCUAUUAUCGCUAUGGUUAUUAAGUUUUUUUUUUAUUAACCGUAAAUUUAUCGAAAGAAAACGUAAAUGUUAUAAAUUAUCGACUUUAUUCGAGCGGAGUUUUUUUUUUUAUCGCUAAAACCGAUAUUGUAAAACGCGAAUAUUUCAGUGUACAUUAACUAUUAGUUUCUUCUAAUAAUAUUAAAUGCGUUUUAAUUUUUUUUCCGUUAGUAAAAAUACACGGACGUACUCAUAGAGGGGAGAUCAUGGGGUUUAACCUCCUCCAUUCGCCGUUUUUUUCUUUUUUUUUUGUGAUAACUGCGUUUGAAAUUUUUAACGGAUGUUAAAAUUCAUUGUCGCAUCGUAUAGUUUAUAUUUAAAACUACAAUAUAAAUAUAUUUGUAACACCAAACAAUUAUUCAUAAAUAAUUAAAAAUUAAAAGUGCAUUAAAUUUGUCAUUUUAUAUUUUUUUUAGAUUCCGAGUUUAGAAGAAUGCAUUGGUUUUAAAAAUAUGUUUAUUUGUUUUGAUUUUUUUGUUAUGUGAACAUUUCUUCAAUCAGAAAACUUACUCCGAUUUCUAUGUAUAGUACUUUUUCUGAAAGGCAAUGUUCUUAGGCUGGUACUUUAGAGAGGUCAUCAUUUUUUAAAUUCUCAUUAAUAUUCGAGAUAAUGAGAAAAACCUGGUUCUUUAAGUUAAAAAUUGAAAUAUUAAAAAUAAAGUUGUCAUUGGCAACGGUUUUUUUUUUUGUUAUUAUUUUAAUCUUUUUUAAAUAAUCAUUGUUAUCAUGGAAACACGCAUUGUUGUAUUAUUUUCCCACAAUAUGAUAUAUAUAUUGUUGAUAAAGCAACACUAUCAACUGAACUCAGCUCAGAUUCGUUUUUCGUAAUUAAUGGUUUAUCGUUGCUAACAGAUAUACAUUUAAUUCCCGGCUGUAUCCUACCUUUCCAACUCCCUACCAACAAUAGUGGCUGCGUCCACGUGCGAAGUAUGGUAAAAUAAUUACAACAAUGCGGGUUUCCAUGACAACAAUGAUUGUUUAAUAAAGAUUAAAAUAAUAAAAACUUAAGAACAAAAAAUAAAUAAAAACGGUUGCCAAUGACAACCUUAUUUUUAAACUUAUAUUUCUUUUAACCAAAAGAACCGGGUUUUCUCCAUUACCAAGAAUAUUAAUGAGAAUUUCAAAAAACGCCCUCUUUAAAUUAUCACCCAGUGGAUAUUUCUUUUUAGAAAAGAUACUAUACUUGGUAAUUGUCUCUGGCAGAAAAUGUGUUCAUAUAAAAAAAAUAAACAUCACUGUUAAACUAAUACAUUCCUCGCUCUACUCAAAAAGUCAGAAUCUAAAAUAAUAUUAAAGGGGUGUGCACUGAUAGCCCCUUGCAUAUUUUUUUAGAAAUUACCUAGAACCCACACCCCCGCUAAUUGCGAAUUCCUAGGAAUGUCACUGAUUUUAUAAUAAACCAAAUUGAAAAAUGUUUAAAUUAUUAAUUAUUUAUUAUUAUUACAGUAAACGUUCUUAAAAUAUUUGUUUAAAUCUAUUGUUUAUUCUAUUACUCGUAAAAAUAAACAAUUUUCGUUUUGCUAGUUUUGGCAAUAAAUACUAAAUAGGUCAAUAAUUACCUAGGUAAAUUAAAAAAAAAAAAUUGAAUUUUGUUUCGCAGUUUUCGAUAAUAUGCUCAUAUUGUCAGGGAUUGUUAUUUGACACAAUUUCCGUAAAAACAUCACCGUCACAUAGUAAUGAAUUUUCGAUAAUAUUUUAAUUUUACAUUUUUUUUUUUUUACUGCAAUCGUUAUCAAUAUUUCCAGUUUAAUAAAUUUCAAUUAAUAAUUUUAUACCCAUAUUGUUCUAUAUAUGUAUAGGAAUCUACAGAUACUGCAUAAAUAUGUCACUAUAGUUUUCAAUCAUACGACAAUAGCAAAGCUAAAAUAUUAGGUUUUACGAAAAUCGGUUUUACUUCGAGUAUUUUUCAUCGCAAAAUUAAAAUAGCAGCUUCAUCGCUGAAUUCUUUUAACAGUACAUAUCGUAUUAGGUAUAGUUGCAACUAAAUAUGGGCAAUAUACCUAAGAGUAUUUUAGUAAGUUUGUGAGCAGAGCCUAACAUUUUUAGCACAUAAAAUUCACAAAAAGACGCUUAAAAAUUCCAACAAGGCUUGAAAAAAAGAUUCAUUAGGUUCUCGUCUUCUUUUCUCUAAUAUAAAUAUAAUAUAUUUGAGUAAAUCUUAGGUAUACGCAUAUUAUAUUUAUUUGUCGUUUAAUUAAUAUUCUAUAUUAAAUCGCGAAUUUAUGAAUUCAAUUUUCCCUCGAGUUUCCCCGUAUCUAACCUUAUGAGUGUACAUAAUAUUAUUAUUUGAAUAAUAAAUUAUGCAAAUAUUAUAAUAAAUUGACGACCAGCGGUCCUUCGAAACAUUGACACAAUUUUAUAUUUUUUUCGAUUCAAAUUAUAAUUAUUGUUAUUAGUUAUUAUAAAACAAAGUUAUAAGGUUUUAAAACCGAAUCUGUGUAGCGAUGAAUAUUUUAUAGUAUUUUCACGUUCUCAGAUAAUUACAGGAACAUUCACGGUGAAAAGAGAUUUCCGAAUAUAUAUAUAUAUAUAUAUAUAUAUAUAUAUAUACGUAAAUAAACGAUGGAAAAUUAUAUUAUAAUUCGUUUCCCUGCCGAUAAAAUAUUAUUUUUUAUUAUACGAAAACUAAUGAUGGCAUUGCGGUAGUUAUAAAACGUUGUUAAUUUUCAUUUGUUUUUAUAAUUUUGUUAUAACGGAUUUUCUUCGGAAUGGGUACAAUUAUUUCACCCCCUCCCCACUCCCCCCGAAGAAAUUCACUCGGGUUUAGAAAUGGUCGGUAGAUAAGUAUAUAUACUUUCAUACCUUUAAAAACUCUGAAAAUUGUUUUAAAAACGUUUUUAUUGUGUUUUUCAAAAAAAAAAAAAAAAAUGUUCAACGAUCACAUACUGAACGAGGUAUUAAAAUAUAAAAGUGAGUUGAAGAUUUUUUCAAAGUGCAUAGUAAAACUUAUACCUAUAAAAUAUUAUUUUCAGCCACGUGAAAUAUGAAAAAUAUUACAUAUAUAUUGGUUUGGUAAACGAAACACACGUGUAAACUGGCGAUAGUGCCUACAUGCGUUUAGGCUGUAUUUGCACAAAAUCGUUUUAAUUCGUUAAAUUCUUACAGUGUAUUUCGUUUAUUUAGAGUUAUAAACCGAUAUAUUUGAGUUACACCUCAUACCCAUUAUGUCUUGAAUGAUUAUAUAAGUUGGAUUUUCAGACAAAAAUAACCCUUUUUUAAAUAAGAUUCAGAGGUAAUAAUGGUCAUAUUGAAAUGAUUUCGACAAAAAUGGCCAGUUGAAAAUAGUUAAAUAUCGAAAUAUUUCGAUAAGAAUAUGGCAAAACACAAAAUUGCCUAGUGGCAAGUAUGGCCAAGAUUUUCGUUUUCUACCGGAAAUCUUACUGUAAAUAUUAAUAGUAGCAUUUUUUUUUUUGAAAUACAAUUUUGUAUUAAUGCGUUUAAAGGUUUUUUUUUUCUAUUUUCCUAGUCAUUUUCUGAAAAUUUAAGAAAAUACAGAAAAAAUGGGAUAGCCUAUGGAUAAAACGAUUUCAUAAGUUUAAAUUUUUUUUAUGUUUUUUUGUAUUCAGAUAAAUGUAAUCGUAGAGACCUUAUUUUUUUAAAAGAUAUUUAAUAUUUAAAUUAGCCCUAUAGAUGUGAUCAAAUUUAUAAGAUUUGACAUUUCUCAGAAUUUUGAACUAUUAUCUAGUAUUGUAUAGAUAAAAUAACUUGGCUAAAAAAAAAACGCUUACAAAUUUCCAAAAAAAUCAUUUAAUUUUGUACCUACUCACUGGGGAAAAGGAGUCGAGAUUAAUGUAGUAUAUUUUUCUGAGCAUUUUAAAUUGAAAUUAUGUUUAAAAUCGUAACAAUUUCAAACCAUGUAUAAUCAAACAUAACUUAGAAUCGCUUUUCGUUAAUUUAAUGCAUCCUUUUUUAUUUGGUGCGUAGCUAGGGAUUUACUGAUUUUAUUAUGAUAUGUGUUCUUUUUUUCUGUCUUUGAACAGCUUUUAUACUAAAAUAUUGCUCAAAUAUAUAAAGUGUAGCACCUUUUCUAAAAUAUAAUUUUCUCUAAUAAAUGCAUUGGAGAGAUAAUUUUUUGAUUUUUAUAAUGAUUGGGAAAAACGUAGAAAAUCAGGAGAAUUUACAAAACGUAUAAUUUUCAAUUAUGUUUUUUGGUGUGUUUCAGUUUAAAAUAUUUGUAGAAUCUUGAAAUUUAAAUAUAAAACUUAUUUUUAUUUUCUAUACGUAAUGAAAUUUUCUAAACAUAUCUGCCUUUUUGAGUUAUUUAUAGAUAUUUUAAUUUGGUGAGUUUUUUAUAUAGUAUUUAUUUUAUAUGCGUUACCCUGGACAAAAAUUGUAAAACUGAACAGAAAUGCUUGAAAAUUUAACAGAAAGGUCAUUAUAAUUUGUAGUUUGUGAAAAAAAAAAAUAAAAAAAAAAUGGAGUACAAUGUACUAUUUUAUUUAAACGACUUUUAAUAUCAAAUUUUGACAAAAAAUCAUAAAUAUUUCAGCCUUUUAAAAUGUGUAUAAAAGAACUUUGCUCAGAAUCGUUUUACAUUAAGAAUGAAUAAUUGUUGCGUAGUAGUAUACAUUAAAUUUCUCUCUAUAUAUAUUCUACCUUUCUAACUUCUCACCUACAACAGCGGUUCACCCAUCGUGCAAAAUAUCUCCAUCUUUUAGAUUUUUAGUAGAGUAAAGAAGGCUUUACAAUGAUGUUUAUUUUUUAUUUUAUUUUUUUUUAUCUGUUAACAACUUUUCUACCAGAAGACUUGUUCGGAUUUCUGCGUGCAGUACUUUUUCUAAAAGAAAAUCGGUGUGAUGAGGUACUUUAAGGAGGUCAUUUUUCGAUUUUCUCAAGAGUUUUCUCAUCAAAUUUGGAAAACUGAAAAAAAAAUUGGGAAAAUAUAAGAAAUGUAGGUGUUAAUUAAAAUAUAUUGCGGCCUUUUUUUUUUCUGUUCACAACUUUUCUACCAGGAAUUUUGCUCCAACUUCUUUUAACAAUAGCUAUGUUUCUAAAAGGAAAUUUCGCUAGGGAGGUACUUUAGAGAGGUAACUUUUUUGAUUUUCUUUGGAAUUUUCUCAUCAGAUUUGAAAAACCGGGAUAAAACAAGGGAGUACCGGGAAAAACGCAGGAAAAGUAAGGAAAUUGGUCCAACAUUAAACAAAUAUUAUUAAAGAAAAUAUAUAGAGGCUUUUUAAUUAUUUUACUAUUAUAUGGCAUAUAUAUUAUUGACAAAGCAUCACUAUCAACUAAAUUCCGCUCAGAAUAGUUAUUUCGCAAGCAAUGGUUCAUCGUUGCUUAUAGAUAUACAUUAAAUUCUAAGUCUGUAUCGUAUCAUCCCAACCACCCACCUACUCCAGUGCCUUCACACGUUCUUAAUAUUUCACCAUUCUUUUUUUAACCUGUUACGUUGAUAAAGUUAUUAAAAAAUGUAAGUUAUUAUUUAUUUUUUAAUUUUCUAUCUAGUUAUCAUCGACUUUGGUUGAUAGUAUCAUACUACUAUGUAUAUGUAUUUUACCGCUUUGUCUAGAUAAUUAUUAUUCUAGCAAUUAAUAAUCUGUUAUCUAGAUAUUUUAAAACAUAUCUUUAUACACAACACGCUGUAAACUACUUAAGCGUUCGGGCUCACCUCUCACCCUAUAUACCCUGUAUUAUUAUAUAGUAAUGGCUCUGUGACACACGCGCAUAAAACGUAAUAAUUAAUCAAACUGCGGGGAAAUUACGUAAGUACACUGUAUGCGUGCGCCGGAAUUUAAAAACAAUUUGUUUACUAUACUGUUAUUAUUAUCAUGCCACCCCUUGUCACUCCUAUAUGCUCUAUAGGUAUCUAUAUGCAUAGUGUCUCGCGUGUAGGACAACCCGAGCUUUUCACAGGGUGUCACAUACCCCGAAAACACAAUGAACAUUUAUACGCUGCGACGGCCGCGGCGGUCGUGGCAGGGUGCACAAAGGAUCGCGAAUGACGGGUAUAUUAUUAUUAUUAUUGUCGUCUCGUCGGAACAGACAUACAUGCAUUAUUAUAACAUAUGAUUAUUAUUAUCGGUGUCCUUUCACGUUUAAAUCCUGCGCAUAUGGGAGCGCACCCUCGACGAGCAGCGUAUUGCAAUAAUAUAAUAACGCGUGACCAAUCCGCCACCGAACAAAUCCUCGGAGAUCCGACUGCGCUAUGAUUCCUACCAUGUUACAAUAACGAUCCGCUCAGCGGUGUCCUGGGAUCUGAAUUUUAGAGGACUGCUUGAAUUUACAAAUCGCAAGGCCACUUGAAUAGAAAAAAAGUCGAUACUGCUGAUUGGUGUGUCAUUUUCGUAUGCAGGAAGUCGGAACGGAAGAUAUUAAUUAUAGAGUGAUUUAAUUUGAAUCUGUAAAGAACGAUAAACCAUUGUUAACGAACCGCGAUUCAUAGUAUUACAAGUCGUAUUUUUUUCUUGUUACCCAUUUAGGUAACUACGAAAUCAACAAAAAUUAUAAACAUUUCUUCCAUUUUCUCAUCCAUGCAUCAACGAGAUCAUAAAUGCUAGUUCCGUAAAAUUUUCGUGUAGUUUUAACGCGUCUAAAAACGACUAAUAUAAGUAAUCUGUAAAUAUUUUAAGUUUGUGUGUUAUUUUCCACCGAAUUGCAAAAAAAAAAAAAAAAAAAGUUAACAUCGUAAUAUAGUAAACAUUUUCAAAAUCUAAUAAACUGUGAGCAAUCCAUGAAUAGUUUAUUAUUAUUAAAUAAUAUUAAUAUAUUUUAACGAUUUUCUAUUUUUAUUUAAGGUCGAUUUUACUAUACGUUUUAUCAUUUUCAUCAUUAUUGCAGUAAUUGUCAAUUUUUUUUUUUUUUUUGACACUUUAACGCGGAUGAUAACGUAUAGGUACCUACCGAAUAUCGUUUAUUUUGACCGUAAUAUUGUAUUUUAUUAUUCAAAGGUUGCCGCGAAAAAGAUUUACAUGACUUACCCCCACGAGUCACGGCACGCGAUAGUGAAAAUAUGAACUGUACCUGUAUAUAAAAUAUAUUAUUAUGCGCGCGUUAAAGACUUUUUAUAUUCAACGGAUGUACCUGUUUGUAAAUUUAAAAUAAAUCUGUCGACGUGUCACACGUGUGUGCAGAAUUGAUUUUUAUACGCGAGUACACUAUUAUUAUUAUAAUAUUAUAAUUUAUAGUCAUCGAAUAAAUAAACUUGUGCCCAAAUUCACAGUUUAAUAAUAAUAAAAAUAAAAUAAAUCCGAUCGUGUAAAUCAGGAAAUAACAAAGAGAGAAAAUAAUAAAAUAACACAGCAACAGAGUUUCGUCACUACAGGAUCGAAUUAAAUCACCCCCUCCACAUAUUUCGUAUUAUAGAUGUACAUUAUUUGUAAAACAACGAAUAACCGAAUACUAAAAUAAUUAUAUUCUAAUUAAUACUAUUAUACUACAAUAAUCAUACUAUUUCCCAAAAAAAAAAACAAUACAUUCGUCGUUACGCUCAGAAUCUCAAAAAUGAUAAUAAUAUAUAUUGCAAUACAUAACGGAGAUAAAAAUUAACGAUGAAUGCAAAUUCGUUUUGUAUUCCCCAAUACCCGUCAUAAAAAAAAAAAAAACUGUUCGUGAGAAUAAUGAAAAACAGACGUAUUAAAUUAUUUCAAACGAAAUAAAAAUUUUAAUUUAACUAUUUAAUAGUUACUAUGAAACGUAUAAAAUAUAAUUCGAUAUUGUUUAUUCGACCCUUUUUGUACCUUUAAAUAAACCCCUUAUUUGUAUGCAUCCUCGUGAUGAGUUAUUUUUUAACGUUGUUUAGUUCUUUUACACGAUAAUACAUCAGUCAUCAUUGCAGUACGUACAACAAUUAAUAUAACUAUUUAUUUAGAUCGCAUCACUCUAAUCAUCUGCGUAUUAUUAAUAUCGAAGUACAGUCUUUCAAAUUUAAUAUUACGGUCUAAUAUUGUCCAAAAAAUAAUUUCAAAAUAUGAUUUAUGUUAAAAUUGUUUGGAAUUAUUUAUCCUAAAACGUUGCAUUGUCAUGGUUUGUUGUUGACCUUAUAUUUGUGGGUGAAACCUUUACUAAUUUUUUUAAAUUACCACCUAUACGAUAAAAGUACCAUAAAUAAAUUAAGUUUCAGUUUAAAUACAUUUCGGUGUACAUGCAUUUUAAGUUUAGGUUUCUAUUUAAAAAAUCGAAAAUCGGCAGCAUAAGGUCACCCCCCGAGAUUAAGGAUGACGAUAAAAAUAAUAACUAUUUAAUAUUUUCGAAAACAAGAUUGGAAAAAUAACCUCUCGAAAUGACGUGUACCAUCUGUGUCGAAUUAUUUAUACGUUAUAUAAAUACAUAUAUAUUUAUGUAAUAAAUACAAUGUUGCAGCCGAAUGAAACUUUGUGUGAAUAUGAUUUUAUCCCGCGCGCGUGAAAUAAAUUCUAGGCGAGUGUUAGAGUCAUAAACCCCCCCCCCAAAAAAAAGCACACAGAAACGUACAUUAUAAUAUAGCUUUUCUUUUCAUUUAGAUUUUAAAAAAAAAUUUUAUUACAAAUUUUAAAUUUUACGUUAUUCAUGUAAAAAAAGUUUAUACCUAUACAACUCACGGUAAUAUUCAACACACAAUUACAUUAUUACUGACUCUCCUGUUUGGCGGAUGAUGAUAAUAAUAAUAAUAAUAAUAAUAAUAAUAUGUAAGGAUACUGUAUAAAAAGAAAAAAAUUCACUAUUUCAAAACUCUACAGUAUCUAGCGCCCAUCUGUUUUCAUCGGGUGUUUUUUUCGUAUAAUAAACUCGGAUCGUAAUUCGGGCCUGUUUUAAUAUUGCAGUUAUGUGGAGCAAGUAAACAACUCCCCCUUCCCUCUCUUUACUCUGGACUACUUUUAAACUGUUAUUAUUAUUUUUUUACUCUUUUAUAUACUUUAUAUACAAUAAUAAUGUUUUGAGUAGGUAUUAUCUCGGAGCCGAAACCCUUAGUAAUUUUUUUUUUGUUUGUCUCUUAAAAAUGUCCCAUUUAUAUAAUAUUAUAACGUUUAUAUUUUUUAUAUUGUUCGUAUAUCAAUUACGGCGCCCGGGAGCCUUUACCAAUUUUCCGGAUAUUUUAUUUGUGUGAUUUUUAAUGUUACCACUGCUCGAGUUCAAAAUGAUAAUAAAUAACAAUUUCAAAUAUUAAAUUUAAAAAUAUAUAUAUAUAUACUUAGUACAUUGGUUUUCAGUCACUUUGCAGGAAGACAGGUAACGCUACGCCUACGAAAUUUCCAACGGCGACUUGAGACAAAUUUCAAAAGUAUACAUUCGUAUUAUAGGCUCAAACAAUUAUUGGGAAAAACAAACUCCUACCGAAUCAGGUUAUCUUUUGCACGGGCAUGGUGUAAAAUUUCAUAAUAUAUGCUUGUGUUAACUCCUACAAACGAUUUUAUUAAAUAAAAGGAGGUUUUUUUAAAAAAAAAAACCAAACAAUUAUAAAACCGUAUUAAUUUAUUAAUUUCAAUAAAUUUGAGUUCAUAAAUGCAUAAUGUCCAAUAGUCAAUUUAAAAUAAUAAUUAAUAAUAGUGUAUGAUAAUAUAUAGUUAUAGUGUUAAGAAUAAAAAUGUCUGCGUACUGCGUAGGAGAUUACACUAUUUUUUUGGGACAGGUAAAAAAAACACGUAUAGGAGAUUAUACACUGUAUAAAAUACAGUUAGAAAUAAUUAUUCGUGUGAGAAUAUAUAACUAGGGUCCAAGAAGUAGGUUCUAUUGUGGGUGGAAUAAACUUCUUCGGAAAAUCAAACAUGGUACUCACAAUAUAGGAACGUUUUCUUUUUUUUUUUUAUCAAAUAUUUGCUCUUAGAUUCAAAAUCAAAAUUUUAUUUGUGAAAACUCCACUGAGUCGGGUGAAUUUUAUUAAAUUUGUAUUAUAUUAGUGAAUUUUUUACGAGCUCAUGUCAAGAAAUUAUUAUUUAAAAUAUUCAUACACAUUAUGUAUGAUUACAUGAAUUAUGUAUAAUUACCUCGAACGUUUUAGAUUUUCCGCGGUUCAAAAUACGAUUUCUCCUAGUUUACACACAUAUAGCCCAUGGGUAUAUAUAAUUAUAUAAUAUUAAAUCGUAUACACAGUUUCAAAAGGGUGAGUCUCAAAUUUCAAAAUCCAUUUGUACAGGUAAUAUAAUAUUAUCAUGUUUCUCGGUAUAAUAUUAUUUCAUUAUUAAAAUAAUCUGAUUCACGUACAUUAGGGAAUAUAUUAUACUCAAAAAAAUAUAUAAUUACGGAAAUUUGAUGAAUUAAAAUAUAUUAUUCAUUACACUAAUCUAACAUAAAAACCGAUACAACUUAUGGGUGUACCACUGUUGUCGGUGGGAAGUUGGGAAGGUAUGUUAAUUUAUCUUGAAGAAAUAUUGAAUUUAUAUCUGUACACUACCAUAAAUCAUUGCUGUUGAAAUAAAAUUCUGAGCGAAUAUUAGUUAAAAAUAUGUUUUGAAAUGCAUAGUAUUUACGAAUUUCGUAAAAAUUUGAACAUUAGUAUUUAUAAAAAUAAACUUUUACAUUUUAAACCAUUGUUUACUGUGAUAUACAACUGCUUUAGUACAUUUUUUAUUGAUAUUUUAAAUUAUUAUGUCCGAAAAAUUUAUAUUUAAAAAUACCAUUAUCAUUUUUGGUUUUUGCAAUUUAUUUGCUUUUGCCCGAAGUCUAUAACAAGUAAAAACAUAAUAUUUCCAUUUGUCAUAAUAGUUUCUAUAAUAAUAAUUUUGAUGGCCUAAUGAAAAUGGUAUUUUUCACGUAAAGUAGAUGUAAAAAAGUAAAUGUAACAGGUAUAUUGAUGGUUAAACUGAAAAUGUACAAUAAAGAGAAGUUUUAAUUUUGUUGAUAAUACAGAAAGCAUAUAAAAAAUUAUUUCAUAGUUACUAACAAUUUAUAAAACUUUCAAAUUUUGUUUAUAAUUGUCCAGGUCGACUUUAUAUAUUAUUUCAGCCAAGCUACACGGAAAAUCUUCAUCUAUUGAUUAGAAAUGUUCUUUUUGUAAUCAUAUUUUCAAUUCUUGUAGUUUAAUUAUAAUUUGAAUACAAGAAGGAAAUUGUACUAUUUAUCCAUGACUAUUAUAUGUAACAACCCCUCUCAUUGAAAAUUUCUAAUCAUACCACUGCUAAUAUCUAUUAGCAACUCUAAACUACUACUAUAUAUUUAUUACACAUGAUAUCGUUGAUAUAAUAUGCUAGACACAGUCGUUCAGAAUGUUCGGGUAUAAUAAUAAGUAAACAAAAAGAUACGGUGUUAAUUCAUAGCACAUUUUAGACGUCUAUAUGUCGUUUCAAAUGGAUUUCACUCAUCAAAUGUUCGAUUUCCACUAAGUUUUACUAAUGAAUCAAAAUAUAACAACAUGCAAACGUCACAAAAAUAAUCCCUACACUCGUUUUUUCGCACGUAUGGAAAUUUUAAAUACCCACCUAUCUAGGAUAGGUGUGAAAAGCAAGAGCCCAAACUCGAGCGAUAUAUAUUCUUUCCGGGUCAUCAGUGAGUUUGGUAACAAGUUUACUCCGGUGAAAUGACGCCGUCACUGUUGAAAACUAAAAGCUAUAUAUUAUUGAUCCGAGUUAGGAUGUAGGCUCCCAUAAUAUUUUCCGUAUACAUUUCUCUUUUUACUCUAUAAUCAUCGCAGGUCGGCGAUUUCGUUUACUAGGUGUUCUUUUUGAAUGUAUAAUACGCGAAAAUUAUAUUAUACAAUACACACCCAAAGCUCUAACGGUUUGUGAACACGUUACGGGUUUUUUUUUUUUUGGAAAAAUGAUAAUGUGGAAAUAUUUCUUUUCGCUAGGUAUCCGUUAUGUAUUUUUUUUUUUUGUGAAAUUUUAUGUUCACCGUAUGGUACCUAAAGUGUAGGUACAAAAAAGUAAUAAAUUAUCGAGUUUUGCUCGAGGUGGGAGGGGUGUGGCGGGAACAAAUAGCAAAAUGGCAGUAAAGAGGUCGACAAAUAUUAUUAAUAAUGUACACAAUUUAAUAAUAAUAUUCAGGAACCCGUGGAAUUUUUUUUUUCAGCAACACGCGUUUUACAAAAUACACUACGCAUCAUUAUUCAACGUUCCCGGCCGUAGUAAACUUAUUUGAAAAAUAAUUAGUUUUUAAAUAACGUUAUAUUUUUUCUAUGUUUUUUCAAAAUAUUAAAUUAUAAUAUAUUAUUUGCUUCUAAAAACUUUUCAUAUUAAAAUUGCACCGCACAAUAUUUAUCUACGGGAAAAAUCCAGUUUUCCCGUGAUAUUUACGACUUAUCGCUGUCGCGUUGUUCGGCAUCGGUAUGUUGCAUCUGACAAUAAUUUUAUCGGUCGAUAGACACACCAAUAAUAUUUUCACACUAAUGGAUUUUCGAUACUCUUCCCCUAAUCUUAAUUCUCUUUCUUACCUCACUGGUAAAGAAAAAUGCUUGAAAAUGUAACAUGUGCGGAGUUUGGCUCUAUAUAAUAUGACUACGGACAAUCGCUACCAAAAGGGCUUUUGAUAUAAUGUGUGCUGUUAUCGAAAAAUUCAUCAAAUAGAUAGAAAGACUAAAAUCAAAUAAAGCCCGAUUGACACACUUGCACGGAUCAGCACGACACGGCAAAACAUUCUAGCAAAGAAUGUUUUGUCGGUCUGUCAGUGUCUGUCGGAAUCAAUUCAAUUGAAUCAGAUAUAAUUUUAUAUGUAUCUACAGGGUUUUUUUUUUUUAUUGAGUAUGCUUAUUGCUCAUUGGUCACUCCAUUUUUGUCGUUAAAUUUUGCAUAUUUCAUUCAAAUAUCGAUUUUUGGAAUUUUUAGUUUAGUUAAAGCUUUUUCGCAAUAUUUAAGGAGUGUCCUGUAGUGAUACAAACUUAAGAAUUAAGUAUUCAAAGAUCUUUAGCAUAGUGUAAAAGUCAGAAAAGACAAAAUGAUUGAGUAUUUUCAACGAUAGCUUAAUGGAAUAACGAAAGUAACGUAUAAGGACAGAGUAUAUUAAAUAAAUCACGAUUAACGUGAAUAAGGAUAAUUGCAAGGAGUUAAAGGAAUUGAAUUACGAAAGGGCUCCCGAUCAAACAUAUGAAGACGAGAAGAAUCUAAUUCUCGCGGAAAACCGACAAAUAUAUUUUGAUUAUACGACUUUACGGACGUACAUAUCGCAUGGCUGCGAAUCGUUUUUCGAACGUAUCUAAUGGUUUGUGAAGGGGUUUCCGUUCAAUGAUAAUUAUUAUGAAUUAUACUCGUAAACUAUACUCUGGCGACCGGCCAAAUUACGACGAUACCCAACCGAAAUCUGAAAUCCGUUUUUUUUUUCUUUCACUUUUCGUUUGCCGUGUAAUGAUUUAUUAUACGAUUUAUAUAGGGCUGUAAACGAGCUGUGUCUUCUCGAUAAUAAGGAAUUGAUUUUUCGGCCACGGGUUACACGACGAGCAUAGUCUGGCAUACACUUUCCGUUUUUUUUAAAGUUGUAUAAUAUUCCAAACAUAUUGUUUUUAAAUUGUAUUUUUAAAGAAAUAUUUAGUUUUUAUUAUUAACCAUUAGCUGUUAUUUCGGCUGUAAGACUUUGCUCAUAUCGAGAAAAGAACAAGCGGGUUUCUAUUAUAACAUUUUUAUUUUUUUUUAAUCAAGUUUUUGUGUCUAUAAGUAGUUCGUAUUUUGAAAUGUCUUGUACAAUAUUAAUGAACAAAUGACAACAAUAAAUACGUCGGUAUAAAAUACGAUAGUUUUAUGAUGAAAUUCAAGGUUCACAGAGAUUUAAAAUUGUUAACAUUUCUAUAAACGGUUCCGAAUCAUAAACAUAACCCAUUAUCAUAUUUUAUAUUUGGUCGUAUUUAAAGUUGAUAAUGCUUAGUAUAAUCAUAUAACUUAACAUAUGUCUUCAGCAAAAUACAAAUAUUUGAACAUAUUUCUUUUACUAUUACGGAUAUUAAAACGAUUAUGUUUCUUAUGUAUAGAUUUAUCUUUCUUAAAUUACUAAUAGUGGAAUUCACAAUUUUUGUGAUUGUGGUUCCGAAAAUUUCGGUUGCCCGAUAUAAGAAUCUACCAAUCGUCUUCCGCCCUGGUUCCACCAAUGGACUCAACUCAAGCAUAAUAACUUAAAAAUCCUAGCUAUAUCUAUAUUAGGAUUAUUAUAAUAAUACUGUUACACGGUCGCAGUUUCCAAUCUGAAUAAUAAUUUAUGACGUUUUUUGUUAUCGCAACGUGAUCAAAGCCCGUGGAUAUUACAAUAGGGUCUAGUGGAUUUUCCGGUUCCCGGUACAUACAUAAUGUGGUCAAGCGGAAGGAGACCGGGAUGCGUAUUAACGUUCCCUACUUUUGAAACGAGUGGCGGAAACAAAAUCAUCUGAUUUGGUCAGUUGUGGCAUAGUUGUUCGUUUUAAGUAAGUUGCAGCUAUACCGCAUCAUAUCACUCGACAGAUACGUUCUGACGGAUGUAAAUUAAUAUUUUCGGGUGAUAAUCUGACGACCAUAGACUUAAUUCUUUGUGUUUUUUUUUUUUCAUCGUCUCUUCCUCCCAAAUUUCGCUUUAUCUAAGUUCGUCGUGGUUUUUCAUAGAUUAUACGUUUUAACAUUCGUGUUUCUGUUAUCAUUGAAAUAAUAUUAUCGUAGUGCAAUACAUUUAUUAUAACGGAUCAAAAAGCCAAUCAGAGGAUCGCAUUUGCAUCUAUAUGACUCGUUUCACGUACGGGACGUUAAUAAUAUUCGCUUUUGACCGGGGCUUUGUCGAUUCGGUAUAUUAUUAUUAUAGUAUAGCGAGUUGGUUUAUAUUAUUAGUUAAUAGUCAUUACAAAGUUACCGGAGUAUAUAAAAUAUAAUGUACUACAAUGUGUAAAUAUAUAUCUAAUAGUCGGGCUUGUGGUCCCCGAGAUCAAAAAUACUGUCCGGUAAUCCGAUACGAGGACCGUGAAAUUCGGAUGCGUCCGGUCUAGACGUUAGUGUAAACUGAUAUAAUAUAGUUGGUUCAUUAUAGUUAGAAAAUUCGCUUUAACCGCGAAAAAUACGUAGCGUAAUAUUGGAGUUUUAUAGUAGAAUAUUGAUCUAUGUAGUCAGAGUAAAUAAUAAGUUAUUAGAAUUAUUAUACGAAUGUGUACAUAUAUAAAUAAAAAUUUUUUUUUUGAUACUUUUCCAUAUACUUAAUAUUGUAAUUUUCUAAAUUAAGAGGUGACAAUUUGAGGAGUGGGAAAUGUCUAGAAAACAGGAAAAAUAUAUUCUGUAUUGUAAUUAGGUAAAAAUAAUAAUCGUAGAUAAAUUAAAUAGGUACUUUAUUCUUACGUUAGCAUUUGAAAAGUGGAAGUGAAUUAUAUAACGAUCGACAUGAAAAUUGUUUUAAAUUUGUAUACGAGUUAAUAAUUAUAUACAAAUAUACAUAAUUGACCAAAAUUUAGUACACAAAGUUCCGUUUCAGUAUCUGAGCGCAGUAAGGAAUGUAUAGGCUUUGCUUUGAUGUAUGUAUAUUUUUUUCCUGUUUGUAAACAAUUUUUCUACCAGAAAUCUUGCUUCAAGAUUCGGGUGCAUAAUAUUUAUCAAGAGAAAAUUUUGUUUUGCUUUAAUGCAUUGAGUAGCCGUUUUUUGAUUUUCCUUGCAGUUGCCUUAAUAAUUGGGAAAGACGUAGAAAAAACCGGGAAGUUCAUUUUUUUCGAUUUUGUAUUUUUCGAUUCUGAGUGAAGCUAGUUUUUCGUUAGCAAUGAUUAAUCAUAGCAUACAAAAAUACCUAAAUAUCCUUCAUUUUCAACUUCUCACAAUUUUGGUCCACCCUUCGUGUGAAGUAUGUACGCCUUUUUUUUCAUACUCGUUUCAAUUUCAAAUUAAAUGGAAAUCGUCAAAAUCACAAAUCUUCGCGUUUAUUUUAUGAUUUAAGUAAAUAUAAUUUUAGGGCCAAGAUAAAAUAUUUGAAAAUUUAAAACGAAAUCCGUCAUAUCUUAUAAGUUGCAUUUGGUGGAAAAAAGAACUAAGCGUAAUGCAGAAAUUUUUUUAUAAGCCUUUGUAAGAUACAAUUUUGAUGAAAAUUCAUGGCAUUUUAAAACGUGUUUAACCCAAAUUUAAGUGAAAACGCGUAUUUUGUUAGCAACGGUUUUUUUUUAUUGUUCGUUUGCAAGGCGAUUAUCGUUUGAGAUCGAAACUGUUUUCAGGCGGAAUAAUUUUGCAAACUGUAGGACUAUCGUUUGCGGGCCUCUCUAUAAAUAAUUAAACAUAUUAUAAUAAUAUUAUAUAAAGCGUAUAUUAUCAUGAAUUUUGGUGGCGGUGACAGCUGUGCGGACUUUUAGCUAUAAAGCCCGGGAGAAAGAGUGAGAGAGAGAGUGGACGAGAUAAAGCGGAACAAGUUAAAUGUGGUUUAACGACAGACUUGUGUGUAUAUAUAUGUUAUAUUAUAUGCGUAUUAUGUUAUAUUCGAGGCGAAUAUUAUUAUUUAUAUAUUAUAAAUAUCGUCUGCUGAGACUAAUGACUGCGGUUAUCGUUAUUUCCGGCCAACCGUCGGGCGAAAUCUGUCCGGGAUUGAUAGUAAUUUCACAUCGAUUUCGUCGCCAAGUCACGAUCGGUGGCGACGACAUCAGAUCGACCCGAAUUUUGCUCGUAAAAAAAAAAAAAAAAAAAUGUUACAUACGACUACGUCUUUCUCACUCAAAUACCCACCACCGCCAAAUUUAUUUCAUAUUAUAAAUGUGUCGAAUAUUUCCGUCACACCAACCACCGGCUUAAUUUUCGUUUUUAACAAUAUGAUUACAUAAUAUGAUGUACUUAAUAUUAAAUUGGAUAGUAUUCCUGUAAAAUACACCAGAAUCUAUAAACAGUGUAUUAAAUUUAUUUUUUGUUACGCUAAAAAUAUUUAAUAGACAUUUUGAGAGAAAAAUUUCCGGGAAAAAAACUGGGAUUUCCGGAAAUAUCUAAAAAGUAAAAGUUAAAUUCCUUAAGAAUUUCUUUUUAGAAAAAUAAAACCACUGGGAAAUCUUUCUUUUUUUUAAUUUUUAAUUUGUUGAUAAAUUUUAGCGAUUGUAAUUAACUUUAGAUUACAAAACUUACCUUUAAAAGUAUUAAAACUUAUAAUAUUGAUGGAAAUUAUAACUAAAAAAAAGAUCAGAUAUAAGGGAUGGGAGCGGCCACUGUUGUAAGUGAGAAGUUGGAAAAGUAGGAUACAUAAGUUUAUUUCAUUUAUAUUUGUUAGCAAUAAUAAACUAUUGCUUAACGAAAGAAGAUUCCGAGCGCAGUUCGGUAAUACAUAAUUUUAAGUGCCGUAAUUUUUUUUGCGAUUUUCGUUUAAAUUUGAUUUCAAAACGCUUAUUCAAUAAAAAUGUCAUCCGAUGAUUUUGGAAAUUUUAUCACGUCUAGGUAAUUCCGAUAUAAGUAUUAUUACUAAGUUUCAAGACUCUACGAGUAUUUAUAACCAAAUUACAGCAAAAAAAAAAAAAAACCUCCUAAUAAUUAAAAUUCCUUAAAAGCUCAAAAUUGUUGGCAAUAAUUCCGUAAUAAAGUAAAUCAAAAGGGUAACAAAAAAAAGUGUCUUUGAUUAAAUCAUUUUUCUGGUAGAAAACAUCGUCCGUGCUUUUAUAAAAUAAUAUAAUCGUGAAAUUGUAUGUUUCCCUAUGUUUUUUCCAUUUAAGUGUUUUUAUUUAAAAAUGAUACUGAAAAUCAAAAAAUGUCAUCUUUAAAAUACUUUCUAGACAAUUUGCCAUUCCAGAAAAGUUCCUACGCGUAAACAUCGAAACAAGUUAAUUAGUGAUUAAAUAUAAAAAUUAAAUUAAAGAAUACAUAGAAAAAAAUUAUACCAGUUGGUCGUUUUUCAUAGAAAUAAUUUACAAGUAAAAAUUAUAAUAAAUUGAAUUAGUUUUUCAAUUUCUUUAAUUUUUCUGAUACUCUAGGAAGAAAACUCUUUUAAAAACAAUGUCGAGAAAAAAAGACAGACAUACUUUGCACAAUGGGAGAGUUACUGUUGUAGGUCAGAAGUUGGGAGGGUAUAGAAGGAAAAUUGAAUGUUUAUAUAAUAUGUACGCAACGAUUGUUAAUGAAAAAACGAUUCCAAGCAGAGUUCAGUUAUACAUGUUUUUAAAUACCGUAAAAUGUAUGAUUUGUAGAUAAUACGUUUCGUAAAUUUUUCGGUUUUUCCUAUUAUUAUGAAAACCCCUGUGAAACCAAAAAAAAUUAUUUAUGAGAAAAAUGCUACACUUGGAAAUUGGAACAAAAUUUCUAGGAGAAAAAUUGUUCACGAUUAAAAAAAAACCAUUACUGUAAAAUUAAUACAUUUCCAACUCCAGUCAGAAUCUAGAACUAAGCAAAUGCUCCAAGUCGUGAACACUAGAUCGCAAGAGUACGAGACUAUGGAAAAUAACAAUUAUGUAUUUAAAGCGAAAAUAAUAAAAAAAAUUAAAAUAAUAUUUAUUUUACGAGACUCUCUUAUAUUUAUUGUGUAUUUGUUUAUUUGCAGCCGGACGUCCUGGUUAUAAUUUUUCGCACACAGAAACAACUAAACAAAUACUAGAAGAUUGCUGCUUGAA